rnacentral:lncRNA from 1 species
AAGAAGAUCAAGAGGUGAAGCAACUUCAUCUUCUUCCUCUCUAGUGCAAGAAAUGAAAGCUUAUAAGAUGAGCUUUGAACCCUAUUGUAGUAAAACCCUAAAAUGGGCUUUGAAUAAACCUAGAAAUGGUUUUAAUGGAUUGUUUAGAGUCUUUGAAGCUUUCUUUUUGCUUCUUUAGAGAUCAAAGCCAUGGUUUAGCUUGAGGUGAGCUUUGGCCACCUCUAAUGGUGAAAUCCAAACUAGGGUUUGGAAUGAGCUAGGAAUGGUUUAGAUGAACUCUUUAGAGUAUAUUGAAGCUACUUUUGCUUCCCAAUGAGAUCAAACCCUAGGUUUGAUAUAUGUAUUGGAGCUAGGGCACCAAAUUGGGGCUUUUGCUCAUGGGUUAUUUUAGUAGAGAUUUUGGGCGUCUGUGUGCCGGGCAGGGAAGAACGAGGAUCCUUAAAAUUCAAAAAAAUCGCGAAGUCACCUAUGAAAGCCCUACGAGUGUGGUGGUGGUGGCUUUCAACUCGUGAACUUCUCUCUAUGGCCUUAAUGUUGCAUUUCAAUUUGGAGCCAUUAUUGUACAGCUUUGUUUGCAUUUGCUAUUUUUAGGGUAAAAGAGAUAAUGAGAGAUUUGUUGUUGUGCAUUUUAUUUUGGAUACAAACUUGCGCUAAUAUGAUUGGAGUAAUCCUAUAUAAAUCGAAAAACCCUAUGCUGUAGUCAUAGAAGAAAAGUAGCAUCGUCCAAAGUGAGCAUAAAAAGCAGAGUGCACUUGUGACAUAGAUGCGAGUGGCAUUUGAAACUAAAGUAAAUGACAUCUAGAUUAGUGUAGCCCAAAGAACCAAAGUGAUGUACAAAGAAUGAUGCAUAAUGACAAUGUGAAAGUUAAAGUAAAGUGAGGCACAUAAGAAUAAGAAUGUAAAGAACAAGAAUCUAAAGUUAGCAAAAGUAAGGAAAUGAUAAAGACACGCAAUCGACUGGCUAGAGUAGCAAACACGUGAAGUGACGUAAAGAACGACUAGAGUUAGUGGUAAAGUCAAGAUUGAACUAAUUCUUUGAGCUAAGGAAUUCGAUCAUCACUUGCAUGAGUUCCGUGCUCGAGGGCGUCGGCUCUCCCCUCGGCGGUGCGCUCCCGGAAGUUAUGCAUCCGGUUGGAGUAAACACGACGAAGGACGGUCCUAAGCGGUGAGUUCCUGCGAUGAAAUGGAUUUAAAUUGAAGCAAGCAAUGUGCGAACCCCGCGGCUUAGCCUUCGAGAUCAAAGAAUAAAGAAUAAAGAACAAAGAUCAAAGAACAAAAGAACAAUAGUAAAAGAUAAAGAACGAAAGAACUGCAUAAUCCUGCAUAUUUAAUGUUGAGCAUAUUCCUUGCUUAUUGUCAGGCAAAUAUUAGCAUCAUGUGUACAUUGUUACAAUAUUUCAGGCUUAUUCCUUUCUAUUAUCAGUUGAGUUAGUCCUAUGCUGGGGAAUCAGUCGUGGAUGUGUGGCGCGACACCCACUGGUAACUUUGUGUUGUGUUUCCACCCCACUAUUUCCACAGAGCCGGGACCGAGGCGAGCCGCGAGCGUACCGAGGUAAGAGAUAUCGCCGCCUUAUCAAGAUCAGCCACCAAAGUGGUUUCAUUUUGUAGUUAAAGUACCUCUAUGCAUGCCCUCUUGUACAAUGAUGGUAAAUGUGUAAAGGAAAAAAUGUAAUGGUAUUANNNNNNNNNNNNNNNNNNNNNNNNNUUCUAAGUGCAUGAAUUACCCUCAGAAACAGCUAAUUGGGGGUAUUUCCGACGCCGUUGGUGCGCUCGGUUAAGUUACGAAGAGUUUAUAGGAAAGAUAGUUGGGCAAAAGUGGCUAGUUGGCUUCGGUUUUGCCGCAGGUGAAGAACGAGAGCCAUACACUCUCAAGAAAAUCGUCGAAGGACCUUUGAAAGCCUAACGAGGUGGGUGGUGCUUUCCCAACUCCGUGAACUUCUCUCUAUGCUAAUGUGUCAAUUCAAUUGAGGCAUGAUGUACAUAUUUUUUUUUUUUUUUUUUUUUUUUUUUUUUUUUUUUUUUUUUUUUUUUUUUUUUUUUUUUUUUUUUUUUUUUUUUUUUUUUUUUUUUUUUUUUUUUUUUUUUUUUUUUUUUUUUUUUUUUGUUGCAAUCAUUUUAGGGUAAAGAGAUGAUGAGAAUGUGAGUUGCUUAUUGUGAGUUAAACUUUCCUAAUAUGAUGGUGAGAACCUAUAAAUGUAAAAACCCUAUGUGUAUGCAUGAGAGAAAAGUGAGCAUCGUCCAAAGUGAGCAAAGAACAGAGUGACACUUUGACAUAGAUCGAGUGGCAUUUGAAUACGUAAAGUAAAGUGACACUAGUUAGUGUGAGCCAAAGAACCAAAGUGAUGUAAAGAAUGAUGUAAUGACAAUGUGUAAAGUUAAAGUAAAGUGGGCAAUAAGAAUAAGAAAUGUAAAGAACAAGAAUCUAAAGUUAGCAAAAGUAAGGAAAUGUAAAGAACCAAUGAUGCUAGAGUAGCAACAUGAAGUGACGUAAAGAAACUAGAGUUAGUGGUAAAGUCAAGAUUGAACAUAUUAACCUUUGAGUUAAGAUUCGAUCAUACUUGCUAUGAGUUCCGUGCUCGGAGGGCGGUCGCGUCUCCCUCGGGCGAUGCGCUCCGGAGUUAUGCAUCACGGUUGGAGUAAACCACGAGGACGGUCCUAGCGUGAGUUCCUGCGAUGAUGGAUUAAAUGUGAAGCAAGUCAAUGUGCGAAACCCCGCGGGUUAGCCUUGAGAUUAAAGAAUAAAGAAUAAAAAACAAAGACAAAGAACAAAAGAACAAGUUAAAGAUAAAGAACGAAAGAACUUGCAUAAUCUGCAUAUUGUUAAUGUUGAGCAUAUCCUUGCUUAUUGUUCAGGCAUAUUAGCAUCAUGUUGUAGAUUGGUUACAUAUUUUCAGGCUUAUCCUUUCUAUUAUGCCGUGAGUUAGUCCUAUGGGGAAAAGUCGGUGAUGUUGGGCCCGAACCACUGGAACUGUUGUUGUGGUUUCUCACCCCACUAUUUCACAGAGCCGGGACCGAGCGAGCCGCGAGCGACCGAGGUAAGAGAUAUCGCGCCUUAGUCAGAAGCCACCAAAGUUGGGUUUCAUUUUGUAGUAAAGUACCUCUAUGCAUCAUCUUGUACAUGAGUGGUAAAUGUGUAAAGAAAAAGAAUGUAAUGUGUAUUGAGGUAAAUGCGAUGUAAGAAAGAAAUGAUGAAAUGAAAUUGAAGGAAUUCGAAAAUGAACAAGAUGAAUGCAUGUAUAUGAUCAAAAAUGAAUCAUAGUCAAGUAAAAUGUUUAGUUCCUUUCUGUUCACUCGUGGCUAUUGCUUACCCUCGUGUAAGCCGUUUGUGUAUUUUCCGCUAGUAGCUUUUCUCUAUUGAUGAAAAUGUACAUGUGUGAGCCUUGGGCGAUAGGGGAACUCUGUCCGUUCGGCGUCUGUUUGACGUGCUCGGUCGGCCAAAUUGGUAUCGGUCGGGCGUGACAACUGUAGGUGGCACAAGCUGGACUACAAUAUUGGGUCCUCGAAACAUGUUGGAAAUAAUGACAUUUGAUCGAGAGAUGAUAAUCACUACUAGAUAGGUUUAGUAGUUGGAUUACUAUGACAUGCUUUAGCAUAGUGUUGAGACGUAGUAUACUCGAUAGUUUAUUUAUUGCCAGCAUCAGUACACUUGCUACGAUGAUAGAGCAUAUUCAUCAUACAUUGACAUUGUGAUCAUGUUACUACCUGUUCGUUCUGUUUGGACAUAUUAGUCAUGUUUGGACUUACUUCAUUGGGAUAAAGUAGAUUACACACUUUUCGACAUCAUGUAUACUUUUGAUAUAGUAGCUUUAGCAAUUAUUUAUGCUUUCAUAAUGCAACUAUUUCGUUGCUAUUGCCUUGUCGACUUACCUUUUCUUUGGCCUAGUGGCUGCAUUGAAGCUGAGGCAGAGUAAUUGGCCCCUGGGGAACAUAUAAAUAUAGUUCUCACGCGUAUUUUGAGGUAAAUGUGAUGUAAGAAAGAAAUGAUGAAAUGAAAUUUAAGGAAUUCGAAAAUGAACAAGAUGAAUGCAUGUAUAUGAUCAAAAAUGAAUCAUAGUACAAGUGAAUGUUUAGUUUCCUUUUCCUUUCACUCGUGGCUAUUGCUUACCCUCGUGUAAGCCGUUUGUGUAUGUUUCCGCUAGUGCUUUUCUCUAUUGAUGAAAAUGUACAUGUGAUGAGCCUUGGGCGGAUAGGGGAAACUCUGUCCGUUCGGCGUCUGUUUGACGUGCUCGGGUCGGGCCAAAUUGGUAUCGGUCCCGGGGCGUGACACUUAGGUGGCACAAGCUGGACUACAAUAUGUGGGUCCUAGAACAUGUUGGAAAUAAUGACAUUUGAUCGAGAGAUGAUAAUCACUACUAGAUAGGUUUAGUAGUUGGAUUACUAUGACAUGCUUAUAGCAUAGUGUUGAGACGUAGUAUACUCGAUAGUUUAUUUAUUGCAGCAUAGUACACUUGCUACCAUGAUAGAGCAUAUUCAUCAUACAUUGACAUUGUGGAUCAUGUUACUUACCUGUUCGUUGUGUUUGGACAUAUUAGUCAUGUUUGGACUUACUUCAUUGGGAUAAAGUAGAUGUACACACUUUCGACAUCAUGUAUACUUGUGAUAUAGUAGCUUAGCAAUUAUUUAUGCUUUCAUAAUGCAACUAUUUCGUUGCUAUUGCCUUGUCGACUUACCUUUUCUUUUGGGGCCUAGUGGUGCAUUAAGCUGAGGUCAGUAAUUGGCCACUGGGAACUAUAAAUUAUAGUUCUCACGCCCUCUAUUUUAUGUCUUCUUUUAGAGCCUUCCACGCCGGGAGAGGCUAUGGACCACGGGAAGGGCGUUGCUUCGAGCUAGCUCUUCUGCAAGGGACGAGUGGAUAGGUGGUCUACCUCUCGAUGUUUUUAUUUUGGAGAGGUUGAGAGCUGUACCAGUGUACUAGAGACCCCCCCUUUGUGUACUAUUUUGGGAGACGUUAUUGUACUACUUUAUGUUCUACUCUUAUUAUUUUUGUAUACCUCUUUUACCUUGUUAUAAACUAUAGAUCUAUCUGUGCUCUGAUAUCUCUAGAUGUAGGUUACUUUUGGUUUAUUUUUCUGCUGUUGUUGUAGACGCCUUAUAUGUGUGGACAUAUGGCGGGUCUGGGCACGCCACCGGGAGGGCCUCUGCCGGUCCCGGGGCGUGACAGAUUAUUUUGGUAUCAGAGCCUAGGGUUGAGUCUUAGUGGACCUAGCAAACCUUAGGCCGGUUGGCCUAUAGGAAAUAGGCUCGUGAGAGACGAGGUCUAUUCGACUUGUGAGCGAAAGUAUUAUUGUAACACACUCGACCUGUGCAAAUUGCGAGGUUCGAGUGUUCGAUUUGUAUUUCGAACUUUUCCACACUUGGUGGAGGGCCGUCGAUGGUAUACCGGUCUAAAAGUUCGAUCUCGAGAGUUUUGGCAGAGUCCUAAGAGUUUUUACUCUCGGGGACCGGUCCCUGAUAGGAGAGACCGGUCCCCCAGUGAACAGUGCUGCGUGGCCGGCAAGGCAACCGGUCCCUGGCAGUCGAGACCGGUCCCCGAGCGCGUCUGCGCGGGGAGAGACCGGUCCCGCGCAGGGAGAGACCGGUUCCCGAACGUUGGAUUUUCGGGGGCAGGCUGAGAGACCGGUCCCAGGUCGGGGAGACCGGUCCCUCUGGGCGAAAACUGCCCAGACCGGGCUGAUGUAAAUUUGAGUUUUUGAGGGGCCUAUGUGGAUUUUGUUACUUUAGAGGCUAUAAGCAGCCUCUCCUCCCCUCUCACUCUCAUUUUCUCUCCCUCACACUCUUCCUACACUUCUAGAGAGAGAAAGGGAAGGAGAAGAAGGAGAAGGAGAGGAGAAGAGCUUGCUUGGAGGCCUUGGAGCACCAUCUUCUUCCUCAUUUCCCACCUUUGGAGGCUUGGAGCUUGCGGUUGGAGCUUUGUGGAGGAUCAAACUUCAACCCUACUUGGUUUUGAGCUUGGAUUGGGGCUUCUCUUGAGGUUGGUAGCUUGUAAUCCCCAUUUGUUACAUGCUUUCCUAGGUUUUACUAGAUGAAACCCUAGAUUUUGGGAUUUAGGGUUUAUUUUGGGGGUUUUUGAAUUUGGGGGCUUUGGAACCAAAUUGAUGGGUUUAGAACCUUUGUUUAGGUUAGAUUGGAAGGACUCUAACUCCCAUUUGGAGAUCGUGAGAGCCUUCUUCGCAAUCGGUAAGUUUUCUCCAACCCUAGCUUGAGGAGCUUAAUGAUUGAGCUAUUUGCUCUUCGUUUCGUUUGGGUGACCCUAUUUUUGAUGUUUCUAGGGUACUAGGGAGCUUGUGGAUACCUUCGUUCGGCGAAACGAAGAAGUCGAUUUUGGUGGGUUUGACUUCAUGAAAAUAGGGCAAAAUGGCCCCUAUGCCUUCUAAACUUUUCGUAAAGUAUUUUUGAAUGCAAAUUCAUGCUAAAUAUGAUUUAUGUGAAUUUUAGAACACUUAACAUGCAUGCCUCAUAUAUCGUAAAAUUUGUACUCCAUAUAGUAGAGCUAUAUGUGUAGAUUGCAUGCAUUGUGAAUAGUGCUUGGUUUUACAAGUUGAGAACAUGUCUCCAUGCUAGAGUUGAGUGAAUUUAAGCGUCAUGAACAUAUUAAUGCCAUGCUUGGAACUCGUUGAACCAAAGUGUCAUCAAGGGGCACUUGAAACUAGUAAACUAUUAAACUGCAACCUAGGGACAUGUUGAUAGGCCACUAUAUAUCUGCUACAUUCCAUGUUAGAGACAUGAUGACAUAGAGAUAGGCCAUUGAGAUACUUGACAUAUUCCAUAUUUUUAGACAUGAGGACUUGGUACUUGAGACAGAUCAUUGCUUGCUUGCCAUUUGUGCUCAUUCGCACAUGCUUGUGAGGGUCGCUCCCUACAAGCCGGCACUCCGGAGAUAGCCAUCGCGACACAUGCUCGCCGUGCGGGAUUGGGCGCCGAAGUGGAUUGCCGUGGGGGAGGCUCAUCCCUAGAGUGGGGAUGUUGACUACCACGGGGCCAUUAGGCACGGCGCAGGCCAGACAGCCUUCGGGUGGGUCUUAUAUGAUUGGGACUUAGUGACAGAACGUGCUAUGUGAACUUUAAAACUAUUAAAGUAGACUUGGACUAGAAUAGUAAACAAUGGCAUCUUUACUAUUUUUGCAUUGAGGACAUCGGAUUGGUUGUAUUUCUAUGAUGAUGCAUGUCAUACACAUCCAUAUACAUUCAUGAUAUCGUUGCUUCAUUACUUGUACAAAUCAUGCUAAAUAGAAAGUCUAUGUUAUAGUGAGUUACAUUUUACUUACCUGUCGCUUUACUACAUUGUUAGUCACUGACCUCUUUUUGUAGCUUUGGGCCUUGUGGUGCAUUCACUGAAGUCAGUAAUUGCCCACUGGGAACUAUUUUUAAUAGUUCUCACGCCCCUGUUUCAUUGUUUACUUUUCAGAGCCUUCGGCACCGGCGGAGCGUGAGAUUGGCCUAGGUGGUUUGCUCUUUCUUUUGUAGUUGGGAGAGUGAGAGAUUUUGUAUCCAUGUGUAGAGACCACCUAUGUACCUACUUUUAGCACUUGUAUUUGGGAUUUCCUAUUGUAUUUACUUUAUGUCUUAUUUAGUGAAUUUACUGUUUUAUCCCUUGUUGUAGCAUUUAGACACUUACUAUGCUCUGAUACUUCUAGAUGUCUUCUGUUAUUGCUUUUAUUAUUGUUGUUAGUAGACGCCUUAUAUGUUUUAGACGUAUGGCGGGUCUGGGCACGUGCCGGGCGGGCUUCCGCUGGGCCCCGGGGCGUGACAAUUAUGAUUGGGUCUUAUGACAACUCUAAAAAGUUGGAGUUUAAUCGGAGUGCAUGACUUCUAGCUUCGCGGAGGGUUUCGUUAGCGGCCGACAACCUAACAUUGGGAGUUAGUUGUGGAUGACACUUCCUUAUUUUCGCAUGAUUUGGGUACUGUUAUUUGAGUGGGGAUUCGAUAGCGCGGGUUACUAAUUUGCGCUUUUAUGUUCUGUAGUGACGAUGCCGAUUACAUGCUCUCAAUCUGCGGGAGCGGACAAUGCAGUGCAGUUUGAGGAGGCUGAGACCUCCGCUACCUCCGGAUCCGGCGAGGUCCGUGAGUUGAGGGGCCAGCUGGCAGCCCUCACUGAUUUGGUGACGCGACAGGCAGACACGGCGCUUCCACAGGAGGCGCGGAUGAAGUGCCUAGAGGACCUUCUGCUGCAGCAGGCGACGGCCAGGAAAACUCAGAUCCCUACACCUCCCGCACCAGUAGAAGUGGUUGCGCCCAGGGUGUCGUCCCCUGCACUCGACGCUUCUAGGACGGCACCAGCGGCGGCACCUCGGGGAGAGGACAUCGCGGCACCACCAGCGCGAGCAUCUGUAGCGGGGGCGGUUUUCCCCGUGAUGGUUGAGGGAGCUGAGCGGGAUCGGCUCAUGGAAUGACUCAGCGAGUUUAGGAGAUGCAGUCCCCGGACCAUUGACGGGGAGAACGUGGACCAUUGGAUUGUAGAGAAAUGGCUCAUGCAUAUGGAGAAGCUAUUUCGGGACACCUUCGUCGAAGAGAGGGAUAGAGUGUGGCUCGCCACACAUCAUUUGUACGGCGAGACCUAUAGAUGGUGGUUGGACAUCCAGGAGAACCCCAGCAUGGAUCUGACGGCGAUUACUUGGAGGAGGUUCAAGGAACUCCUACUGGAGCAUUACUUUCCGGACAGUGUCAAGAGGAAGAUGGAGCAGAAUCUACGCAACCUUCGCCAGGGAGACAGGACGGUGGCCGAGUACGAGAGAGAGUUCUCCUGGCUUCUUCAUUGCGUGCCCUUCGUUGUUCGGGACGACGAGGACAAGGCCCGCAUCUUUGAGCGGGGAUUGCAGCCUUCGAUCUUCCGAUUUGUUCAGUCUUCCAACCUCCAAACCUACCGGGAGGUUGUAAACCGCGCACUCAUCGUGGAGAGUGGAGCAGCGGAUCUGCAGGAGUGGCGAGAGGCCUUGGAUAAAGGUAAAGGCAAGAGGCCUGCGGCUGAUGGCACGAGUCAGGCGCACUAAGGGAGGCCGCCGAGACAUCCGCGACACCGGAGCCAGUCGUGAAGACGUGGCCAAUCUACUCAGCGAGGAGGACCUGAUCGACGCCAGGCUCCGCGCUGCGUGAUCUGCGAUGGUCCCUAUUUUUCACGGCAGUGUUCACGCAGUCGGGGCAGGUGCUACCUUUGUGGCCAGGAGGGCCACUUCCAGUCAGACUGCCCGAGAGGUCCAGCCCCAGCGCCAUCUUCGGCAUCUGCACCAGCUUUACCGGGUCCCAGCCAGGGGACACCUUCUGUGCAUCACCAGACUGGACGGCCGCCAGUGCAGCGGCAGGCAGAGGGGUCACGACAGGCCCCAAGUGGGCGCAUGUACGCGGCCCAGACUGAGGAGGCGGCGGCAGCCGAGAAUGUGAUCGCAGGUAUCAUUUUACUUUAUGGUAUUCGAGUUCGAGCAUUGUUCAAUACCAGUGCAUCGCAUUCAUUCAUAGACCGGCUGUUUGCCGAGUUGCAUGGCAUUCCUUUGACAUCUUUGUUGCAUCCGGGACGAGUCGUGGUACCCGAUCACUCUUUAGAUGUUCGAGAGUUUUGCCCCAAUUGCCCUGUUCGAAUUGGAGAUUGGGUUAUACCCAUAGACCUUUUAGCUUUGCAUAAACUCGGAGAGUUUGAUGUUGUUUUGGGCAUGGAUUGGUUGACCAAGUACUACGCCACUAUUGAUUGCAAGAAUCGAACUGUGACGUUUAGAAAGCCGAGGCAGGCGGAGGUUGUGUACCGAGGAUGCGCCAGAGUUCGCUGUUUGCGAUGACGAUUAGCUCCUCUCGAGCUAGGCAGCUGAUUAGCAGAGGCUGUGUAGCCUAUUUGGCUACUAUUGUGUUGAGGGGUGAUGCUGACGCCCCUAGGAUUGAGGACAUCCCCGUCGUACGGGAGUUUGGAGAUGUGUUUCCAAUAGAGUUACCAGGCAUGCCACCUGACAGGAAAAUUGAGUUUGUGGUAGAUCUCGUUCCCGGGACUACUCCAAUCUCAAAAGCGCCCUAUAGGAUGGCACCGGCGGAGUUGAAGGAGUUGAAGGAGCUGAAGGCACAGCUGCAGGACCUCCUGGACAAGGGUUUUGUGCGACCGAGUGUGUCACCUUGGGGAGCACCGGUCCUAUUUGUCAAGAAGAAGGAUGGAUCGCUUCGCUUGUGCGUGGAUUACCGUGAGCUCAACAAGGUCACGAUCAAGAACAAGUAUCCAUUGCCGAGGAUCGACGAUCUAUUUGAUAAGUUGCAGGGAUCCAGUGUGUAUUCCAAGAUCGACCUGCAGUCGGGAUAUCACCAGUUGAAGAUCAAACCUGAGGAUGUGUCAAAGACGGCUUUUAGAACACGGUAUGGACAUUAUGAGUUUACUGUGAUGCCGUUUGGGCUUACUAAUGCCCCGGCAGUUUUUAUGGAUUUAAUGAACCGUGUUUUCAAGCCUUAUUUAGACAGGUUCGUCGUAGUAUUCAUCGACGACAUUUUGAUCUAUUCCCGAAUUGAUGCGGAUCAUGAGGAACACUUGAGACUUGUACUUCAAGUGCUUCGGGAAAAGAAGCUCUACGCCAAAUUGAAGAAGUGUGAGUUUUGGCUUAGAGAGGUGGCGUUUUUGGGCCACAUGAUUUCGGGAUCAGGUAUAGCCGUGGACCCGAGAAAAAUUGAAGCUAUCAAGGAUUGGCCGAGGCCGACGAGCGUGACCGAGAUACGGAGCUUCAUUGGUUUGGCCGGCUACUACCGACGGUUUGUUGAGGGAUUUGCGAAGUUAUCUACCCCUCUCACGAGGCUCACGCAUAAGGGCACCAAAUUUGUUUGGAAUGAUGCGUGCGAAAGGAGCUUUCAAGAGUUGAAACAGAGAUUGACGACCGCCCCAAUCCUAACCUUGCCAACUGCUGGAGCAGAGUAUGUGAUUUACAAUGAUGCUUCCUUUAAUGGAUUGGGUUGUGUCUUGAUGCAGGAUGGGAAAGUGAUCGCGUAUGUAUCUCGCCAGUUGAAAGAUUAUGAAAGAAACUAUCCUACUCAUGAUUUGGAGUUGGCGGUCGUGGUCUUUGCAUUGAAGCUAUGGCGCCUUUAUUUGUACGGCGAGCGAUGCGAAGUAUAUACUGAAAGUUUUGAGGAACCCAAGGAUCUAUCUAGNAAAAACGAUCAAAAACAGAGAUCUAUGUAUGAACUUGAAAUUUUUCGAAAAAUAAACAUGAACGCGAUGAAACGAUUAAAUCCAAGCUAAAUACUCACAAAUUUCAGAGGGAAAUCGUGUAGAUCUGCAAGAGGAAGGCACCAGGGAUUUUUAGAGAGAGAAAGAACGAAUUUUGGUUUUGAUUUGAGAGAGAAAUAAACCCUAUAUCCGGUUAUAUAAGUCGCAGCUACAGUGCGCGUACCCGUACGGGAUCGUGUACCGGUACACGAUCUCAGAUUUCGAAAAUUUGAUUUGAAAAUCCAUCACAUUUAAAUUAAUUUCAUAUAAAUUAAGGCUUUUACUCCAAAAAUCAUUACAAUGAAAAUAAUAUAUUAUACAAUUUCAAAACACAUCGAAACAUCAAAAUUUCAAUAUCAAAAAUAAUUUAAUGAUUCAAAAUCAUCAAGAUGUAAGUUGAUGAAAAAUGAUUUUUAGAAAUUCAACAAAAUUGACACCAAUUUAUCGCAAUAUGUUCAAAAUAGAGAUUUAACUAAUAUGGCACCGGGGGUGGCUCUUUGAGCAUCUUUUCAACUUACCAUCUUAUAACUCCGAAAAGUCUAAAAUAUUCAAUUUUUUUUCAACCUCUUUCGGUUAAUCAAUUCAUUCUUCAUGUGGUAGCUUCACACACUUGCCGGACGACCGGGGUGGUAGCUCUUUCCUACAUGUGGUGGUAGUUUUCACACUCCUUUAGGAUGUAACUCUUUCUACAUCUUUUAAACAUAGAAGUUUCUUUUUCUCCAUUUUUUUUUAAAAAAUAAUUUCGAACUCCCCCUAAAUUAGACAAUCUCACAAUUGAAAAUAAUUUUGACGAAUUUUAGUCAAUUAGAGAAUAUCCAUUCAUCAUAUCCAACACUCACAACCAAGAUGAAUUAAUCACCAAAAAAUCAAAUUUGAUUUCAAAAUUUUGAUGAAUAUAUGCAUUAAGAAAUCAUAUAUUAAAUUAUCAUCAAAAUAAUAAACAGUGGAGUAAAAACGAUAAUUAAUAUGAAUUUAACUUAAUAUGAUUGUGAAGUUAAAUACCAUUUAAACAAAUUUAAAAAAAACUUCUCCUCAAAAUAAUGAUUCUCGAUCAUUUCCUUUCUCAAAGAGUUUGAAAUUUCCAAAUACCUUUCCUCAAACCGAUUUAUACACCAAUAAAUUCAAGCACCAAAAAUCAUGUAAACAUGUAAUGCAAUGAAUAAAAUUAAACAACAAGCACCAAUCAAAGCAUACUAAAGAUCAAAAAUGACUAAGACGAGGAGCUAGGAAAGAUAUCACCUUUCCGGAUCCAAACUUGUCGAAUCGUUGGUUUUCUCAACUUGUCGACGUUAGGUGCCGUUUGUUUAGACUUUUGAUCAACCGUUGGUGUUUUCUUCGGUUGAGGCUUAGGUUGAAUUUGUCGUUGAGGUUUAUGCACCCGGUUUGCAUGAACUUGACGUUGUGCAUUAGAAAUCCGAUUCUUUUGAGGUACUCGACUAACUUGAUUUUGCUUUUGAUUCCGUGGGGAAUGUCGAAUAGUAGAUGAAGCCGAUGGAUGUUUUGAAGUUGCUGAUUGUGACUUGCCAUUUUUGUUCGGGCAAUUCCUUUUAAUGUGUCCUUUGAUGCCACAUCGAUAACAUACUUUCUCUUUCAAAGUUGUUGAGACUUUAGAAGUUGAUUUUGAAUCCUUCUCAACGUAUGUUCGUUCAUAUCCAAGGCCCAAUUUGCUCGUUUGACCCAAUCCUAGCAUUUUAUCCAACUUCUUUGAUCCCGAAGAAAAUUGUUGAAGAUCGGAUUGGAGUUGACGAACUUGGUUGGUCAAGACUUGAUUGGACUUGUGCGAUUCAUGAAAUUGAUGCUCCAAAAAUCUAAUCUUAUCGUUAGAAGAUUUGAUCGUUGAUUCCGCUUCAUUAAGCUUCUCUUGGAGGUCCGAAUUAAUCUUCAAGUUUGAAUCCCUUUCCUCCUCAAGAACCUUAUUCAAAUUCUUUACGUUGUUGUUUUCCUCCUCAAGUUCCAACAAACGACGUCUCAACUUCUUGUUGAGUUUAGCCAUCUUCUUUGAUUCAAUGAGAAGUUGAUUGUACGCUUUCGCUAUGUCGUCGUCGUUUGAUUCCUCCUCACUUUCGCCAUUGUUGCUCGAAGAAUCAUGUGAAGAAAGAGAAAUGUUGGAAUUAGUAGCAAAAGAGGAUAAACACACAACAUUCGACGAAGGUAGAGAAGUGGUAGUAAAUAAGGCAAUUUGAUCAUUCUUUCCUUCGUCACUUGACGAUGAUUCACUUGAUGUUGAAUCAUCCCACGUCUUUGCUUGCAUAGCCUUUUGUCUAUACGUCUUCUUUGAAGGACAAUCCGUUGCAAUGUGGCCGUAGCCUUUACAUUUGUAGCAUUGGAUCUCUCCUUCAAAUUCAUCCUUUUCCUUUGAAGACUUUGCACGGUUUGUAUCCUUAGACUUUGACGAUGAAGAUGAUUUAGACAAAGAUUGUCGCUUAGACGAUGAAGCCUUUUUCGACGAAACUUCUUCGUAAGAAGCGCCAAUUGUUGUUCAAAGUCCGCAAUUGAUAAAUCAUCAUCGGAACUCGAGUCUUCGUCCUUCUCCUUUGUAGAUUUCAAUGCAACACCUGUGCUUUUAGAAGAAGACUUGACAAAAGAUUGAUUAGUAGGAAAAGUCAUCUCAUAAGUUUGCAAAGCACCUACUAAUUCUUCGACUUUCAUCUCGUCCGGAUGCUUAACCGUUUCGAUCGCGGCAACCUUUGCCCGAAAGCGUUCCGGAAGAGUUCGAAGAAUCUUUCUAAUAACCUUAGAAUCCGGGAUUUUCUCUCCCAAGUUAGCACAUGUAUUCACAACGUCUUGUAGACGUGUAUAGUACUCGGUAAAUGUCUUAUUUUCAUCCAUAGAAAUAGAAUCAAACUUGCUUGUUAGCAUUUGCAAUUUUUGGACCUUUACUAAGCUCGUUCUUUCAUGCGUAACUUGUAAAGUAUCCUAAAUUUCCUUUGCCGUUUCGCAAGCCGAAACACGAGUAAACUCCGUUUGAGACAAUGUAUUAAAUAAAGCGUUUAUGCCCUUGCCGUUAAACGAAGAUGUCUCGUUUUCUUCUUUCGUCCAUUUGUUCCGUGGUUUUGGCUUUUCAACAUUAUCGACCUUUUCUAUCGGAUGUUUCCACCCAAAUUCAAUUGAUUGCCAAACCCGCUCAUCGAUAGCAAUUAGAAAAGCUCUCAUGCGAACUUUUCAAUAAGCAUAAUUCGUGCCGUCGGAGAGCGGAGGUCGAUUAAUGUUACCACCUUCGGCCAUUAGAUAACAAUUUAUCUAGAUCCCUCUUUGAUACCAAUUGAAAGUUUUGAGGAGCCCAAGGAUCUAUCCAGAUUGUAUCUAUCACCUAGAGGGGGAUGAAUAGGUGAACGACCAAAAACCACAAAUCUCGAUGCAAUAAAAAUAAAUGCGGAAAAUAAAAAGCACACCGAGAUUUACGUGGGAAAACUCCAACUUGGAGAAAAACCCACGGGACCAACACGCGAAAAAACAAUUCACUAAGAGAAAAGAUUGCAAGGUGAUUACCGACUCCACGGACUCAACCUCUCUUAACCUCCUAUGAAUCUUCGCGCUACCCUCCAGGUUGUCCACGCCCUCACGUUCGAGUCCACGAACGCCUCCACUUCGAAUCCACGAAGCUUCAAUCACGCCGAAUCCACGACGCCACUCGAAUCCACAAGCCAACGAUCCGAAUCCACGAACCACCUUUGUUCACGCCGAAUCCACAACGCCGUUCAUGAAGAGCAUCAUGAUUAUGGUGAUCCUUCGCUUAAGAGUAUCGUAGAAAACCAGGGAAUAGAACUCCAAGCGAAGCGGAGAUCAAAUCGACAUAUAGAGAAUGCGAAGAACAAUAUCUCGAUUUGAUCUAAAGAGGCUAAUUUGUAGAAAAUAGGUUUAGAAUGAAAUCCGAGCCUCUAGGGUUUCUCAAACAUGUAUUCUUAUGAUGCUUGAUAUGUUAGAGAACCCCAAUAGCUUAUUUAUAGACUUUAGAAUCAAUUGGAGUCGGAUUAGAAAGUUUUCACGAUUUUACACUGUGUACUGGUACACGAAAGGCUGUCACCGGUACAUAAUGACGGAACGAAAAUUCAUUGCCAAUGUUGAUGGCUGUACCGGUACGUGGCGCUUGCUGUACCGGUACACAAUGCAUUUUUUCAGAUUUUGCAUUGUUUCGGGUUUUCAACGUUCCGAGGCACUUUCUAAUCCAUUAAACUUUGAGUUUAUGAUUCUAAUGCCUAUAACUAAGUAUGAAUCACUAUAACAUGAAUUAAAACUCAACCUUUACGUCGUGAUUCAUAUUGUGAGCAAAUUUCCAAAAUCUUUGAAAUCUUGAAUUCUUCAAUCUUCAUCAAUCCGCUUCGAUCCUUCAAGACUCCGAUUUACUUCACGAAACUUGCCAAUACAAAGUCCUUAACAUAUACGGAUCACAAAAGCUUAAAGUAUUUAUUCACGCAGAAAGAGUUGAACUUGAGGCAGCGCCGAUGAUUGGAGCUACUCGAGAAUUAUGAUUUGACUAUACUUUACCACCCUUGCAAGGAUAACGUGGUGGCGGAUGCGCUAAGUAGGAAAUCAACGGAAAACUUAGCGAUGCUUGUGGUUACUCAACCGCCGUUGAUCGAGCAGAUGAAGUGGUUGGGGUUGGAAGUGGUGGCUCUUGAUACACCUUUGAGACUGAUGUCUUUGGUGGUGCAACCUAUACUUGUGGAAAGAAUUAAAGAAAAGCAAGUCUCCGAUGUGAAGUUGCAAAGGUUCGAGCUAAGAUGAUUGAUGGUUACACCGGUGACUUUUCAGAGGACGGUGUUGGAUUGAUGCGUUUCCGUGGACGGAUCUGUGUACCGGCGGAAUCAGCACUUAGAGAAGAGAUUCUUCAAGAGGCACACCGAGCACCGUAUGCAAUACAUCCGGGAGGCACCAAGAUGUACAAGGACUUAAAGUUGCUUUAUUGGUGGCCGAGGAUGAAAAAGGACGUUGGUGAGUUUGUUGCUAGAUGUUUAACUUGCAAACAGGUUAAAGUUGAGCACCGAGUUCCUGCGGGGAAGUUGCAGACCCUACCGGUACCAGUUUGGAAAUGGGAGAAGAUCACCAUGGACUUUGUGAUGGGUUUGCCCCGCUCGUAGGCUGGGCAUGAUGCUAUCUGGGUGAUCGUGGAUAGGUUGACGAAAUCGGCACAUUCAUACCUAUUCACACUACAUGGACUGGUGAGAGACUCGCACAGGUAUACUUAGAUGAGAUUCUGCGAUUGUACGGGGUACCUACAUUUAUUGUAUCAGGCCGAGACCCCUGAUUUGUAUCUCACUUUUGGCGGAGCUUACAGGAUGCCUUGGGUACGCGCUUAGACUUCAGUACAGCUUUCCACCCCCAGAGUUACGGGCAGUCAGAGCGUACGAUACAGACUCUCGAGGACAUGCUUCGAGCCUGUGUGAUUGACUUCCAGGGAGGAUGGUCGCAGCAUCUACCGAUGGCAGAAUUUGCUUAUAACAACAGUUAUCAAGUAAGCAUCAAGAUGGCACCUUUCGAGGCACUAUGGACGGAAGUGUAGAUCGCCACUUCAUUGGAGGGAAGUUCGCGAGAGAUUGGCUUUAGGCCCAGAUAUGCUCCAGGAAGCAGAGAACAAGGUUCGCAUUGCUAGGGAGCGGUUGUUGAUAGCCCAGAGUAGGCAAAGGAGUUAUGCUGACAGGUGUCGACGAGACUUGGAGUUCCAGAUUGGUGACCAUGUCUUCUUGAAAGUCUCGCCGACCAGAGGAAUAAGAAGAUUUGAAAUUUGGGGUAAGCUGAGCCCCCGAUACAUCGAACCGUAUGAAGUUUUAGAGCGUGUAGGCCCGGUAGCGUAUCGACUUGCGUUACCUCCGAACCUAUCGGGUGUAUACAAUGUUUUUCAUGUAUCGGUCCUUCGGAAGUACAUCCAUGAUCCGGCUCACGUGUUGGACGCCACACCUUUGGAGCUGAGUGAUGAUUUGAGCUUUGAAGAGCAACCUUUGAGGAUUUUGGCUCGCGAAGUAAAGAGGCUGCGGAACCGUGAGAUUCUCUACGUGAAGGUGCUUUGGAGCAAUCACGACGAGUGCGAGGCCACUUGGGAGUUGGAGAGCGCCCUACGGGAGCGCUAUCCCCAUCUUUUUUAGAUGGAGGCUUGAGGUACUUUACUUUUGAGUUUCGCGGACGAAACUCCUUUUAGAAGGGGUGAAUGUAACACAUUGGACCUGUGCAAAUUGCGAGGUUCGAGUGAUUGGAUGUGUUUCGAGCUUUUCCACACUUGGUGGAGGGUCGUGGAAUGUUUUUUGAUCCAAAAAGUCCGAAAACUUGAGUUUUGGAUGAGUCCUGAGAGUUUUUACUCUCGGGGACCGGUCCCUGAUAGGAGAGACCGGUCCCCCAGUGAGCAGUGUUGCGCUGUCGGCGAGGCAACCGGUCCCUGGCGGGCGAGACCGAUCCCCGAGCGCGUCUUCACAGUGAGAGACCGAUCCCGCGCGGGGAGAGACCGGUUCCCAAAGGAUGGUUUCUCGGGUUCGACACGAGAGACCGGUCCCUUGCAGGGAGAGACCGGUCCCUCUGGGCGAAAUCUGCCCAGACCGGGCUGAUACGAUUUUGGCUUUUUGAGGGACCUCCUGGGAUUUUGUUACUUUGGAGGGCCUAAAUAGCCAUUCCACCCUCUCUUUUCAUCAUUUCCUCAUUCUCACCCUCUCCCUACACCUUCUAGAGAGAGAAGAAGAAGAAGAAGGAGAAGAAGAAGAAGAGCUUGCUUGAGGGAGCUUGGAGCUCCUCGAGGGAUCUUGGAGCUCAACCCCCUUGCUCUCCUUUCCACCCUUGCAAGGCUUGGAGCUUGCUUGUAGGGCUUGGUAGUGGACCAAUCCUCAACCCUAGAAGAUUUGGAGCUUGUUUGGAGGCGUCUUGAGAGGUUAGUACUUCGAUUCUACCCUUUGAUCCUUGUUUUGGUAGAUUUUACCAUAUGGAACCCUAGAAUGGNUUUCAUAAUGCAACUAUUUCGUUACUAUUGCCUUGUUGACUUACCUUUUCUUUGGGGGCCUAGUGGUGCAUUGAGCUGAGGUCAGUAAUUGCCCACUGGGAACUAUAAAUUAUAGUUCUCACGCCCUCUGUUUUAUGUCUUCUUUCAGAGCCUUCCACGCCGGGAGAGGCUAGGGACCAUGAGAAGGGCGUUGCUUCGAGCUAGCUCUUCUCCGAGGGACGAGUGGAUAGGUGGUCUACCUCUCGAUGUUUUUAUUUUGGAGAGGUUGAGAGCUGUACCAGUGUACUAGAGACCACCCCUUUGUGUACUAUUUUGGGAGAUGUUAUUGUACUACUUUAUGUUCUACUCUUAUUGUUUUUGUAUACCUCUUUUACCUUGUUAUAGACUAUAGAUCUAUCUAUGCUCUGAUAUCUCUAGAUGUAGGUUACUUUUGGUUUAUUUUUCCACUGUUGUUGUAGACGCCUUAUAUGUGUGGACAUAUGGCGGGUCUGGGCACGCCACCGGGAGGGCCUCUGCCGGUCCCGGGGCGUGACACUGGACCUAGAUAGGUCAAUACUAUAGGGUUUGAGACCAACACUUGAGUCGUGAAAUGGAUUCCGGAAUCCCUAGUGAAGUGGCCGCAAAGGAAGCNGCAGGGAGAGACCGGUCCCUCUGGGCGAAAUCUGCCCAGACCGGGCUGAUACGAUUUUGGCUUUUUGAGGGACCUCCUGGGAUUUUGUUACUUUGGAGGGCCUAAAUAGCCAUUCCACCCUCUCUUUUCAUCAUUUCCUCAUUCUCACCCUCUCCCUACACCUUCUAGAGAGAGAAGAAGAAGAAGAAGGAGAAGAAGAAGAAGAGCUUGCUUGAGGGAGCUUGGAGCUCCUCGAGGGAUCUUGGAGCUCAACCCCCUUGCUCUCCUUUCCACCCUUGCAAGGCUUGGAGCUUGCUUGUAGGGCUUGGUAGUGGACCAAUCCUCAACCCUAGAAGAUUUGGAGCUUGUUUGGAGGCGUCUUGAGAGGUUAGUACUUCGAUUCUACCCUUUGAUCCUUGUUUUGGUAGAUUUUACCAUAUGGAACCCUAGAAUGGAAUUUUAGGGUUGAUUUUGGGCCUUUUUGAUUUAGGGCUUUUGAGGCUAGAUUUCUUGGAUUAGAACCCUCCUUUGGGUUAGAUUGGAAGAUCUUAGCCUUCUUUUGGAACUUGAGAGAGAAUUUCUACUCCCUAGGUGAGUUUUUGCCCUUUUCUUAUGGUUGUUAAUUUAUGAGCCUAGAGUUGCUCGUAACGCUCGUGUAUCUCUUCACUCAUUACUUUUAGGGUAUUUUGAGACUCGUAGACAACUUCUUUCGGCGAAACGAAGGACACUGCGACGGUUCGAUGGGUUUGACCUAGCCUGGCAUAUGAGAAAUUCUCAUAUCCCAUGUUUUAUGCUUGUAGAGUAAAAAAUUCAUGAAUUUCUAUGUUAAAUGUAUUUAUUGUGAAUUUUAGGAUGCUUAACAUGCCUAUAUUAUGUGUAAGAAAUUUCGGGCCCCUAUAUAGUAGAGGGCUACCAUGUGGGACUUGUACAUGAUUGACAUCCUAUUGAGACUUGGAAUCAUAUUUACUGGUGUGAAAAUGAGCAUUACCUUCAUGCAUUUUAAGCUAUUCCUACUUGAGACUUAAAGGAUCUUAGUAAGCCAUAAAGAGGCAUAUGACAAUAUUGAUAUGUGAGAUCGUGAGCUAAUGUCAUAAAGCGGCAUUGAGCUCGGGUUGUGUGGGAACCUAGUGGAUAGGGCCAUUGAGAGAAUUGGAACAUGUUUGUACAUUGAAAUGUCUAAGUGUCAUAAAGGGGCACUAGACUUAGUGAAUGAUAGGAGCUUCACAUUGUGACCUAGAGUUAGACCAUUGAGAUGCUAGUGACUAUUACCAUGUUAGAGACAUGAUGAUUGGGUACUUGAGACGAUGAUUACGCUUGCUUGCCAUAUGUGCUCAUUCGCACAUGCUUGUGAGAGUCGCUCCCUACAAGUCGGCACUCCGGAGUUGGCCUACGCGACUUAUGUUCGCUCGUGCGGUAUCGAGAAACCUACGGGGUCGGGAGCGAUAGACUCAUUCCUAGAGUGGGAAUGCUGGAGCUAUCACCGAUACUUAGGUGGCACAAGCUGGACUACAAUAUGUGAGUCCUAGAACAUGUUGGAAAUAAUGACAUUUGAUCGAGAGAUGAUAAUCACUACUAGAUAGGUUUAGUAGUUGGAUUACUAUGAUAUGCUUAUAGCAUAGUGUUGAGACACGUAGAUAUACUCGAUGUUUAUUUAUUGCAGAUAGUACACUUGCUACCAUGAUAGAGCAUAUUCAUCAUACAUUGACAUUGUGGAUCAUGUUACUACCUGUUCGUUGUGUUUGGACAUAUUAGUAUGUUUGAUUACUUCAUUGGAGAUAAGUAGAUGUAGACACUUUCGCAUAUGUUUACUUGUGAUAUAGUAGCUUAGCAAUUAUUUAUGCUUUAUAAUGCAACUAUUUCGUUACUAUUGCCUUGUUGAUUACCUUUCUUUUGGGCUAGGUGGUGCAUUGAGUCGAGUCAGUAAUUGCCCGUGGGAACUAUAAAUUAUAGUUCUCCGCGCUCUGUUUUAUGUUUCUUUCAAGCCUUCCACGCGGGAGAGGUUAGGGACCGUGAGAAGAGCGUUGCUUCGAAGCUAGUUCUCGAGGGACGCGUGGAUAGGUUACCUUCGUGAUUUUUAUUUUGGAGAGGUGAGAGCUUGUACAGUGUACUAGAGACCACCCUUUGAUGUACUAUUUUGGGAGAUGUUAUUGUACUACUUUAUGUUCACUCUUAUUGUUUUUGUAUACUCUUUUACUUUGUUAUAAGACUAUAGAUCUAUCUAUGCUUUGAUAUCUCUAGAUGUAGGUUACUUUGGUUUAUUUUUCACUGUUGUUGGUAGACGCCUUAUAUGUGUGGACAAUUGGGGUCUGGGCACGCCACCGUGAGGCCUCUGCCGUCCGGGGCAUGAACUGGACCUAGAUAGGUCAAUAUAUUAGGGUUUGAGACAAACUUGAGUCGUGAAAUGGAUUCGGAAUCCUAGUGAAGUGGCGCAAAGGAAGCGGUGGCACUUGUCGGUAAAAGAGAUGGCAAGCGAAUCAUAACUGCAAGGUAGUGUUGGUUCUCCCAAGGCUCUGCAGUGAUUCAACGGUAGUGUGUGGUUUCUUCGCCCGGGAUGCCAUGAGAAUAAGAUGAAAUUUGGUAUGUGUGGUUUCCGCGCCAUUAGUUAUCAGAGAUGCGCUAGAUUGACUUAACCAUGUGGUGUGAGGCGAGUGGCCACUGCCAGAUGACUAAGCCAAGAUUUGAGCAUUGUUGGGCGUGUGAUGCCGAUGGAGUGUCGCCGCCAGGUGGCUAAGUCAUGACUUGAGUCAUUGUUGGGUCGAUGCGAUGAAUUCGCUGCCAGAUGGUUAAGUCAUAGGUGCGGUAGGCUGUGACGGCAGCCAGGCUGAGAUGCAGCCAGUGCGCGGACUAUCUGCGGAUGAUUGACUCGAGGCCGAGUCGGGUGGUUAGCUUGAUUAGGUUAAUAGAAACCUUAUAAGCUAGUGAUAAAGGUAAGAGCUAAAGUUAGCAAAGUAAAUGUAGAAUUAACAUAUCUACUAGUUGUUUAUACAGUUGCAUAGUUGCAUAAUAUUCCUGUUGCAUAUUGUGAGGCAAAGCAUGAUAUAUGUUAGUUGCAUUUAAAUUAUGAUUUCAUAUCUAUCUUUUGAACUAACGUGUUGUUGCCUCCUUUGGACCUAUUGGUCGAGCUUUUCCCUUGGGUGGCCGUACCCACUGGGAACGAUGGAGUUGGUUCUCACCCCACAUUAUUUUGGGGUGUUACAAGUUCACACGUGAGCGCGCGGCGGCGCGAGGCAAGGGCGUAGCAUCAUAGUUAGCGCCCUACCACCGAGACCAGAGAUAGCGGUACCUCGAGUCGGUUACUUAGGGAUGUAAAGAAUGAAAAGAAUCAAGUUGCAAUAAUCAUGUUAAAUCAGAUUGUAUUUGGAAGUUAAGUGAAAGCUAAUGUAAGAAUCUAAUGAGAUUUGUGAUGUAAACAUGUAUGAAUGUGAAUGCAUGUAAUAACAUAGGAUGUAUUAUAUUGUUUGAUACCUUCCAUUAUGCAAUCUUGAUUGAAAUGUGUUCCUGGUUGGAACUUCGCACAUUGUAUUGAUUGCUAUGGCUUGAACGUACAGGGGAGACUCUGUCCGCAGUACAGGGGAAACCCUGUCCGUUCGACAGUCUGUUGCGGCGCUGCGACCAGGCCAAAUAGGCAGGCGGUCGCAGGGCAUGACAUUAUUUAGCAUGUAAGAUGAUCACUUUACUAAACCAAUAAGUCGAGAUCCCCUAAGGGCCAUAUCAUCAUUCAUACUCUAACAUGCUUUCUAAGAUUGCAUAAAAGAGAAUUCACCAAAUAGGGCUAAUUCAUGCACAAGUUCACAUAAGAGCUUCUACUACAUAGAGCAUCAAAUUGUCCUUACAUAGCAUAUAUGUAAUGUUUCUCAUAAAUUCUUGCAUGUCAUUUUGAGUAUGAAAAAGCAUUUAAUUGGAUCUUAAAACUAAAAGGAGGUUUAAGGGGGAGUUUACCCAUUUCGGUGAGAUCAAACCUACCGGAAACACUUCGAACUCUUUCGUAACGCCGAACGAAGUUGUCCCCCAAGAUUCUAGCACCCUAAGAAAAAAUCUAAAGGGGUUAAAAGCUACAAAACAACUUCUUCGAAAAUUACACAUACAAGGUGUAAAAUGUACCUGUAACACACUGGACCUUUGCAAAUUGUAAGGUUUGAGUGUUUGCUCUGUGUUCCGAGCUUUUUCAAAUAUUCUGAAGGGUCGUUGACAGUGUUCCGACCUAUGGCUCAUAUCUCGAGAAUUGUAGUAUUUGAAGUAGCGCUAAGGCCACCAGAGAGGAGGAUUUAGGCUGCUCUCGGGUUGCAUUCUGUAGGGCUGUGUACCGGUACACCUUGAUGGUUGUACCGGUAUAGGAUUUAUACCGGUACACCUUGAUGGUUGUACCGGUAUAGGAUUUAUACCGGUACACCUUGAUGGUUGUACCGGUACACUUGUGGUGAACAGCCAACCCGAGGCUCGGGUUUGCUGUCUCGCAGGAUUUGUACCGGUACACUUUUACGUGUACCGGUAUACAGUACAGUGCGAGCAGUUUUUGUAGAGGGGUAUUUUUGCAAUUAUUGCAAAUCCUAUUUAUACUACCCCAGCCCCUUAGAGAGCUCUUUUGAGCCCUAACCAGUGGAAAAUACAGGUAAGACCCUCUCCCCUUGGUUUUUCUCCAUUUUGCUUGGUUUUUAGCUAGUUUUGAUCUCCUCCUCUUUACUUUUUCUUGCUUCUUGUUGGUUUCUAUCAUGAGAGAAGCUUAGAGUUCGGGAUUGGAGCUUUGUGGAGGGAGGAUCUUCAACCCUAGCUGAUUUUGGUCCUUAGUUGAGGCUUCUAAAAAGGUUAGUAACAUGUAUUCCUCAUUUAAUACAUGUUUUGAUGGAUUUUGCAUGUUGGAACCCUAGAUUUGGAAAUUAGGGUUAGAAAUGGAGAUUUUUGAUUAGAGAGUUUUGGAACCAAAUUGAUGGGUUUAGAACCUUUGUUUAGGUUGGAGUGGAAGGACUCUAACUUCCUUUUGGAGAUCCACUACAACAAAACUAGGUUAUAGGGACACUUUCUUGGGACACUUUAGUAUAAGUGUUCCAAAUAUAUUCAAAAAUUUUUAAAAUUUUAAAAAAAAUUUGCAAGGCCCAAAUAAAGACCUCAAUUACAAAAAAAAAAAAAAAGAAAAAGAAAAAGAAAAAGAAAAAAGGAUCGGUCCUCACCAAACCCGUUACCCUGGGUCGUAUUACCCUAAGUCGUAUUCCUCUUUCUCCCCUCACGUAUUACCCUGAGUCGUAUCCCUCUUUCUCCCCUCACCACCUCUUCUCCCCUCACCAAACCCGUCGAAACCCUAGAAAUCGGCCCUCGCGCUCCUCCUCCUCCGCCGUAGCACCCGAAGAGAUAAGGUACGAGACGCCACGGUCGCCGGGAGAGUUGGCACCAAACGUCGAGGCGGCGGCGGCGUUGGGGGAGGAGUCCGGCGAUCACUUCCUGGCUAUGCUCGCGGCGCGUUGAAGGUGCGGAACGAGGAGAAGGAGAAGGUAAGCUCGAUCGAUACUAAGGUUUCUUAUCAUGAGGAUUUAGGGUGUAAUCUCUUGUGAGAAUCUCUUCGUUCGUGAAUUGCUUGCUUGUUUGUGCAUGAAUCGAAUCUGAUCUUCGAUCGAUACUAGGGUUUCUUAUCAUGAGGAUUCAUACGCUUUUAGAAAGCUUCCAAAAUUGCUCAUGUAGAUCAUUUCAUGAAGAUCAAAAUAUUUCGAGUAGAUUUGCUCAUGUAAAGAAUUCGGUUUCUAUCAAAUAGGGCAUGUUGAGCGUAAUCUACUGGAGAAGUGCGAUAAUUUAGUAGUUUGAAGUUCUUGUACUUUGUCGAGUUGGGGAUGUAAAUAGUAAAUAAUAGUAGGUUGUGGAAUUCAUGGUGGACAUGACAAGGAUCUCAUGCUGGAAAUAUCUUAUGUGAAUGUUCCCAAGAGAGUUGGCAAAGUACUUAUUAUAGAUUCUGCUAUAGUUGAUGCCUAGUUGUACUUCACAUCCUUAUUCAAACUAAUAGUAGUGUUUUGAUAUAACAUUUGCCAUCACUAAAGCAAUGUUUCCUUAGUAAACUGGGCAAUCAUGGUUCAGAGUAGAAUGUGAGACAAUUGGAGCAACUCUUUAAGUUACCUACGAAUUGCAAGAAGAUAAGGAGCUAGGAGACUGACUGAACCAUUUAAUUCUUUUACCAUUUGGCUCUAUGCAUUUGAUAAAAUCUUUGUGAUCCUUUUGGCUUAGCUUUUCGUCUGUUUUUUUCUCAUAGUAACUAGGGAACAUGAGACUCUUGGGAAUUCUCAGAAACUCCAUUCAUUGAGGCAGGCCAUCACCAUGCAAGGAAGAUAAACAUGGGAACUUUUUUAAUGAUUAAGAAAUUGCUCUCAAAACAAAAAAAUAAAAAAAUAAAAACAAAAUAAAAGAAAAGAAAGAAAAGGGAUUAAGAUAUUGCUCAAAUGAUUCACAACUGAGAUCUCAUGUGAUUUGCGUAGAGUUAGUUAUGCAAUUACUGUCUUGAAAUUUGUUUUGGUCGUCCUUGAGCUUCUGUUAUCUGGUAUUGGUAAUCUUCUAUGUAAGCUUUUGAGUCAUCACAAGUUCUCUGUAGUUUGUUACCUGCAUUUCUUAUGGUCCAUUGGAUUCUUUUUAGUUAAAUAAUUCUCUACUUCAACUUUGGAGAACCUCAAGAGCUCGGAUUGAGCGCAUGAUCAGCUUCUAAUCCCAAUCUAGGGUUUUUGUUCUUAAGAUCUUACAGUGGAAGAGCACUUAAUUUGAUAUGUGAUUAUAUUUUUUAGAUUAAUUCCUUCUGAUUCUGAUCCAUAGUUUCUACCAACUGUAGUAUUUUGUUAUCAAAUUUAGUUGUACUCUACAGGCUAUCAUUAAUAAUUAGUAUAAUUCUGAACCAUUAAUCAGUUGAUUUCCUAACAAUGCAAAACAAAAGCAAAUGAGAUAUCUAGUUUCCUACAAUGGUAGCUUAGAGGGAGUUGGAUUAUUAGAAUGUAUAGAUUUGAUGUAGGAAAUUCACACUGUAAGGCAAUGUGGCUUGUUCAUGAAACAAUUUAGGAAUUUGCAUUUCAUUUUCCAGCUACCUGCUAGAUAAGCCUCGUAUCAAACCCAUAACUAAAGAUCUAGAGUUUGAGAAAAAUCGCCUCGCUGUAUUAUUUGAAAGGAUCCAAGACCCUGAUAAGUAACAUAUUAAUGUCUUUGGAUUGAAUUUCUCGAUACUAGUUAUUUCUAUCAUAAAGGGGAAAAGCCCUAAAGAAAUGAAUUUGGGGAUUUUUUCUUUAAAGUUUAGAUUAGGCUUUUUAGAACUUGAUUUGAAUUUGUUUAGAGUCCGUUUAAGUGCUACAUAUUAACUACUUUCACAGCUGGGCCAUAAUUUUUAGAGGAUUUGACACUAUAUGGUGAAAGCUCAAUUUUGUCGUUGAUGUGGGAUUCAAUUAUGGGUCCUUGGAUUGACACUUGAGGAGUCAAUUAGGUUCGUCGGGAGAGACCAAGGCCACAGGGCAUUGUGUGUUGGCAAGCAAACAACUUAAGGACAUUUGGUCAUCAUCUAUAGAUUAUUUUAUACGUGAUUAUCAUUCUAUACGUGAUUAAAUUUUCUUAGUCUUGACAUGUAUAAUUUUGGUAUUAACAGGUACCCAAACAUAAGUCUUGAUGCAAUUCAGGGGCUCUGCAGAAUAAGCGAUCAUUUCUUUUCAAUUGAGGUAACCUACUACCACAGCCUUAAUAUACUUUUCAAUUGAUUCUGCUAUUUUUGAGAAUUGCUUAUGUUAUACUUGGAUAUGUCAAUAACCCCUUAAUUAUUUAUUAUGUUCUGUUGGUUUAAUUUCAUUUACAUGUAAGCAUGUAGAUGAUCCAUCAGAAUCUGCACUCUUCGGUGGAUAUAGAUGUAACACACUGGACCUUUGCAAAUUGCGAGGUUCGAGUGUUUGGAUGUAUUUCGAGCUUUUCCACACUUGGUGGAGGGUUGUAGAAUGUUUUCCGACCUAAAAGUUCGAAAAUCAGGAAUUCUGGAUAAGUCCUGAGAGUUUUUACUCUCNUAAACUUGCGGUAUAGAUAUAUUUGGCACUCUCAUCUCUGUUAAGUUUUGCGGUGUAACAACAAUGUUUGGAUCAGACCACCCAUUUUCUGAUUUAUGGCGUAAUAGAUUGUUGUCUAUUCUCUGUCAUUUUUUCCAAUGCAUAAUAGACCAUCCGUUCUCUAUUAGUUUUUAUCAAGAUCGACACAGGUAAAGCAUUAGAUAAUUAUAAUCUGCUGCCACAAAUGAUAUUGAUGAAGACUAAGAUAAAGAGUGCAGCAAUUUUCGUGAUUCUAUCUACUUCCCUGGUAGUGUUACCUUUCUUAUGGUUUUAAUUUUGUCAUAAUUUUGUUGCUCAACUUUGUACUUUGAUUUAAAUACUAAUAUGCACAACUUUUGAUGUUUGUUGAUUGCGGAAAAGAAAGGUUUGGUUAGAUCAUUCCUUCACUUUUAGUAGUUCAAACAUGAAACAUAGGAUCUUUCUACUCUUUGAUCAGAAUAAAUGCAUGUGGUCCUCAUUAAUGGAGCUUCGAGUGAAGGGUAAGGAGCUAUAUGCUUGAAUAUUAUAGCUUCGAACAGAUGAUCUCAAAAUUUUUUGUACUUUGAUUUAUCUUAUUGCUUAUCUUAUAGCUAUAAGAUAAGCUAUAAGAUAAGCUCACUAUUUUUUGUAUUUUUGAUGAGCUAUAAGAUGUUUUGCUGAGCGAGUGAAAUUACCUAGUACCUGGUCUUUUAUUGAACUGUGUGAUCAAUUUAAAUUGUAAAAAUUUGUUAGAGUGUACUUUAAUAAUUUGGUUUAUUUUAUUCAUCUCAGUAAGGCUGCGUUCUCUGUGGGAAUAGAUGGAAACUAAGAUGAUAUGAGUAGGUCAUGCAUUUUCGUGGGUCGGUUAGAAAAAUUACUAGGGUAGCUCAUCAAAAAUAGGAAGUGCAAAAUGUGUUGGAAGUGUAUUUUAUCUUUCGAUGUUAAUUUAUUAGGCUAGAGCAAUAGGGGAGACUCCCUCAGUUUCUCUCUCCUGUUAUUAUUAUUAUUAUUAAUUAUGAGUUUGGUUGGCCUCUCUAAUCGUAAGACCCCUCUAGAAGGGGUAAAGAUAGGACCCUAUGAGCCAUUCUCUAUUUUUCUAAGAAAUGCAUGAACCAUCUUUAGAGCUGCAAUUUUUCUCUAGUUAAUGGUGAAUGCAUGACUAAUGAGUAGCUUUUUGCAUUUCUUGCGGAAUCUUCUAAAUUCAGGAGGAAAAGUAGUACUCUCUCUCUCAUAAGUUUAUUUUUUUGGGAUAAUAUCUAGGUAUAAUAUUUAAGCAUAUCCUUCACUAUUGUACUUUGAUUUAAAUACUAAUAUGCACAACUUUUGAUGUUUGUUGAUUGCAUAAAAGAAAGGUUUGGUCAGAUCAUUCCUUCACUUUUGUUUCUGAACGAAGUUCACAGUGGCAUACAUGAUUUAUAUUGUUCGUAAUUCCUGUGAGUAAUUUCUGCUUUUUUCUUUGUCGCGCCUUACAUGAUUUAUAUUGUUGUAUUAUUAGUCAUCAAUUGAUUCUACUAAGAUUGUUUUGUUAUUGUCUAUGGCAGGGUCUGGUAGUUAGCAAAUUUAUGUAAAGGCUUAAUUGCAUUCUAUUACACUGUACUUUGCUCUUCUUUUUUUUUUAUUUCAUUUGUUGUACUGCACUAUUUGCUCUUUGAAAGACACUACUAAAAGCUGCCAUUUUCUUAUGAAUUUCUAUACUGUUGUUUUGCAUGCUUUUGGCCUCACCCCUACAUUAGCUUUUCUACUCUAAGAAGCUGAAACCAAGAAGCUAAAAGAAAUUCGGAGCUUCUGGCUGGAGCAGGAAGCUAAACUGGGCUUUCGAACCCCAAAGCAAAAGCUAUAUGGUGGAGCUUAUGUUUCUGGUUUUGAAGCUGCUCCUGGAUGGAGCUUUUAGCAGACUUGUUUGAAGAUGCCAUCUCAGUUCUUUUCAUAAAUACCCUUUUCCAAUUUAAUCUAUUGUUUUGGAUGAAAGCUAAUUUUCGUUUCCUACUUUAGCGAGAAGCUCUAGGUUUUUUUAUUUGUGCUAGUGAAAAUAUUGCGAAAAUUGGUUGAAACGGGGAUUUUUUGCAGAAUCUUCUGCUUCACAGCAGAAAUAAGUUGCUUCUAUCAGACAUAAUAAGAAAUGUUUCUUGCAGCUUUACCCAAACACCCAUGAGAAAUGUGCUUUUUCUGGGAGUCGGUUGUCUUGUAUUCCUAAUGCAAAUUUAAAUUAUGUUAUCUAUCAGGUUCAUUCAACAAAAAUUAGGCGGUCCGUCAAUAUCUGAAUAUGAAAAACUACAAGCUGAGAAAUUGGACCUGCAGUUAAGGUACGAUGAACUCUUCGCAGCUCACCAAGAAACAUGCAGACAAGUAACUAACUCUUAGUUUGGUAUGUUAUUUAAAACUUACUUUCAGUUUCUUUUAAAACUAUGCUGAUUUAUGCUGAUAUUAUUAGUAUCAAUUAGUGGAUGCUUUUCUGAAUGAAAUCAAGCAACAUAUUUCUAGUGUUAGUUCGAUUGUACAAACUCAAAAAGUUACGCCCUUUGAUGUAGGAGCUCCGACUAUAACGAAUAAGCUUAAUUAUAUUCUUCUUUCAUGUAAAUGCAUGCUCAGGGAUGAUGACAACGUUUCUGAACUAUAAUUGGAUUAUUAAUGUCUCGAUACUAAUUUUGACGGAAAAUGAUUUGUUUUAAUUUCUUGCGGAAUUCUGCUGCAUUUUAUUGUUAUAAAACAUAGGCAAUACACUUCUUUUUUAAUGUUUGGCAAAUCAAGGAUGUUGCACAAAUUUGAACUAAUUCAAAUGUUAUUCAAUGUGCAGGUUCAAGUAUAUAGUCGUGGAGCCGAUCAGAAUUCGUUUAUGCAUUUUUUUAUUUUUGUUAUCAAACAAUUUUUGAUUUUUUGUAUUUUUUUUUCAGUUAAAGAGUUUAAUUUGUUAUAAUUACUACAACAUAUGAGUGGAUAUUAUUGUUGUGACGUAUGAUUUUAGUUUUAUCAUUUUAACGAGAAUUUAAGAAACUUUGUUAAUUGCUUUUUUUUUUAGUUUCAUCGAUUUAAUGUACAUGAGAUUAGCUUAACUAAAGUUUAAUACUACACUAGUUAUUUAAAUAAAAUAUUAUACUUUGAAUGACAAUGGGACAUUUAUAAAAUGUCACUAUAUAAAAAAAAUAUUACUUUUUUAAAAAAAAUUAGGGACACUUAUGGGUGUCACUAAAACCCAACAAAUAGUGUCACUAAACUGCAGCACUUAUUUUGGGAUAUACUGACACUUUAUUAUGUAUCGCUAUAUACCCUAGGGACUGCACAUAUAGCGACACUAUUUUUAGUGUCGGUAUUUUUGCCAGCAACACUUUUUUUAGGUUUUAAGGACACUUAAAAGUGUCGCUAUAGCUUAGUUUUGUUGUAGUGAUCGAGAGAGUUUCCUUCGCAUUCGGUGAGUUUUCUUCACCUUUACUUGAGUUGCUUAAUGUUUGAACUAUGGGUUGUUCGUAAUGUUCGUGUAUCUCUCUUUUCUAUAUCUUUAGGGUGCUAGGAGAGUAGUGGGCACCUUCGUUCGGCGAAACGAAGAGUUACGAGAGUCACGGUGGGUUUGAAUUCAUGAAUCAUGAGAGAAAUGUCUCCUAUGUGUUCUAUAUUUGUCGUAUCAUCGAAAUGUAUGUAUAUUCAUGCUAGAUAGAAUUUUUAUGAAUUUUAGAAUACUUAAAAUGUAGGGGUUAUGUAUCAUGAAAAUUCAACUCUAUAUAGUAAAGCACUAAGUGUAUUCCGUAUGCAUGUGAAAAGUAUUUUUUCUAGCAAUUUGGGAACAUGUCUUCUAUGAUGAAAAUGACUCGAAUCUAGUACUCUUGAACACUAUACUCAUGUUUGGACUUAGUGGAUGAAAGUGCCAUAAAGGGGCACUCGACUUAGUAAACUGUGAAAUUGCAACAUAGAGACAUAGUGAUAGGCCAUUGGACAUCGACUAUAUUCUAUAUUUUAGACAUAAUGAUAUAGUGAUAGGCCAUUGAGACAUAUGCUAUAUUCCAUAUAUUAGACAUGAUGACUUGGGACUUGAGACGGAUAUUACGCUUGCUUGCCAUUGUGCCAUUCGCACAUGCUUGUUAGGAUCACUCCCCAUAAGCGGGUACUCCGGAGAUAGCGAUCACAACACAUGCUCGCCCGUGUGGGAUUGGGCGCCGAAAUGGGAUGCCGUGGGGGGAGGCUCAUUCCUAGAGUGGGGAUGUUGACUACCACGGGGCCAUUAGGCACGGCACAGGCCGAACUACCCACGGGUAGGUCCUACAGGAUUGGAACAUUGGUGACUUAGUAUACCAAGUGGACAUUGACUAGAAUAGUAAACAUUGACAUUUUACUAUAUAGCUUGUGGACAUUAUGUUAGUUAUACUCUUGUACAUUCAUGUUAGAGUAGCUUUCAUACUUAUGCAAAUUUCAAACUAAGUAGAGAUAUCCUGUUGUAGUAAGCUUUUAUUUUGUUGCUUAAUGUUUCGUUUUGCCUCUACAUGCACUUACCCCUUUUAGCUUUGGGCCUAGUGGCGCAUUUCACUGAAGUCAGUAAUUGCUCACUGGAAACUAUUAUUUAAUAAUUCUCACGCCCUCUGUUUUGUGCUUUCUUUACAGAGCCCUCUACACCGGUGGAGGCACGGGAUCGUGGCAAGGGAGUUACCUAGCUAGAUAGGGAGGAGGUUACUUGUCACGCCCCGCCCCGAAACCAAUACCAAUUUGGCACGAUUCGGCUGCGGCGACGGACCGCCGAACGGACAGCACCUCCCUUGUCCGCCCAAGGCUCAACGACAGGAAUGUGUACAAGAAUUUACCCAGGACUUUAAAUUCUAAACAUACACAUUCAACGAGGGCACAAACAGUGCCAACAACAAGAAGAGCAAGUAAUCCACAAGAUAUACGAGUGAAAUAAAGAGAGUACUUUACUAACUAUUACAAUAGUUGCAUUCUUUACAUUUACAUCAUUUUCCCAAAAUGAAUACACUUGAUCCUCGAAAUACAUAGCUUUUCAACCUCACCUACAUGAAUCUCUCUCUAUACAUAGGUGUGCUAAUGCAAAAGGAAAGCUACUAUACUAUCACGGCCUCACUGAUCAGGCGCGACGCCCUUGCCGCGGUCCUCUCUCUGCAGCCCUGAACCUACCACUGGAAAUAGAGUGGGGUGAGAACUAUCUUCCAUAGUUCCCAGUGGGCUCGGCCGCCGACUCUGCCGAUCUCCCCACUAGGUCCAAGUGGGCACAAGUAACAACAGAUAGAUAGAUAGAUAGAUAUGUAUCUGAAAGCUGUAAAUGCAGUAGUAGGAAAACUAUGCUACUAUGCCCAUAAUCAUGAAUAUGAAUGCAUGCAUCAUAUAAUAAAGGUUUGCUACCAUGCUAACAAAUUCGAUCCAUGUUCGAAUAGCAAUGUUCAAUGACAUUAAUAAACCUUUAACCUUUUCAUUUACCCAAUCUGUGGCGAGGCCCUAGGGCUCGCCCAUGACUCACCUUCAAAUCCCAAAGUGGGGAGGGAGCUCCAAGUGCACCCAAGCCCGAGACCGUCUGCGGACGUCCAUGUGGUCCGGACCUCCAAGUGGUCCUAGUCGCGCGACACUCCGGAGUACUCGACGACAAUCCCCUCCAUGUGGGGAUUGGAUGGCUAUACCAUCCUAAACGCAGACUGUGAGCUAGAUCUAUCCUCUCCAAGUGAGGAUACACUGUAACUAGGGUCUACACCCAAUCCAAUCCUCUCCAAGUGAGGAGGCUCUACAACUAGAGUCAAUAACCCAAUCGAAUCCUCUCCAAGUGAGGACGCCCUACACUAGGGUCAACGACUAUCGCGGAAUCAUCGGUUCCCGACAUUCAUGUAAUGCUAUUUAGUUUUCUAAAUUCAUUGUUCACAAGGCAUUUUCUAAGGGAUCCACUUAUCCCUAGGUCCAUCGACCUCUAGUGUUAUUUACACUACAUUAAUGCCACUCGUUAUCAUUCAAUGUUUGGAUGCCACUCGUUUGUUCUUUAACAAUAACACUACUUUCUAUGUCAUCAACACUCCUAUCGGGUUCAUCUCUAUCUUUAGCAUCAUAGGAUCCACCUUCCGACCCAAUCCUCACCUAUCUAGUUACCAAGCGUUCCAAGUACACUAAGUCAUCAAUUAGAAAGCAUAAGGAAUGGAGCUACUAAGCAAUCCUACAAUGCAACAUGAAGAGAUGAGAUUAAAUGCAAUCUAAGACAUAGAAAGGAGUUCGAAAGUUUCGGAUGACACCCCCCACCUUUAAUCGAUGUAGAGGCUUGGAAAAUCCUUCUCGGCGAGCUCUACGAAAAGGCUUUAGCCUUCCUCGCCCGAAUCAACACUAGCCCGGCCCGAUUUUGCCGAGAACUUCACGUCGGUUCGCCGAAUGCCGAAAUCGACUUCGCCCCCGCGUUUUGUGACCUAUCAAUAGGGUUUCCAAGGCUUCAAAUGAGACCAAUCUCAUACUUAUACAAAAACCCCAUUUUGGAGCCCUAGGUUUGCACCUAUAGCAAACCACCCAAUAAAUCCCUAGAUUCUUGGGAUUGAUCUAUUUAGAAGCUAGCUUAGGGUCCAUUUGACCCAAUCCAAGGCAUAAAAUCCAAAAACUCUAAGUUUACAAAGCUAGGGUUUAGUAGCUUACCUCAAGAGCUACACCAAUGGGAAGAGGAGAGGGAGAUGGAGGUGCUCAAAGCCUUCCUCUUGAUCUCCUUCUUCUUCUCCUUCCUUAUCUUCCUUUUUUUUUCCUUCCUCUCCUUCUUAUUCUUCUUCUCCUUCUUUCCUUUCUAGAGAGAGAGAGAGGGAGCAAGAGAGAAAUGAGAGUGAGGGAGAGUGGAAUGAGAGAGUGUGAGGGAGAGAGAGGGCUCAGCCCACUCAAAUAAAAGCCAUUUUGCAUAAAAGCCCCUCAACUUUCCCUCCUGUGCACUGCCCUCACUAGGCAGUUUUCGCGCGGAGGGACCGGUCUCCCCGACUUGGGACCGGUCCCCGAGAGCUUCCCUCGGGCGCACGCGUUCGGGAACCGGUCUCUCCCCGGGAGACCGGUCCUCGGGAGACCGGUCCUCACCUGAGAGACCGGUCCCCAAGAGCUUGAUUUUCAGGACUUAGCCAAUUUUUGGCAUCUCUCGCUGGGACCACGUUCGGGAACCGGUCCCCCCCUACCAGGGACCGGUUGCGUCAUGCAACCCCGCUACAACAAGCCAGGGGAACCGGUCUCUUACUUGCAGAGACCGGUCCCCGAGAGCAACAUCAGCCCAAUGAUGCAAUUUGCCUCAUUUGCUCUCGCGGACUCAACUCCAAGGCACUUUUUGUGCUUUGGACAUUCCCAACUCCCACAAAGGGUAUACUUUUGACAAUUAGUCGAUCCUGGAUGAAGUACAAUCCUCAUAUUUCGAGAAUUCACUUCCUUACAUUACUUUUGUUUAGGUAGUUUUCUCUCUUUUGUGUUUUGUUGAGAGAGAGAGAGAUUUUGUAUCCAUGUAUAAAGACCACCUCUGUAUUACCUUCAGUUUAUGUACUCGGGUUUUGUUAUUGUACUACCUUAUGGUUUUAUUUAGUGGAUCUAGCUCUUUACUUAUUUUCUUUUCCUUGUCAUAGAUACUAGAUGUUGUAUACUCUGAUAUCUCUAGAUCUCUUCGUGUUGUUGCUUUAUUUAUUACCUUAUUGUAGACGCCUUAUAUAUUUUAGACGUAUGGCGGGUCUGGACACGCGCCGGGCGGGCUUCCGCUGUGUCCCGGGGCGUGACAGAUCAUGUCUAUGAUGUUCAUAAUGCUACAAUAAGUGACGAUACAUCUCAUUACUAUUCUAACCAUACAUUAUGCCAAUCAAUAUAAGUGUAACAUACUACCACUAGGGUGUCAAUGCUAACAAUGACUAACAUAAGGUCCACAUAUGCACUAUCAUGCAUAUCCACUAGUCCAACUGAUAUAAAUCAUCUAGUAGUAGUUUUCACAUUACACUUUAGGUUUCGUAGUUCAAUCCUCAUCAUGGAUCUACACAUGUGUAGUCCGGCUUGUGCCGUGCCAAAAAUGGCCCCGUAGUAGUCAACAUUCCCACUCUAGGAAUGAGCCUCCCCCACGGCAUCCCAUUUCAGCGCCCAAUCCCGCACGGGCGAGCUUGUGUCACAUAGGCUAUCUCCGGAGUGCCACCUUGUGGGGAGCGACCCUCACAAGAAUGUGUGAAUGAGCACAAAGGCAAGCAAGCGUGAUCAAUAGUAUCCAACUCUCGGUCAUCAUGUCUAAAAUAUGGAAUAAGUGGCAAUGACCCUAAAGGUCCCAUAUAGUAUUACGAUGUCAAGGUUUAUCAUUUAUUAACCCAAAUGUCACUACAUGACGUUCAUGAUUACUAUGUCAAGUAACAGUCACUAGUUCAAAUGCACACAACCAUUGCCAUUAUCCUAUCUAGGGUAGUUCACUUUUGUCCAAGUCUCAAUGAGAGUUCACACUUAGUCUAUUCCACUAAAGCUAAGGAAGUCACUUUCUUAUGGUGUAUGCAUAGUUACCACUAAUUAUUUAUAAUGCUCAUGAUGCAAGCCAUGCACAUAUAUCUUCCUACCCAUACCUCCACCUUAUGGAGUAAUAACAAUUAUGCGAGUGCUUUCAUUCAAUAAUGCCAUAUGCAAAUAUUCAACUAGAAUGAAUGUUCCAACUUGGUUUCUUAUAGAUCUUACAUGUACUACGUUACCAUGCCCCAACUACUUGCCUACAACAAGUGUGAUAUUGUCAUGCAAAUAUAUGCUAAGUCUCAUUCAUGCACAUGUCUAAGUCAUGUAGUUAUGCUAUCAAUCUCAAGGUCAACACCGUGUUAGUUACUAGGUCACAAUACCCUAUUUUCUUGUCUACACAAGUAUAUUAUUUAAUAUGUAAGAUGAUCACUUUACUAAACCGAUAAGUCGAGAUCCCCUAAGGGUCAUACCAUCAUUCAUGCUCUAACAUGCUUUCUAAGGUUGCAUAAAAGAGAAUUCACCAAAUAGGGCUAAUUCAUGCACAAGCUCACAUAAGAGAUUCUACUACAUAGAGCAUCAAAUUGUCUUUACAUAGCAUAUAUGUAAUGUUUCUCAUAAAUUAUCGCAUGUCAUUUUGAGUAUAAAAAACCAUUUAAUUGGAUCUUAAAACUAAAAGGAGGUUUAGGGGGGAGUUCACCUAUUUUGGUGAGAUCAAACCCAUCGGAAAUACUUCGAACUCUUUCGUAACGCCGAACGAAGUUGUCCCCUAAGAUUCUAGCACCCUAAGAAAAAUUCCAAAGGGGUUAAAAGUUACAAAACAACUACUUCAAAAAUUACACAUACAAGGUGUAAAAUAUACCUUGAGUCAAGAAGAACUUGAUCAAAGCCGAAAUCGAAGCUUGAAAAUUUCAAAUCCAAACUAUAAGAGUGUUCUACACUCAUCAAUUCCAACCCUAAAGCCUCAAAUCAAGAAACCCAAAAUAAAAUUCUAGAUUUCUCAUUUCUAGGUUUUAUCUCAAAAAUUCCACUAAAUCAAGAAUCAAAAUAGGGAAACAUGUUUCUAACCUAUCUAAAAGCUUCAAACAAGACUUGGAAUGAGCUAGGGUUGAAGAUCUCUCCUCCAACAAGCUUUUUACCAAGCUCCAAGCCUUCUCCAAAGGUGCAAAGUCCCCAAAAUGCAAAAUAGAGCAAAGAGGGGAGAUCAAAACCUAAAAUCCCAAGCAAAAAGGGAAGAAAAACUAAGGGAAAAAUAGAGUGGAGCUCACCUCUCCCUUUUCUAGUCGCAGCCCAAAAGCCCUUGUCCAAGGGGUGAGGGUGUAUAUAAGUUAUUGCGACAAAAGCGAAAAGAUCCUUCAAAAACUGCCAGACUGCAGUUUACACUGUGUACCGGUUCACGAAAAAGUGUAUCGUUACAAACUACUGUGCGCGCAAACCCGAGCCUCGGGUUGGCGGAAAACAACCCAUCUAUACCGGUACAAUCAUUAAGGUGUAUCGGUACAAAACCCGUUCCGGUACAACCAUUAAGGUGUACCGGUACACUUUCCUGCAGAGACAAACCCGAGAGCAACCCAAUAAUCUUCACUUUGGAGAUAUUAGUGCUAAGUUUAAACCUCGAUUCUCGAAAUACGAGCCAUAGGUCGGAACACUGUCGACGACCCUCCAGAAAGUCUGGAAAAAACUCAGAUCACAAAUCAAACACUCGAACCUCGCAAUUUGCAAAAGUUUAGUGUGUUACAAUUUGGCUAAAGUCCGGAUUACUUUACCGAAGUUUCGGUAUGUUACAUUCUCCACCCCUUAAAAUUAGUUUCGUCCGCGAAACUAACUUAAUUAACAUCUAGAUUUAUACCUUAAUCCAGAUUCUCGAAGAGAUGGGAAUAAUGCUCUCUUAUUGCACUCUCGAGCUCCCAAGUAGCUUCCCGAUCAUCGUGGUUCUUCCAACAAACUUUAACAUAUGAAAUCUCACGGAUUCCUAGUUUUCUUACUUCUCGAUCGAUGAUGUACGUCGGGAACUCUUCAUAAGUCAUAUCCUCUUGAAUCUCGGACGGUUCAAAUGAGAGAAUAUGCUUGGGAUCGUGAAUAUACUUGCGGAGAUUCGAUACAUGAAACACAUCGUGCACUCCCGCAAGCCUCGGUGGUACUGCUAACUUGUAUGCCACCGUGUCAACACGCUCCAAUAUCUCGAACGGUCCAACGUACCGGGGACUUAGUUUUCCACGGACUCCAAACCGUUUAACUCCCCACAUUGGGAUAUUUUUAGGAGUACGCUGUCUCCAACUGCAAACUCUAUAUCCUUUUUUCGCUUGUUGGCAUAGCUCUUUUGCAAGAAUGCGCCGUAGCAAGCCGUUGGCGGGCAAGGCGAACUUUCUUCUCCGCCUCCCGCACCAUAUCUGGGCCAAGAGUAACUCUCUCGCCCACAUCGCUCCAAUGAAUUUGAGAGCGACACUUCUUUCCAUAAAGGGCCUCGAAUGGCGCCAUCGCGAUAUUUCCUUGAUAACUAUUAUUGUACGCGAACUCCGCCAUCGGUAAAUGAUCAUGCCAUCCGCCCUUGUAGUCAAGUACACACGCUCGAAAUAUGUCCUCAAGUAUUUGUAUCAUCCUCUCCGAUCGACCAUCACUUUGAGGAUGAAAUGCCGUACUAAAAUCGAGCCGUGUGCCCAACGCAUCCUGUAGGCUCCUCCAGAAGUGAGAUAUGACCCUCGGGUCUCGAUCCGAUAUAAUAGACACGGGAACCCCAUGAAGUCUCACUACCUCGUCGAGAUAGACUUGAGCCAUCUUAUCUCCCGACCAUGUAGUAUGAAUCUAUAAAAAGUGCGCCGACUUCGUCAAUCGGUCUACUAUCACCCAAAUUGCAUCGUGUCCGCCUUGAGAUCGAGGCAAUCCGGUCACGAAAUCCAUUGUGAUAUUUUUUCAUUUCCAAACGGGUAUAGGUAGGCUUUGCAACUUUCCUACCGGAAACCGGCGCUCCGCCUUGACUUGUUGGCACGUAAGACAUUCUGCUACAAAUUCCCCAAAGUCUUUCUUCAUGCCCGGCCACUAAUAGUAUACUUUCAAAUCUUGAUACAUCUUGGUGCCGCCGGGGUGAAUACUAUAAGGAGAUUGGUGCGCUUCUUGUAUAAUCGCCUUGCGAAUGUCCUCAUUUUUAGGCACACACCAACGAUUUCUAAACCGGAGUGCGCCGUCGGUCCCAAUGCCAAAAUCAUCUACACUACCGCUCUCAACAUCACCCUGCAUCUUUUGGACAUAAGGAUCAGUAGCUUGUAGAUCUUUAAUCUUCUCCAACAAGGUGGGUUGAACCACCAAUGCCGCAAGUGUUGCUGGCAUUCCUGAAGCUACUACCUCAAGACCAAGUCGUUACAUCUCUUUUUGCAAUAAUGGUUGAGGUGUAAUUGCUGAAGCCAAGUUUUCUCACGAUUUUCUACUAAGUGCAUCGACCACGACAUUUGCCUUCCCGGUUGGUAUAAAAUAGUAACGUUGUAAUCCUUUAAUAGCUCUAACCACCGCCGUUGUCGCAUAUUUAACUCCUUUUGGGUGAACAAGUAUUUAAGGCUCUUGUGAUCCGUAUAGAUCUCACAAUGUUCACCGUACAAGUAAUGCCUCCAUAACUUUAGCGCGAAAAUAACCGCCGCUAGCUCAAGGUCAUGAAUCAGGUAGUUCUUUUCAUAAUUCUUCAAUUGGUGCGAAGCAUAAGCUAUAACUCGCCUAUUUUGCAUCAAGACACACCUGAGACCAACAUAGGAAGCAUCACUGUAUACCACAAUACUCUCCCCCGGCGUCGGUAAGGCAAGCACCUGGGUCGAUGUCAAUCUCUUCUUUAAUUCCUCGAAGCUCCGAUCGUAAUCAUCGCUCCAAACAUACUUAACUCCCUUGUGCGUGAGGCGCGUUAGUGGAGUGGUUAUUUUGGCAAACCCCCCCAUGAACCACCGAUAGUAACCCGCAAGUCCAAGAAAGCUACGGACCUCCGCAACACUUGUCGGGCGAGGCCAAUCUUUAAUUGCCUCUACUUUUUUCGGAUCCACCAAAAUGCCAUCACCCGAAAUCACGUGGCCUAGGAAAGUGACUUAUGAAAGCGAAAACUUGCACUUCUUUAAUUUUGCAUAUAGCUUCUAUUUUCGGAGUAUUUCCAACAUGGUCCUCAAAUGCUCCUCGUGUUCUUCCUCACUCCGUGAAUAAACUAACACGUCGUCAAUAAACACCACGACGCACCGGUCUAGCAACGGUCGAAUGACCCGAUUCAUCAAGUCUAUAAAUGCUGCCGGGGCAUUAGUAAGCCCAAACGGCAUAACCAUGAACUCAUAGUGGCCAUACCGCGUACGGUACGCCGUUUUGUGCACGUCCUGGGGCCGUAUCUUCAACUUAUGAUACCCCGACUGUAAGUCGAUCUUUGAGUACACCCUCGACCCUUGCAAUUGAUCGAACAAAUCAUCAAUCCUCGACAACGGGUACUUAUUUUUAAUUGUCACUUUAUUCAACUCGCUGUAAUCCACGCAGAGUCGUCACUUUAUUCAACUCGCGGUAAUCCACGCAGAGUCGAAAUGUGCAAUCCUUCUUCUUUCCAAAUAGCACCAAAGCUCCCCACGGUGACACGCUCGGCCUCACAAAGCUUUUAUCGAGCAAGUCUUGCAAUUGUGCCUUUAGCUCUCUUAGCUCUGUCGGAGCCAUUCUAUACGGAGCCUUCGAAAUUGGCGCCGCCCCGGGAAUCAAAUCAAUAACGAAUUUGAUCUCCCGGUCCGGUGGCAAUCCCGAUAACUCCGCCGAAAAUACAUCCGAAAACUCGCACGACAACUGAAUAUCACUAAGUUCCGGGUGCUCCUUUUGGGCUUCUACCAUUGUCACCAAAUAGGCUUCACAUCCACCCUUAAUCAUUUUUCUCGCCCUCGUCACCGAUACGGUCACCGCGAAGCGUGAGCUUUUACAUGCCUAAUAUACCAACUCUUCCUGAUUAGGCUCACGAAAUGUGAUCACCUUGCUUUUACAAUCUAUCACGGCAUAAUACUUGGAGAGCCAGUUGAUCCCUAAGAUUACAUCGAAUCCCUACAUUCGCUCUAGCACUAGUAGAUCUAUCAGCAUAAUCCAAUCACCGAUCUGUACUGGACAAGCCAAGCACUCAUCAUGAAUAUGAAACGAAUGCUCUGGAGCAUUUACCCACCAAUAAUCCUGAUUAUACGUGAUCUCCAUGCCAUGAGUUUUUGCAAAUGAUGCACCUAUGAACGAAUGUAAUGCACCUGUGUCGAAUAAAGCUCUAGCUCUAGUGCCUUUAAUCAAAAUUAUACCUGCCACGACAUCAUCUGGUGCUACAGGUUGCUCCUCCAUCUGAGUGGCAAAACCCGCCCACUCGGUGCUCUAGAUGUCUCCGGUUGACGCGAUGCAGAUGAGCGUCCAGCCGACAUCGCUGGGGGCAACCCCGCAAGCUAUCUCAGGGUGGAAGGAACUAAUGCCGCUGUCGGUGCAAACGAUCCCCAACUAGGGCACUCCUAGGCCAUAUGCCCCGGUUGAUCGCACUUGUAACACUUUCCUUCACGCUGCGGGCAGGUCGGCGGUCGAUGCUCACCGCCGCAAAUGAGUAGCGUGUGAGGUGGGUUAAUCAUCGGUUUGACUCCUAUGGGUUAUAUAGUCGACAUGUAUUCGGCACGUGUUUUUGCCUAUCGUAAUUGCUCUAUUCAUUGUUCAGCAUGAUUGAAAUAUGAAUUGGAGCUUAGUAUAUUGACUGUAGAUUCAUACAUAUUGGACUUGGAUAUAACAUAGGAGAAAACCAGUGAUUUGGACCUGUCACCUGCUUAACUACCGGAUUUAGCUUUAGGAGCCAUUGUUAUUUUGUAUCGCCGUAGUAUCAGCGUGGUAGAUACCCCAGAUAGUUUAGAUUACUAUUAUGCUCGUGAUGGGAUGCCAAGCCUAUUUUUACAGUAGUGUUUAGACUAUUCCGGAUUGUUGGAUGCUGUCGAGAUUGACGGUGGACCCAGAUUGCCAUUUUAGUAUCAGAUUAUGCUGAAGGCACGUGACUUGUUAGUUGGUAGACUAGUUGGACCCUGUGUACUUGACUAUAGCCUGCGAGAGCCUGAUUGAGCUCGACAGAGAUACGCUUGCAUACUCGGUUGGGUAGCGCCCAUGAGUGCCACUCCGGAGUCGGGCUUAGUGCUUCUGCGUUGAUGUCGAGGUGUCCUGUUUGGACUUGCUAUCCACUGACUGCUUAGUGUGGAGGUAGCUUUAGCUUCGACAGGAGAGACGGGCGUGUUCACAGUCCCUGGGACGGGUAUGAUUACAGUCCCGAGUGAGAUUGGGUCAGGUAUGACAUCUUCUACAGACUGUUAGUGUUAGAGCAUGAUAGUAUAGUGAUUUUUAGUUGUAGAGUUGUUCCAGCAUUAUUUAGUAUCCCACCUACCUUCUGUAGACUUAGUGGGUGGACCGAUGAUGUUGAGGGUGGCACCCACUAAGGACUACAUGUCUUUACAAUAGUUCUCACGCCCAGUUGCUAUUUGCUUUUGCAGAGCCUUCGGUUCCGGCUGCUGCAUCGUCCGAGAUAGAGCGUGGUAAGGGCGUUGCGAGUUAGAGCCCUACCAAACGAGCCGCCGAGUAGCACCAGCUACAGGUAGUUGUAGUUUUUGACUUCCUAUACAUACUGUUGUUGUAUCUCGCUUGGCGAGCUUUUGUUUACCGGAUGUUGUAUGUAUAGUGAACUUUAUUUUUCUAUCUGGUUAUACUUUGGCUAGCAGCUCUGUAGUGUUCCUGAGCUUUGGAUAGGAUUGGCUUCAAUAUUAGUGACUGGUCGACAUCUCUGGAGAGUGUCGAACUAAGUCGGAGUCAAUUCCGCACGAAUUGGAUGCAGAAUUGGACUCGACGCACUCAAUUAAGCAAAACUGGAGUUUUGCCAGUUUCGGGCGCCCAGAACAUUUUUAGGGUCGCCCAGAAACGAGUGUUGAAUUUAACUGAAACUGGAGGCCAAUUCGGAUCCCAUGUUCCGGGUGCCCAGAUGUGGGUCCGGAAAUUCGACAUCGUGAAUAUCGCUUGCUUCGAUGCGUGGCAGGCGGCAGGUGAGUUCCGCCGGAGCCAUUUACGGGCGCAGCACACCGUGAGCAGAGAGUCCGAGGAGCCCGUUUUGUGCAAGCUGGAUGUUCUGGUCGCCCAAAACAUGGUUCCGGGCGCCCAGAAACGCCCGUUUCUGCAGGGACACUGGAUAGCAGCUUCAGUUCCUGAGGCUUUUUGGAUCAUUCUAACUCACUAUAAAUACUUGGUAAACACCCCUUUGCUGCUCUUUUCCCCCCUUCUUCACAGAGAAGUCUCUUUUAGCAUCUCUACCCUCGGAUUUGCCUCAAAUUGCAUUAAACUUCCAUUGAUCCAGCUUGAUGGAGUGCUGAUUCUGUAGUUCUUCAGCGACGACCUCCAGUGUUUUGGCUCGUGCGCGAUGUAGGAAGGUCGGAUUUCGACGAAACUUGGUUUGCUGGAUUCUAGACUUCCAGAGGAAUCUACGAAGCCCUGAAUGGUAGAUUUUGGUUGAGGUUAGCUUGGUCGAACUGAGGUUUUUCUAGACUACUGUUGGCUUUGAGCUGAAAAUAGAAUUUUUGAGCUUUUCUUGAUGCUAUCUUUGUUGGCAGUGGAAUUUUGGACCUGAGUUUGAUCACCCCUCAGUAUUUGCUGAUUUUGGAACUGUUCUCACCUGAUUUGGAGAUCAUUAGGUGAGUUUUGACAUUGGAAUUGAGAAAUCCUAAGCUUAAGGCUAAAAUUGAUGAAUUUUAUUGGAUUUUGGAUGAAUUGUUAUAUCCAGAUCUUGAUGGGCUUUGUUGCUGGUUUGGAGGAGUUUCCAGCAGUGUUGCUUGUGAUCCGAGACCCUCUUGCUGCCAGGAGUUUCACUAGAGGUGGGUUAUCAUCGGUUUCGCUCCUAAGUGCAUGUUUAGUCGACGUGUAUAGUUCGAUUUUUGUAUAUCAUGCUUUAAUUCAUCGAUUAGCAUCUUGAAUGUAAUAUGAAUGUAGAAGCAUGCUGAAAUGAAUAUUUAUAUUAUACAUGUUGGACUUGAAAUUUGACUUAGGAGAAAACCUGCGUUUUGACCCGUCAUAUGUUUAAACUACCAGAUUUAGCUCUAGGAGCCGAGAUUCGAUUGUAUCGUUGCAGUAUUAGUGCGAUGGAUAUCUGGGGUAGUUUAGAAGGCAUUUACGCUCGUGCUGGGAUGCCGAGCUUAUUUUUCAGCAGAGUUUAGGCUGUUUCGGGUCGUUGGGUGCCGUUCGGGUUAGCGGUGGACCCAGAUUCUUGUUUUGGUCACAGAUUGUGCCGAGGGCACGUGGGUUUGGUUUGUAGGCCUGUUUUUACCCUGUUCACUUGACUUUGGCUAAUUGGAGCCUGUUUGAGCUCGACAUAGAUACGCUGCAUACUCGGUUGGGUAGCGCCCACGAGUGCCACUCCGGAGUUAGGCUUUGUGCUUUCGCGUUGGUGUCGCUCAUGCCGGUUGGACUUACUCUCCACGGACCAGUUAGUGUGGAUAGAGCUGGAUAGUCGCAACUCGGCAGGGACGGGUGUGUUCACAGUCCCAGGGACGGGUAUGUCUACAGUCCCGAUUGGAUUGGGUCAGAUUGGACAUUUCCUACAGUUGGUUAGUGUAGAGCAUGAUAGUGUAGUGUUUGAUAGCGGUAGAUUUUAUUCCUGCAUUUACUACUAUUCUUGCUCCCUUCUAUAGACUUAGUGAGUGGACCGAUGUUGUUUUGGGCGGUACCCACUGAGGACUACUUGUUUUUACAGUAGUUCUCACGCCCUGUUGUUACUUCAUUUUUGCAGAGCCAUCGUCUUCGGCUGCUGCUAUUGCUGAUAAGGAUCGAGGCAAGGGCGUCGCGAGUUAGAGCCCUACCCGACGAGCCGAGCUAGGGGUGCCCUACUACAGGUAGUAGUUUUGUUGGAGUUCAUGUACUUACCUACCUUUAACUCGCCAGUGCGAGUAGUUUUUGUGUAUCUUGGAUUUUGGGGUAUGUAUAUGGAACUCAGUUGGUUUUCUCCGUUUCUCCUAACCAGCUCUAUACUACUGUUUGUAGUAUUGUUUGAUUUACAGAUACAGCUAUCGCUUCGUAUACAGGAAAAAUUCCUUUGUAUACGGCGGAUUUGUCGGCGCGCCCGGGGAACGUGUAAUCCGGGGCGUGACAAGCUCUAUACUACUGGUUGUAGGAUUGUAUAUUUUACAGGUACAACUAUCGCUUUGUAUACAGGAGAAAUUUCUUUGUAUACGGCGGAUUUGUCGGCGUGCCCGGAAAAUGAGUAAUCCGGGGCGUGACAAUAUAUAUAUAUAGUAAAGGUACUAUGCUAUCGGAAGUAUAAAUUAGUUGGUACUUUCGAUUUUUUAGCCCUUGGAUCAAAAAUUAUACGGUUGGGAUGAUAGCAGUCCCCUUAGAGUUGAGUGGUCCCCCUAGGGUUGAGCGGUCCUCAUUGGUCAAUAAUAUUAAUCCAAUGGUUAGAAUAAUCAAUGGAGUUGAUCUAAGGGCUAAAAAAUCAGAAGCACCAACUAGUUUAUAUUUUCGAUAGCUUAGUAGCUCUUCUAUAUAUAAAUAUAUAUAUAUAUAGAGAGAGAGAGAGAGAGAGAGAGAGAGUUGAGCUAGAUCUCUAAAGCACAUGAAGGUAGGUGCUUUUGAAAGAGAUAUUUAGUUCAAUAAUAUAUAUAUUUAUUAUAUACUUAUACUUUAUAUAUAUAUAUAUAUAUAUAUACUAUAGUCGUCUCCGAUACUUUCGAACAAGUACGGGAGGCCCGGUGCUUGUAAGUUGUUUUCGAUGACUAGGACCGUUCCGAUUCGCACGAUCGCUCGUUAGGCUCAUGAUCUUCCUAUUGAGAACUAUCUAGAAUCAAUUUAGAUUUUUUUGACAGUAUUUACUAGCCGAUCAAAGAGUCUAAAAUGAUUUUACGGCGUGUGGAAUUUUUAAUGUGUCAACGGCUUGUUAGAGAGUAUCCAAUAUUACAUGAAUUUAAUAAAAAUUUACUUAAUCAAAGUAGCCGAUAUCAUUUCGAUGUAAAUUUGAAUCUUUUAUCACUUUUUUAUGAGAUUUGUUCAUUUUCUAGCGUUCAUUUUUGGUAACUGUUCCUAGACGCACAAACCGAAAUCAAAAAUAUAUGAAUUUGGUUUUCUAGUAGUUCGCUCCAUGGAUGUAAGUUUUAACAACUGAUCGCUGAAUCGAGAACUGUCCACAUUCAACAAGAUUAACAGAACGGGCCACAGCCCAUCCGCGUUACUUUCGACGCAUAGGAGCCUAGCUCUGUUAUUCUCUAUCUUUCUCUCUCUUAUAUUAUAUAUAUAUAUAUACUAGUUAUAGUCAUGUGCAAUGCCCGUCACAUUUAAUUAAAUUAAAGUUAUAUUUAUAUUUUAAAUUUAAAUAAUUAUUGAUAGUAUUAGUCUAUUUAUCAAUUAAUUUUUUUCUAACUUAAAUUUUUUUAAUUUGUAUCCAAAUUUAAAAAUUUGAAGUAAUUCUAAAUUUUAAAUUAAUGAAUUCAUAUUUAAAUUUAUGAACAAAACUCAAAAUUUGAAGUUAAUUUUGAGUCCAUAUUUGAAUAUAAAUGGUUAUAGAGACAUUGAUUUAUUUAACAUCCCAUCUAUUUUUCAAAUUUGAUAUAUUUUUAAGUUAAUUAAUUAUUUUCAAUUUGAAAUACUAUUUACACACCCAAAUAUUGAAAUUUGAAUUAAUUUCAAAUUUUGAAUAAUUUAAAAUUUAAAGUUGAUUUGAUAAACUUAUUUAAAUCAUUCUAUUUUUCAAACUUAAUUUUCUUUUAGUUAGUUAAUUGAGAGAUAGUGAAUACUAAAUAUUUUCAAUGUGAGUUGCGUAGAAUUUUUUUUUGAUGAGUAUGGAAUAUUUUUUUAUGGGGCACUUGUGAAAAAUAUUCAACAGUAGAUAUUUUUAGAUUGACAUAAAGUUGGAUAAGUAUGAAUUUUUUUUAUAUUCUCGUAAAUGAAAUGCAAUAUUUUUUCCUAUUAAAAAAAGGUCUGUCAACAGCUAUUUUAUUAAUAAUCCCAAAUCAAUAUAAAUUUGUGAAUCACAUUUAUUUACAAAUUUAAAAUUUUAAAUUAUAAAUUCUUAUAUUAUAUUUUAUUAAAAAAUAUCUCAUAUUUUAAAUAUUAGUAGAUAAAAUUUAGAUAAUUUUUAUAUAUUCACCUUUAAAAAAAUAUAAUUAAAUAUUAUAUAUGCGGAAGGUAUUAUGUGAUAGGAUAUUAUGUAGGCCGUAUUACGUGUGAGAAAGAAAAUAUUUAAAAAAUUCUUAAAUUGCAAAUAUUAUUUAUGAUAAAAAAUAGAUAUUACGUGGGCUACGGUUAUUAGAAGAUAAGGUGCGCAUAUAAAAUGUAAAAUUCAAUAUGCACUUUUUGAGGGCAAUUCAGAUAAAAAAAGUGACAGAUACUUAAAUCGUCAACUAUUGGAUUAAAUUCGAAGACUAAGAAUUAAUAUAUUUUAUGAUAAUUUAAAAAUAAAAUAUAAAUUGUACGGUUAUGAUUUAUUCUAUUAAACUUGAAUGAAUGAUAUUGCUAGUAUGCGAUUGGAAUUAUAUUAAUAGGGAGCGAUAUUUUGGGAAAGAAAAAAAUUUUAAAACUUGCUCUUUUAUAAGUAGUAUAUAUAUAUAUAAUAUUUACUAAGGAUCUAGGAUACUUUUACAAGCUAUCCAUCCCCAUCUUAUUGCUAUUCAACUUUUUAGCCAUUGGAGUCUACUUUUGUUUACAAAUAGCCCUUGGAUCAAACACUAUUCCACCUACCACCACCCUACCACCUACCUACCACCCAUCUAUCCAACCUUUCACAUCUUCUCCAUCCAAGGCUAAAAACACACAAGUACCACUGGCUGAUACUUGUAACAAGUAUUCUACCCUACUCAUAACUAUAUAUAUAUAUAUACUGCUCUAUAUAUAAUAUGACUACAUACUACGGUAUACUAUGAUAUAUAUAUAUAUAUCAUAUAUAUAUAUAUAUAUAUUAAUUACUAUAUUAUAGAUCACAGUGGGUUUAACGGAGCCCGAUCCGACGAUUUCGAAGUCGCAAGAUCGAAACGAGCCUGGAGCACGGAAGGCUCCAGUGCUUCCGAUCAUAUAUGGUCUCCGUGCUUCCGAUAAUAAUACUAGAUGUAGGUCUACUAUACCUUAUCGUAAGCACGGAGCCUUUCCGUGCGUUCCAGCUCGUUUCGCAUCUUGCGACUUUCCAAUCCGUCCGAUCGGCCUCCCUUACACACUUUGAUCUAGACGUAUUGAAGUACCCUACGAAAUAAAUUUACUGACUUUCUACGAUAUAUUUGCUUACGUGAACGCAAGGGCGCUCAAAAUCAACGGCUACAAAUAAAAAUCCUUACAUAAAAUGUAAUAUGAUGACACUUAAACAUUUUAACAAAGAGGGUCAUUGAUCUUCGUUCUAUACCUACUGUCAAAAAAUUUUUCUAUCAAAAUUUCACGCCGACUUCUGGAUAUCUUUUAACACCCGUUAAAACUUGCAAACGGCUCACCGCGCCAUGCUACAAUUUGUUGAUUUGAGUCCCAUUCGCAUCACUACGGCAAAUGAUCAAUCCGAAAGAAUAAUAAAUUUAUUUUCUAGUACUCCCAAACUACUCUAAAUCAAGCUUUAACGAGCCGAUCCCGACGAAUUCGAAAGUCGCAAGAUCGACAACCGAGCCGCGAAGCACGUAAGGCUCCGUCGCUUCCGAUUAGCAAUAGUAGCCUCACUCUAUACUAUAUACUAUUAUAUAUAUAUAUAUAUAUAUAGUAUUCUAGCCUAUCAAUCUCAACCCAUACCCGCUAGUGCUCGCGGAUUACACGCAAAUUUGCGGGUAUAGACACCAAUUUUUUCAACCUAAAAAAUUACAGAUAAAAAAUUAUGAAACUAUAUUCGUUUAGUGUCAAAUGAAUCCUCUACCAUUUUAGUAGCAAUAGGAAAUUAAUUUGAAAUACACACAAAUAUCCUCGAAGCCCCUAUGGUGGGCAAAACCCAAGCUUUGCUCGACGCGGUACUCAACCACCACCCACCCUCCUUCCCUCUCCUUUUUCCCCGAGUCCAACAAACGUUUUAAAUGUCCCAAUCAAUUCAUCUCUCUCUCUCUCUCCCUCCAUUACCCCGUCCCACCUCUCAUUUCUCCGCUCCAAAAGUUAAUCAUACUCCACACACCUCCAAAAUAAGAACCAUCCACCUCCUACCCCCUUAAUUCCCCUAUAUUUUUAAAGUUCGUCAAGAACCAUCCACCUCCUACCCCCUUAAUUCCCCUAUAUUUUUAAAGUUCGUCUCUCUCUCUCUCUCUCUCUCUCUCUCUCUCUCUCUCUCACUCUAAUUACUUCUUGCGUUAUAAUACGUUAUGCUUGAGUGAGACUAACUCUUUCUUGGCUCCCAUCUUGCUCUCUCCUUUCUCUUUGUGGACUCUUGUACGUAGUGGUUGUGAGCUCCCCCACCAAACAAGCCAAAUAAUCCCGAUCGAGAAGGCACCCAACUCACUACGUACCUCCUCUUCACUUGGGAAGAAGAAAGAGGGGGAGGGGGAGGGGGAGGGAGAGGAGACGGAUCAAGGUGGAAAUGGGCGGCGAGAGGAAGAAUUCGCUUCUUACUCUCGCCGGGCGGGUGCUGAAUUGUGCGGUGAGCUUUGUCGUGUUCUCCGUACUCGACGUUCUCGAUAUAAUCCUCUGCAUUGUCUACAAGCUCAUCGAUUAUGCCGUUGAGGCCGAGUGGAAGCCGUGCUACUGCUCGGCCUCCAAGGACAUGGUUGCCGGCAGCGGCAGCGGCAGCGGAGGCGGGCCAAAGGUGGUGCGGCUCUGCUCGUCGAAGCUCCAGCUGGAGGACGUCUCCGACACGCUGUACGCGCGUCCUUCAGUCGUCAUGGACGCUGCGAGGAAGGCGGGAACCACCGGCAGCGGCGCAUCAGUUGUCGUGAGCCCGGCACCGGCUGCGCCGACGUUCCGGGUCAGCACUGGUGUUGCGGAGAUGAUCCGAGGGAAGAUCGACCGGCAGCGGCCUACGCGGCCGGUGCCCUGCUGGUCCGACUGCUGCUGUAAGAUCUGCAAUUCGUGGAGCACCGCCGCGACCCCUUCCCAGCUUUACGUUCACGUGGAGGGCCCAAGAGGUAAAUGCUGCAUGCCCGAUCGAGUUAGGAUCCGGCCGGUAAAACGCAAACGGUAGUGUAAAUUUUAAAAACCUUACUUUUACCAACUAUAUAUAUAGUCGAUCGGUUUAGAAAUGAAAAAAAAUGCAUAUUGGUACGUAGUUAAUGAUCAAUGAAUUUGUGAUAUAUAUAUAUAUAUAUAUAUAUAUAUAUAUAUUGAAUCGAGAAAUGUGCACGCACAGUAUUGUCAUGCAUCUUUUUAAGUUUUUAAACACGUACUACUAGUCUGUAUAAUUUAAUAUAUUUAUCAAAAAAGAUUAUUGUUCUCAUUUUUAUCGGGCGAAAUAGCUAGUAGAUAAUAAUUUUUAAAAACAUUUUUAAAAGUGAAAAAUUUUAAUUAUUUUUUAAUUUCAUUUCUUAUUGCGAGAUGUAGUAUUUUGGAUGAAAAAAUCAAGCGUCUUAUCUAAAAGUUUACCAGGAGGUCGAACACGGGCAGCGUGCGUAAUGCAUGUGCUUAAUCCAACUAAACUAAAUGACGUCAAUGUUAUACGUACGUACAUUUUAAUUUGAAGAUUAUGUCGUCAUUAAAAUAUUUAUUUGGUGUUCCGGAGGGAAUAUAUAUAUAUAUAUAUAUAUAUAUAUAUGCUACAGAAAUUUUGCUCAUUAAUUAAUUUGCACAGAUGGUACGCAAUCUCGUAAUAUUAUUAUUUUGCGACUAUUAAUUAAAAUUGCCGAUCGACUGAUGAGUGGGCGUGCAUUAACGAAAUUGAGCAGACGGGGCGGCGGUGCCGGCGACGGAGGACGUGGUGUUCAUCCACGGAUUCAUCUCGUCGUCGACGUUCUGGACGGAGACGGUGUUUCCGGCAUUCAGCGAGCUGACAAAGUCGAGGUACCGCCUCUUCGCGAUCGACCUGCUGGGGUUCGGGCGCAGCCCGAAGCCGACGGACUCGCUGUACACUCUGCGGGAGCACCUGGAGAUGAUCGAGAAGUCGGUGCUGAAGCGGUUCGAGAUCGGGAGAUUCCACCUGGUGGCGCACUCGCUGGGGUCGAUCCUGGCCCUGGCGCUGGCGGUGAAGCACCCGGAGGCGGUGCGGUCGCUGACGCUGGUGGCGCCGCCCUACUUCCCGGUGCCCAAGGGGGAGGAGAGGGCGGCCGGGCAGUAUGUGAUGCGGCAGGUGGCGCCGCGGAGGGUGUGGCCGGCCAUCGCGUUCGGGGCGUCGAUGGCGUGCUGGUACGAGCACGUCAGCAGGACCAUCUGCCUGACCAUCUGCAAGCACCACCGCCUGUGGGAUCUGCUCUUCCGACUGCUCACCCGCAACAGGUAUGUAUGUGUGCUCUCAGCCAAUUACACACACCUAGCUAGCACUUAAUUAGCACUUGCCUUGCCUAAUUCCCUUUCCCUUUCCCUUUCCGUUUCCGUUUCCCUUCCUCUAGCUGUGCGUUGUGUUUGCUCUUUCUUCCGUCUCCAACCGUUUCGGUGGCUCCGCUUUUAUUAUUCUCGCCUCGUAUUUAUUCCUUCCCACGUUAUUGGCUUCUCACCCUCUAUUUUGCGCUCCACGUGCCCGGUCCCACAUAAAUAACAACCUGUUUAAUUCGUCCAACACUAGUGCUGCAGGUACACACAAUAUCGACGGAAGAAAAAUGCUACUAGCUAGCUAGCUAUAUAAGGUUAGAAUCAAAUCAAAUCAAAUCAAAUCAAAUCAAAUCAAAUUCGCAUGGUUGGAUUAAUGUGAUCCCUCUUAUUAAUUAAUAUUUAUUUAUUUUAUUUAUUUAUUUAUCACCUCUUUAAAUAUAAAAAUAUAAUAUAAUUAAAUUCAGCAAUACAACAAUUAACGACGUUUUAAUUAAGAGAGAUAUUGCGGAAAAAUCCAAAGCAUUUUUUCCUUUGUCUCGACGAAUAUUAAUUUAUAUAGAAGAUUCCAAAAUAUUAUUUUUCUAAACUGUUGAUGGGCAAGUUGAGAUGCAUGGUAUAUAAGAUUUUGUUUAAUGUAUACAUGCAAUUUUAAUAUAUAUGCUGUAUAUAUAUAUAUAUAUAUAUAUAUAUAUAUAUAUGAUGUUAGCAGAUAUAUAGCAAUGCGGCAAUAUAUAUAUAUGGUUCCCUUUUCCUGAUUCAAAAGUUAAACGGUGAUAUAUCGAUUGCAUGUCGCUAAUUAAAAACUAGCUAGCUAGCUAGUAUAAUAUAGUUAGUUUAAAUCACCGGCCGAUCGAAUUAGUAAAAUUUUGAAUCAUGUACAUUUUAAGCACCUGUCGACUUUGGCUUUAACAAUCAUCGUAUGAUAUGAUUUUUUGUAGUUAUUGCCAAAUCGAUCAUACUUGUGAGCCGCCCGCUCCGUUUGAAUUAAAUGGUAGACAGCACCAAAUAAUUAAGAAGUUAUUGGAAUUCAUUUGAUAUUUUAUUCUCUCACCCACACAGUAGCAAAUUCGGUUUUCCCCGUGGGGCCACUGAGUAUAUAUAAGGUCUGCUUUAUCUGUUUUGCCUCUGGUUUCAAUGGCAACAAUAAUUACCGUGCUUGAUAAAAAAUAAUUAAAAAUUCUGCUGUAGACAGAAAAUUUUGAGCCUCCAAACAAGAAAUUCCGACUGAUACUUUCGAUUAUAUAUACGCGACACUAACUGAAUGUAAUAGUUAUAUGUAUAUAUUAUUAUAUAUAUAUAUAUAUAUAUAUAUAUAUAUAUAUAUAUAUAUAUAUAUGAAAUAUAAUAGGAAUAAAUCUUUUAAUCAGGUUAUAGCAUUUUAGGUGAUUGUUACGCCCAAAUGGUUAAGAAAAAUUAAACGUGCUAGGGUUAGAAUAAUCAUAGAAUGUGUGACGCCCUAGAAAAUGGGGUAUUACAGUGGGUAUUAGAGCCAAUUACCAGCCGAAAAUAUUAGAUAAAUGUCGGCUGAGCCAAAAUUAUAUAGCGAGCUCAUCGGCAGAUCAUAGUUGUGGGUGGAGCACGACUCCCCACAAGGUCAAACGAGACCCCACAAGGUCAAAUGAGAUGAGUCUCAAAUCGCCUAUUGCUUGUGAAUAUGUUUAAGCCUAUCGAGAACGUCGAUAUAAUAGCACUGAAAUAGUUUUAUAUAUGAGAUAUAAUAAAAUAAGAUCAUUUUACCCGAAUAUAGCAUUUUAGGAGUGGCUAGCUAGGUUAAUUUAAGAGAUUAGGAGAUUUAAGCAUGCUAGGACUAAAUGGGCGACUCAUUGGAAAGUGGGGCAUAAUAGUUGAGGAUUGUGGAUCUAAAGUUUCAAUUUUGUUUGUGUCCAAAAGUUAUAAUUUUUUUCCUUAGAAUUUAUUUUAUUUUAUUUUUUGAGUUUUAAUAUUAAAGAAUAUUUUGGAUGAAGUUAAAAUUAAUAUGUGAUAACAGAUCAAGAACUUUGUAGCAAGAAACAGUUGGAAAGUUCCCUAUUAAAAUUUUAUUAAUUAGUUUUUUAGUUUCCCCCGCCCUUAUUUUGAACGGCAGCUUACGAGCUGUCAGAGCCGCGAAGAAAUCGAUGGCCUGACAUAUAUGGUAGGAGUACGUUACGUUUACUUUGCGUAACGACCUCUGAGGUCCUGCCGUGGGAGUGCGGGACGUCGGGUACGAAAUGCGGGAAACAGCUUCGGGUUUCGUACCACCGCGAUCGAGUAGGAAAACCAAGUCAAAUUUUCCACAUAUAUAUCAGGUAGGUUAAUUUCUAAUUGGGAGACGUUAGAUCGAGGAAAAAUUCUAGAAUGCAACGGGUAUAUUAGUGACGUGGCGUAACAAACCAAUCAAAUUAAUUCUUUUAAAAAUAUAUGUCCCAUCAUGAUUGUAAAAAAGUAUUUUUAUUGUAUUUUUGUUUGAAAAGAAGGAAUGUGAUUGGCUUGUUAUUGAUGACGUGGUGCAAGUGUGACAGUGUAGAAUUCCUCUAGAUCGAGACACGUAAAAAUAAGUAAUAACCGAAAGUAAUGUCAGUGGAAACAUAUAUAUAUAUAUAUAUAUGUAUAUAUAUAUAUAUACACAUAUAUAUAUAUAUACAUAUAUAUAUAUAUAUAUAUAUAUAUAUGAUAUAUAUAUAUAAUAUAGAGUGGGCAUAUAUAUUAUAUAUAGAGUGAAGUGAGGCUACUAUGCUAUCAGAAGUCGGAGCCUUCCGUGCUUCCAGCUAGUUUUUGAUCGUUGCACUUCGAAUUGUCGAUCGGUCUCCGUUAAACUUGAAUUCUAUGAGUAUUUGGGAGUACCUACAAUAAUGCGAUAUGGUGCGUUUGCUUCGUUUAACGGAUAGAAGAGCUUCAAAUCAACUAAAAUUUUUUGUUUAAAAAAUCUUUUUAAACUUUUAAAAUAAAAACGAUCUAGACUCUAGAUCCAAAUAUAAAAAAUUGUAUUAUCACUUUUUUCAAGGAUAGUUAUUUCCAGCCAUUUAUUUUUCUGUUUCACUUGAUGGACAGAGAACAAUAUCUGAAAAUGUGUGUUGAAAUUUGGAUUUCCAGGAUAGUUUAAGUAGUUUUAUGAUCUGUGUUGUAACAGUGCCGAUCAUCAAUUUGGAAGCCCUAUAUCAAAACAAAUCGGUAGCUAACGGCUCGUUUUACUACGAUAGUUAUUCUAGCAAAACCCUAUAUUAUAUAGUAUAUAUAUAUAUAUAGAUGAGAGGAGAGAGAGAGAGAGAUGAGGAGAGGAGACGAUGAGAGAGAGAGAGAGAGAACGAGAGAGAGAGAGAGAGGGAUGGAGGAGGGGAGGGGAAGUUGAGCUGGGAAUACUAUCGGUAGCAAACGCGGCUCCGUGCACCAUUUGUUUUCGAUGAUGGGAGCCUCCAAAUCGACGAUUAGUGCCGUUAAAAAUGCAUCAGUAUUACACUUGAUAUGGUAUUCUGAGAAUCAAAUUUCAUGCUUUUCCGAAUAUUUUCUCUUGUUCACUCAAGUGGGCGGUAUAAUGAGAUGGCUAAAAAUGAAUAUCAUCUACAAAAGUGAUGAUAGGAAUUGUUCUAAUCAAGGAUCGAGGUAGUGAGAUCUUGUUCUAAAUAGUUUAAAGAAUUUUAAAAUAACGAAAAUAUUCAAUUGAUUGGAUAGGUUACACGUAAACGAGAAAACCCUAUAUUUGACCAUUAAAAUUUACAAAUUUUUGAAACCCUUUGAAUCUAUUAGGUCAGAUGGAUGCGUCGGAGAAAGAUUUUGAAAUUAAUUUCGAGAUACUUCAAAGUGGUAUAGAUCAUGAUUCAACCGCCAGGGCUUACCGAUUAUCGAUUUGGAGGAUCUAAUCAGCUGAAAUUUAAAUGGAUGGCACAGGGGAGCCGUUGCUAUCGAUAGAUUCUACCUCAAACUUCUAUAUAUAUAUAUAAAUAUUAUAUAUUAGUCCGGCUAGGGGGGAUACUAUCGGGGAUAGCGCACAAGGAUUUGGUCAUCAAGUUGUUCUGCCGUUUCUUACAUUUACCUUUUUAUCAUUUUAUCCAUUGAUUAUACUAUUCAACGCAACACCCAUCAACAUAGAAGGACCCCAUCCAUCCUAACUAUACAUUUUUUAAUCCAAAAGGACAGCCAAAACUUAAUGUACCAGAUAUGGUACUAUUAAUAGUAUUCCAGCUAGUUAUUAUAUAUAUAUAUAUAUAUAUAUAUAUAUAUAUUAAUAUUAUAUAUAUAUAUAUAUAUAUAUAUAUAUAUAUAUAUAGGCUUGACGCUAGGAAUACUCUCAGAUAGUAAAAUGAUUGCAUAUUUACUAUCGAGUUGUUUUCGAUCAUAGAGCUUCCAAAUUGACGAUCGGCUCCGUUGAACAUGAUCUAUACCACUUGAAGUGUUUAGAAAUCAAAUUUCAAAUCUUUUCGACAUCAUUUGCCUAAUGAUCAAAGCGUUUCAAAAUUUGUAAUUUUAAUGGUGGAUAAGAAACGUUUUCUCGUUUAAUGGUGUAAAGAUAUCCAAAUCAAUUGAAUUUUUGUUAGAAAAUUCUUUAAACUAUUUAAAACAAGAUCUAUACUCUUGAUCUUGAUUACAAGACUCCUAUCAUCAUUUUUUAAAGAAUAUUCAUUUUCAACCAUUCAUUUUCUGUUCACUAGAUGGAUAAAAGAACAAUGUCGAAAGUGCGUGAAAUUUAAUUUCUCGAUAGUUUAAAUGGUUUAGAUCAUAUUUAACGGAGCCGAUCGUCAAUUUGGAAGCUCUAUCAUCGAAAACAACUCGAUAGUAAAACGCUCCGUUUACUAUCGAGAGUAUUCUAGCUCAACUCUAUAUAUAUAUAUAUAUAUAUAUAUAUAUAUAGAUAUAUAUAUAUGCUCACUCAUGAUUAAAUAUUAAAAUAAUCUUUUGAAUAUUUAGACAGUACUGGUUUAUGCCGCUUCGUUAAUUAGGUGCUAGGUGAUCUUUUCUUUUCUUUUCUUAUCUUUUUUUUGAGAAAAAUCUCUUUAUGAAUUACCAAGAUAUAUAAUUGUGCCAAAAUAUUAGUCGAUUUUGUAUUGCACUAAAGUGACGUACAAGGGUUCAAUUACACCAAUCUCCUAAGGCUCUAUUCGAAAGUGGGUUAUUCGGUAUAAAUAUUUUCUUAUGUGAUUGUAAGAAAGAAAUUUAAUUUCUGCUCCUUGAAAGAUUUUAAUAUCUAUGAUUUGGUAGGAUAACGUAUUUCACUUAUGAGAUAUUUAUCUUAUCCGAAAAAAUAAUUUAAAGGCUGAAUAUAAUAUUUAAUUUUAGACAUUUGAUCAUGCUCCUUAUCUACCAAACAUACAAACUUUUUAAAUAAAUUAUGAAGAUAUACUAAAUAAGAUAUUCGUACAUCCAAAUAAUGCCUAACUGUAUGAAUCUCGCCAAUAGUCCUAUUUACUUCUAAGUAAUAUUAGUAGGCAUAGUAGUACUAUGGGCAUGUUUUAUUUCGGGAUAAAGAGCGAGCAAUUAACUAAAGUUAUCCCCUACUAUUCCAUCACACCUUUUAAAGGAAAAAGAAAAAAAACUGAAUAGUUAUUCUGAUUAAACCAUGGUAUUCUAAAUAAUCCAAAAAUAAUCUCAAAAUAAAUUCUCCACAUUUCCAAUGGUAUAGGGCUAUUCUUAAUUAUGAUCGUCUUAGAUUAUUUCGGACAAUUCAAGUAAGAAAAAUGUAUGCCUAUAUCGUAUAUUACAUAUAUAUUUAAGUAUAUUAAUUAUAGAGAUAAUUUAAUGAAUGUUCCGUUACUAUAAUAUCGUUAUACUCUCCUAAAUUUAAUAUUAUUAUAGUGUCCGGCUACUAUGCUAUCGGUAGCACGGAGCGCUUCGUACUAUCAAGUUGUUUUUGAUGAUACGGCUUCCAAAUCGACGGUCGGCUCCGUUAGACUGAUCUACACUAUUGAAAGUAUUUGAAAACUAAAUUUUCGAUUUUUUCGACAUUAUUUGACUAGUGAUCAAAAGAUCUCAAAAUUGACAAUUUUAAUGGUCGAUGUGGUAUGUUUGUGAGUUUAACGGUGUAAAACAAUCCAAAUGCUAUGAAAAUUUUAUAGAAAAUUCUUUCCACUAUUUAGAGUAAGAUCAGUAUAUCUGAUCUUGAAUUUAAAUCUUUUAUCAUCGUUUUUCAUGAGAUUUUUAUUUUUAGCCGUUCAAUUGUAGACUACUUGAUUGAUAGGUAAAUGAUAUCGAAAAAUUAUGAAAUUUAGUUUCUAAAUACUUUCAAUAGUGUAGAUCAAGUCUAACUGAGCCGAUUGUCGAUUUGGAAGCCGCAUCAUCGAAAACAACUUGGUAGCACGGAGCGCCGUGCUACCGAUAGUAUAGCAGCCUAGUUCUAUUAUUAUAUAUUCCUAUUAAAUGGUCAUGAAUAUCAUGAAUAUUUUCCUAAUAGUUAGUCUCUAUCCAAAAAUACCCUUCAUAAUUUUAAAAUGCCAAGUUUACUCUUUAUCCAUUAUUUAUUUAUGCUCCUUAAAUUUUCUAUCUGUUGAUAUUCAAAACGUUUCAAAAUUACUCUCAAAAUUUUUUGCCGAUAAUUUUCACCAUCAUGUAUAAAUCACACCGAUAAUUUAAAUUUGAAUAUAAAAUUUAAAUUUAAAAUUCAAGAUCUAAGUUUAAAUUUUGAAUUUGAAUUUAAAAUUUCAAGUCUAUUGUGAAUAUAAAUUCUAAUUUGAAAUUCAAAUUCAAAAUAUGUUCAUAUUUUGAAUCUGAAUUUCAAACGGAAAGUUUGAAAUUAAAUCUAAAACUAAUUCAAAAUCUAGAUUUGGAAGUAAAAUUAAGGACACAAUCUCUAUUUGAAUUCAAAAUUGAAAUUGAAUUUAAAUUCAAAUCUAGAAUUAUAAUUUAAAUUUAAAAUUUGAAAAAAUUAGGUUUAAAAUUGAAAUUCAAUUCAAAUCUAGAUUUUCACUUUAGAGAAUCUAAGAUUAAAAUUUAAACUAAAGUUUGAAUUAAAAAACUAACUAUAACUUUUGAGACUAUUUAAGGAUAAAAUUUAUAUUUUAAAACUUAAUUAGCAUUAAUUAAAUUAGUCUCAAACUAAGGUUAGGGUAACACUCCAUAGUGUGAGAUAAUGAGGGACGAUUAUAUUGGAAGGUUAUAUGUGAUAUUGUAACACCGUGUGAUGUAAUGUAUACUAUAACAAAUUGUAUUAUAAUAAAAAGAACAAUAAUCUAAUUAUCAUUAUCAUUACUACUGCUACCACACACCACCACCAUUGUAUUAUUAUUACAUGAUUCUACAAAAAAAAAAUAGCAUUUAUGUUGUAAGAUAUAAUGAUAUGUUACAAUUUAUCUUCAACUGUUUACUAACUACAUAUAUAUUUUUCUAUUAGCCCCCACUAUCCUGGAGGUAAAUACUAAAUACAAUUUAAUUAUACGUAGGAAUAAAUAAAAUUGAAAUACACAUAAUUUUACACGUAUUUCUAUCUAUUAUCGUAGAAUAAUUAAGUUUCUCAAAUAACAAUAUUUCUUAGGAAAUUGUCUUAAAACCAAACAUAGUCUAUAGGAAUAAUGUGAACUGUGAAUAAGAAUCUUAAGGAUCUAUAUAUGGAACCAUUCUUACACAUAUAUUCCUCAAAAUUUAAUAUUAAUUUUAUUGCUAAACUGCUAUUUUUGUAAGUUAAUUACUACUAGAUCUACAAUCCAAACUGGAUUGCAAUAGUACAGUACCCUUAUUUAAAGAUCAAAUUAAUUUUCUCUACUAACCCUAGCCCCUGUGUGGAUCAUUGUUCUCUUCAUUGGGAUUUUAGACAGUGAAAAUGAAUUUCCUUUCUUUCGCAAUUCGCAUCGCAUAGAAAUUAAGCAGUAGGAAACUCAUUUUACACUGAUUAAUUAGCCUCGCGGCCCGUGAAAUUUCUCUAUAUAUGGGUUUACGUAGUGGAGUUUUUUUUUUUUUUUUUUUUUUUUUUUGAGAGAUAGGUACGUAGCACGCUACCCGCUUCGUUUAUUUCAUUUAGAAAUAAACUUAGCUAGAAAUGUGAAUCAACUAGAAUUCGAAGUUGGGUCUCGGAUACCAACCACUAAACUCUUUGCCACUUGCUCUAUAUAUGGGUUUACGUAGUGGAGUUAAUUUGAUGAACUAUUUAUUAAUGUGCUGUACAUGGUACAAAAUUAGUUGCAAUCAAUUCUGGUACCAUAUACAACAAAUUAAAAGUUACCUACCUCUUUUAACGAUUGUUGACAAGUUACUUAAUUAGCGUCUUCGAGUCCAGUGAGGAACUUAAAACUAAUUAUAAGAAUGAGUAAACUUUAAGGAAACUAAUUUUUCAUCGUUUACUUGUUUGUAUAACCUAUAUAUAUACAUAGAAUUGCCCAAACUAUAGAAUAACUAAUUAAUUGCUUAGAAGCUAGCUAGCUAUAUGUUGACGAUCUCUUCACCUAACCGAAUAGUAGUGUAGACCCAAAAUAUGUGAUUAAUUUUACGUACAUAAGCAAACUGAAGAGUGUGGGCAUGAAAGAAGACCGGAAGAAACUAAAUAUUACUACGCAAGGUGAUCGAUCGGGGAGAGCUAUAGCUAGCUAGGUGUGAAACUGCAGGGUGGGUUUAUCAUGAAUUUGCAAUUAAUUAAAUCUUGAGCAAUGCUCAUAUAUAUUCUAAGCACACGUACAAGAAAAAAAAAAAGAAAAGGAGAAGAAAUAAAAAAAAAAAAGAGCAAACGUACGGUAGGAGUAAAAUCUUAAAUCUUACUUAUUUAAGGGCCGGGUCAAUAUUUUUUCACUAGUUUUAUUAUCAUUUUUUAAAUAUUAUAAAUUUAAAAUGCGUGUCCUAGUUAAUUUUUAUGUGGACGAGCGCAUAAACUUAAUGGUGCUCUCCUUCCUUUGGGAUGUACGUAUAAUAUUUCUCUUAAAUUUUAGACCUCUAGCUUUGUAGCUAGCAGGCUGUUGAAAAAAAAAAAAAGAAAAAAAAAAAGAGGUUAGAGAAAAACCCCACCCACAGCUAGCCCACAUAGGUAGAUAAAUUAAAACAGAAACAAUGGUAAUUAAUGAGGGAGGUGAAAAGCAAGGGACUUGCUAAAAAAUUGGCCCAACAUAUGGUAAUGAGUAGUAUUAUUAAUUAGUACAUCCACUUCUACGGAGCCCGUUAAAUUGAGCAAGUACGGCUGAAUUCUGACGCUCAAGGUGAAAAUGGUUGUACAUUUAUCUAUUAAUAUUAACGCAUCUCUCACCGUCAAAACCUUUUCUGUCAAUAAUACAAUAGAUAUAGUUAGUUCCUGUUUUAUACAUAUAUAUAUAUAUAUGGAUCAGUACCUAAUCUAUAGGCUUAUACUAAUUUUAGGGUAUGUUCCGUUCGCCCUUCUUUCAUUCUGGAAUCGGAACGAACAAAUUCGUUUGUCCGUGUUUAGUAUGCGAAAUUUUCAUUCCGAUUUUGAUUUUCGGAUGAAUGAAAAUCUCCCAAAUUACCCUUUUUUUAAUCCGGUCUAGAAGGCCGGAUUGAAAAUUGAAUCGUGGCGGAAUGAAUUUGUUAGGAUUAAAUUUACCCUUUUUAAACUUAUUUUUUUAAUUAAAACAUACAUAAUUUUAAGUUUAAAAUUUAUAUUUACAAAUUUUAAUUUUAACUUAAAUUAAAAAUUAAAAUUCAAUCAACCAUUUCGAAUUUAAUUUAUAAAAUUUAAUUUGAAUCCUAAAGUUUUAUUCAAUUUUUAUUCAAAAUUUAAAUUAAAUUCAUGGAUUCAAAUUGAAAUUUAAAUUAUAAUGUUAAGUUUGAAUUUGAAUAUUUCAAAAUUUAGUUUUAUAUUUUGAAUUCUCCGUUCAGUUUUCAAUUUUAAUUUUUUAAAAAAAAUAUAUUUAAAAUUUUGACAUCAUUUUAAAAUUUUUACAUAAAAUUUUAAUACUUAAUUUUCAGUUUGAAUUUACACUGAUAUAUUAUAAAAAUAAAAUUGAUAUAUUAAUUUAAUUAUGUUUCUGAUAUCUAUCCGAAUCAAGCACCAGCAAUGAUUUAUUCCGAUUCCGAUUCAGACGGCGAUCCAAACAGAAUGAGAUAGUGACUCAUUCCGAUUCCGUCUCCAGCUUAUUUUCCCUCCGACUUCGAUACCGAUUCCGACUUCGAACCAAAUACACCCUUAGAGAAAGAAGUCUAUGUACCGGAGUCAAAUUCACAACUACUGCAGUGGAAAGAUUAGAUUGCCGGCACUAUAGUAAUAUUAAAUAAAAAUAGUAGAUUAAUGGUAUUUUUGUAAUAGUAAAUAAAAAUAGCAGAUAAUAGCUAGGAGUAAACAAAAAAUAUUGUUGUUGUUAAUAAGGGAGGCAAAAGACAACCCAAGUUAAUUAGUUGGCCCAUGCACCAAUCCGAAAGAUAAUCAGAUCUAGACAAACAUGCAUUUUGUCUGAAAAAUUGGGUUCUCAUAAUUCACUUUGUACUGAUUAAAAUUCUCUGUUUGGAUUCGGAUAUAAAAAUUCAGACAAACUGGGCCAAUGGUCCGAGUUUGGACUAACAGCUUAAAUAAUAAACUACCUUGAAUUAUAUUAAACUACUGCUUAGUUAUUUCAAGAGAUAUAUGAAUUAAGUAUCUCUAAGAUUAUAAUAUUAAUUAAAUCUAGCUACUACAAUCCUUAAUUUGUAUUUUUUUUUUCUUUUGCAUGUGAAAUGAUUUUAAUCAAAUAAAAAUCGUUAAAAAAAUUAAAUUAAAUUUUUUCCUAAUUCAAUUUGAGAAUUAUCUAAUAAAAGAUAUAAAUAUCGAUCGAGUUGCUGAUCUUUAUGGCGUUGUUUGACUUUAUUUAGAUUUGAAACUAUUUGACUUCAUUGUGGUAUAAGUAAAUAUGAGAAUUUGUGGUUUAUUAAUUUCUAAUUUUAAAAAAAAAAUUGUCAAAAUGGGCGCAAAAUUAGAAAAAAAAAAAUUACAAUAUAAUUUUAUUUGAUUUUUUUUUCAAAAAAUCAAUUUAUAAUAAUUUCAAUUCUAAUGAAAUAAAAUAAAUAUAUAAACUUUAAAUCAAAAUUAUAAAAGCAUUUAAAGUACGUACAAAAGUAUUUUUAAAAUGCAAAAUAUCGGGUUAUUAUUGAAAAAAAAAAAGAAGUGACAGAACUAUAAAAUAAUUCACUCUUCUAUAUACAGUAUAGAUAUUAUUAUUAUUAUUAUUAUUAUUAUAGAUACUAAUAAUAAUAGGUAUCGAUGGAUGGAUGGAUGGAUAGAUGGAUGGAUAUACGUACGUGGCAUGCAUAUAUACAAGUGGGUCCAGAUCCGGUUUUAAACUGGGUCUGAUCAUUAAUUUGAAUAUAUAUAUAUAUAUAUAUAUAGUGUAUAUAGUGUAUGCGCUAGCUAGCUGUGUGAAAAUUUUUUAUUAUCCCUAGCUAGCUAGUAAUUAUCGGACCCCGGCCGGCUUGAUGGGUACGUGGGUCGGUAGGUGAAUUUUUAUUCUUGCACACAAAUUAAUUUUAAGUGUUGAGGUGCCGCGCGGCCAUUAAUUAGCGACGAAUCAUUAAUCCACGAGUGUCGUAAUCAAUGAACAGCAUGCAUGUAGCUAGCUAGGCACGAGCAUAAUUAAUUUGGAGGGUGGAGAUAGUUAUGUAUGCUGCCUACCUGGAUGUGAUGAAUUUGAUUUAUGACAGCUAAGUUCGUUAGGACGGUGGUGGAUCCGCUCGCGAGUAAUUGCACGCGAAUUAACACCUCCCACGACCCAUUUUUUCACCGAAUCGGCCGUUUCGAUCGCGUGCGUCCAUCGAAAACCUAAUUUCUUUCUGAUUCUAUUAAUUGUUCAUAUAUAAGAGACAUCUAUCUUUAUACAAGGGAGAGAUCGGAUAAUUAAUUCGGUACAUGGUAUAUAUAUACAUGGAGACAUCUCUAUAUAGUAUACAAUUAUUAUACGACGAAAUUUCUUUUCUCCGAUCGAUAAUAGUGAAGAUGUAAAUGAAAAUAUUUAUUUAUAUAUGUUGACGCUCCCGCAAACUCAAGACGGGUCAAGCACCACAAGAGUUUGGGCAAAAAGUACUAAUUUCUUUGAAUAGUGUAAGAUUUGGACAAAUGUACUGAGAUUUGGUGAAAAAAUCGGUAAGCUGUUGAACGGACGAAGCAAAUGGUAAUGCUAUCGUGCCAUUAGUAUAAUAACGGCGAAUGAAAUUGCGACUCAUUUUGAUAUGGUUGGUGGGUUCGUGAAAGACAUGUUAUCCGCAAUUUUAAUCGCACUUUGAUUAUCACAAUAUGGUUGUGUUGGAGCAGAGUAGAGGGCACCGAGGUCAUCAAAGAACUAUCCAAGCCAUAUAAUUUCAGAGGUUGCAGAGGGUGCCAGGUGCAAGGAGAACUAAUGACCAGAUACUAGCACGAUGAAGGGCAACAAGUUCCGUAGUCAUCGCAUCCCGCCAUUCAAUAAUGGAAGCGGUAUACGAUACAUUUGUGGUUCCCAGAUAUCAGAAAUAGCUGCAAGAAAUUAAUGUAUGAUAAUACAAAAAAAUGCAGGUAGAGUCAAUAGAACCGACAAAUUAUUUUGGACGACGAGUUCUCGAUACACAAUGGUGGUCGGAUCAUCCGAUGAGGCGAUACUUGUUGGGUCCUCAUGUGGUCCUCAUGUGGUGGUGCUUGUACAACAAGAAAAUCUAUAGAGAAUAGAGCCGGUAAAGGUGAGAAGAAGUAGCAGUUGAGGAAUCAGUUGGUUAGGAUUCUUCGGGAGAAGAAAUAGUGGCUGAUGAAAUGUUGAAGCGAAAAAAGAUCAACUAUAAGCAUUGAAAUGGAAAUGACGUCAGCACUCAAACUAGAUUGAACAUAAUUGGGUAAAUGUUCGAGAAAAGAAUGAUAUCUUGAGAAAUAUGCAUGUGACGAGCAAUAGGAUCAUAACAUCGUUGUGUUCAAGAUAUAGCCUAAGAAAACACGAAUAUAUAAUUUCAGGGAGAGUUUGGUCAUUCAUGUCAGGGUGGGAGAACAAAACAAGUGUACACACACACACGCGUGCGCACACACACACACACCCCGGGGGAUAUGGCAGAUAAGAGACUACAAGGCAUGAUAUAAACUAGACACAUAUGUAGAGAAAGCAUCAACCCAAAAAUGUUAAGGCGUAGACCCAUCUAUAAGAUGAGAGUAAGCAGUUUUAAAGAUGUCUCAUAUCAGUGCUUACGCUCAGCAAUGUCAUUUUGUUGAUGCACAUACAUGAAAGUUGUGGCAAAGUAUCAUGUUUAGCAAGGAGUAGAGGAAACUCAUUCGAAAAUACUCAUGCAUGCUGAUCUCUCCAUUUUUUUUUUGGUUAACGUCGAACCAAGUGGGCCCAAAGAUAACAAUAACAACAUCGAAUGCUCCACUUGUCUUGUCUAGCACUAUAACUUCUAAAAGAAUUGGAAGGUAUAGAUGAGAAGAAGUAGACACUAAUGCAGGUAGAGAAGUUGUAGGAUCACGAGCAGCGAGGACAAUAAGCAUCGCAGAAAUAGAGGAACUUAGAACUUGAAGGCAUGUCUCUGCAGCAAUUAGUUUCGCCAGAGCUGCAUCAAUGGUGAGGAAUGGAGUUCGAUGGAGAAGUUGACCACGCAAGGCUUCAAACUUAGGUAGCAAGUGCAUAAGGAACUAGAAUAAACAUUGUUGAUUGUGCACUUGCUUUUGCUUGAAAGCACACUGACAAGCUGAGCAAGUGCGGCAUAAGGGUAUCCAUAGUUGCUAUUUGAUGCCAAAGUGCCUGCAUAAAGUCAUAGAAAAUCGAAAUUAUGCGCUCCUCUUGAUGAGCUGUGGAGAUUGUGUCAUGCCUUGAGUCCGACCAAUUGGACCCGCUUGGACAUGUACAAUAGAUCCACUGGACAAGACAAGUUUUCCCCUACCCAUACGAAGCAGAAACAUACAGCAACCUGUACAAUGCCAUAUAUGAAAUAGUUAUAAUAGAGCAUUAGCGUAAUAUUUCUAAAUUAAAACCACUGCAAACGUACUCAUUUAAAGUUUACCAAACUUAAUACAUUCCAAAAUAUUACAAUUUUAUUGUUCAUAUAAAAAGGUACAAUCUAAACCACGUACUCACAUGGUCUAACUACUCCACAACGCCCUUACUAUGGUCCCGCACCUCAAAGAUAAUAAUAGGAUCUGAAAAUAGGUAAACAACAAUGGAAUAAGAACUUGGAAUGAGUUCUGAAUAGGUGCAACCACUGAAAGUGGUAUUCUAUACUCACCAAGUUCCAAACGGGCGUUAGUAAUAAGUAAUAAUAAACAACAUCUAUUACCACAAUAGAAAAGUAAAUAAGUAAGAUAUAUCUAUAAUGCCUCUCUAUAUAUAUAAUAUGCAAAAAUGGUUUGCUAUGUUAUUUACUACACAUUCACCUCAUUUUAUUUUCUUAAUUUUAACAAACUUGUUCAUUUGGUUUACUUUUCAAUCUCAGUACACACCUUAUGGAGAGUCAAGGAUGAUCGAACUUCUCUCCAAUCGGUAGGCACUUGGGAUUGAAGGAGAUCAGAUUUUCUCUAGUAUGGCAUCGGGAGUUGAGAGGAUUAGACUUCUCCCUUUAUGACACUUCCGAAAAUCGCAACAUGUUUCAUUGUUACACCUUAAGUUCGUGACUUCUAGGGUUGUCAUAAGGUUUAUUUCCAUAUUGUUUUAUUUUCUAGUUCUAGUUUUGCCUAGAGAUACCACUAUAUUCACAUCUUAGGUUUCAAAAUAGGUUAAACGCCACACUUGUUUUCAACAUUUUAUGGUUCACAUAAUACUCACAUGUACAUCUCAAGUAUUUUCUUGUAGUAUAAUAAAGGGAUAAAAUCCUAUUUUCCUAGGCCAAAUGGCAAUAUACAAUUUUGACUCUCUAGAUCCCCUAGCAUGCAACUAAAAUAUAUUUCAGCUUAUAUAAAACUCAUAAAAUAUGCAUGCAACAAAAAAAUAAUUUAGACAAAGAGGAAACUAAAUCUAUUUUGAUUAUAUUCUUUACCUUUUCUUAGAUCUUCUCUAAGAGAUGCUCUUGAUCUUUUUAGAAUACCAAGAAAAUCUUAAAAAUUAAUUCUAACCAAGUUAGAAUCUAAAAAUUCUAUGUUUAGGAAAAUUCCCAAAAUAAACCAGAAGAUUCCAACUUACCUCUUCUCUUCCUGGUAUAAGAAAUGCGGGUGAAAUGGACUUCUUCUCCCUCCAAGAGCGUUCUCUUGAUGAAUUUGACCUUCUCCAAGCUUUCAAGGAAAUAGAUCUUUAAGUUUCAACAAUAGAGAUUUUAGGGCUCUUUUACUGUAAAGAAAGAGAGAAGAGGAUAGUGAGAGAGGAAGAAAUAUAAGAGAAAUUAGGGCUAACUAAUUAAAAGGAUACUCAUAGACGUGCUAUAAUAGCACAUAAACCCGCCGACAAUCCAAAUUUAUAAAGCCAUAAACCUCGACCUUUUAACUAGGAUUCGGGCACCCACUUGUCCGGACUUUCAGGUGCCGGUCCAAACUUUUAGGAGCCCAAAAGCCUCGUAGCUCCCUUUGGUCAAUUGUCUAGAUGCCCGGCCAAUCCGCCCUAUCCAUAAUACGGGUGCCCAAAAUGGACAUCAGGUGUCCAAUUAUUUAAUCCAUCACACAUGCGCUCUCAGGUUGAACAUCCAAAAGACAUUCGGAUGCCCGCGAGGGACUGCUUGAAAGAUUUUUCGAGCGCCAGAUUUUGGUCAACCGAAUAUUCAAUCCUUCACCUCCCAAGUUCUCGGGUUGGGAGUCCGAAAGAGGGUCUGGAUCCUCUUAAGUAGGAUUUGAAAGGUUAAUUUGCAGGCACCUAUGGGGCCAUUCGGGCACUCUAAAGUCAUCCUUCAAGUGAGUCCCACUGUCCGAAAUGGUUUCGGGUGCUUGGGAUCCUGUUUCGAGCGCUUGGGAUCCUAUUUCGGGCAUCCGAGAAGUUUGAUACUUCAGUUUUCACUUCUUUGAAAAUCAAUUUCAAUAUAAAUUAGUUUAUAUUCGGUCCAAAUUCAAACUACACUCCUUCAAACCCAUUUUAAUUGUGUCUAGCAUGACUUAAUCCGUACUUUGUUAAUUUAGCCAAAAUUCAGUAUGUUACAGAUUUUCUAUACUUAGAAAAUAACCAUAACUAUACUAUCUAUAUAUUUGUCUCUAUAUAUCGAUCAAAGAUAGACCACAUCUGGUAAAUGGUGGAUAGGCUGAUUAAUUGCAUACAAAUGUCGAUAUCCACUUGUAUAAAUAAGCCCAUGUGCCCGUCAAUCAGCAGCAAAUCAGGCUUUAGUUUUGUUUCAUCAACUGUUAGAUUGGUACCAUCAAUAUGACUGGUAAGAUCAAGAGUAUUCAAAUAAUAAUUGAAUACACAUCGACCAUUCAUAAUAGUUGGGCACGAUGAGCUUAAUAUCAAUUUGCACAAUAGUAGGUUAGAGGUGAGAGAACUAUUUUUCUUUACAGGUCUAAGCUAUUAGAGAAUGAUCCUUUAACUAUUAUGUGCUCAAAACAUUUUGGCAUCUAAUGGCAGAUUUUGGCUAAAAGCCAAAUAUGCAAAUUGCUAAAACUAAAUUAAAGAUUAGUAUCAAAAGAUUUUGGCAGAAAAUUAGUCUCAAAAGAUUCGGAGUCAAGACCUUAUGCUUUGAUAUCAUUUAGGACAUUGUUUUCACUUCCAUAUAUACUCAAUAGGGAUUAUCUUAAAUUCUGUUGAAUUCGCAGGUCCAUUCCAAUUUAUGAUGUGAUCCAAAAUUUUAGCAGUAAAAUUAAAAAUUUCACUACUAGAAAAUUAGUCAUUAGUGACAUUUAUUUACGCUGCUAAAAGAUCAACGAAUGCCACUAAAAAUUUUAGCAGCAUAUGACACUAACUGUUGCAUAUGCCAAUGUUGCUAAAAGUAUUAGCAGUAUUUAUAAUGAAUGCUGCCAAUGUAAAUCAAUUAGUGUUAUUAGGAACAUGCCUCUAAUAUAAAUCAAUUAGUGUCAUUCGGAACAUGCCGCUAAAAGGGAUUAAAUGCUAAUUUUAACUUAUUUAUUAGUGGGACAUAAAUUAAUAUAACGCCACAAAUACAAAUAUCUGAUUUUAGGGACUCAAGUUUUAAAAUUUUAAUUUUACCCGCUUCAGCUGGAAAUGUGAAUCAACUAGGAUUCAAACUUGAGACCUCAGUUACCAACCAUCAAGCACUUUGUCACUUACGCUAGGAACUCUCAGUUAUAUAUAUUUAAUUUUUUUUAAAUUUUAAGCCUUCAAUUUUAAAAUUUUAAAAUUUUAAAUUCUAAAUUCUAAAUUUAGAUACUAAAUUUAAAUUUUUAAUUUUCAAAUAUUAAAUUUUAAGUUUCAAAAUUUACAAUUUUAAAUGUGAAAUUUUAAAUUUAAAAAAAAUGUAUAAAUUUAAAAAUUAAAAAUUAAAAAUUUAAAUUUUAGAAUUUAAAAUAGAAAAUAUAAAAUCUUAAAAUUCAAAUGUUAAAUUAUAAGUUUAAUUUUAAAAAUUAUAAGUUUCAAAUAUUUAAACUUUAAUUUCAAAACUUUUAAUUCUAAGUAAAAAUAGGAUAUAUUAAUAAUUAUAUAUUGAUUAGUAACGAUAUUUAGUAAUAAGUACUGCUACUUUAUUACAUUUAGUGGCGUUCAUUAAUUUACGCUGCUAAUUUAUCCUAUUUUGUAACAUUAAUAAUAAAUUACUGCUAAAUUAUUAAAUCUAGCGGCAAUUAUUAAAUAAUGCUGUUAAAUAUAUUAAUUAGCUUAAUUUAAAUAAAUAUUGUGAAGUAAGUGUUGCAGCAUUUAGCAAUAAGUGCUGCUAUUUUGUUACAUUUAGUGUUAUUUUUUAUAAAAUGUUGGAAACUUCAGCGGCAUUCACUAAUUUAUCAAGUACGAAUAAUUGUAAAUUGCUACUAAUUGUAACUUCAGCGGCAUUCAAUAAGUGCUGGUAAUUUAUCCUAUUUGUAACAUUAAUUGUAAAUUGCUGCUAAAUUAUUAAAUCUAGCGGCAAUUAUCAAGUAAUACUGUUAAAUAUAUUAAUUAGCAUGAUUUAAAUAAAUGUUGUGGAGUAAAUGUCACUAAAUCAUGAAUUUGUUAUAGAAUUUUAUGAAACUCCAUGGUAGUAGCACUAGAAGCCCACUACUUGCUUUGUGAGUGCAAGGGCAGCGCUCCUGCAAAUUGGAAUAGUUAAGUCGGGGCCAAAGUUUUUCUAACCCCUAAACUUUUGAUCUACCAAUUUAGUUAAACUUAGACUAGUAUCGUUAAUUCUUUAGAGAUUUAACCGCUUACAUAUGUUGAUAGACCUUACUCCGUGGAUUUGUGGUAUCAUAGAGAGCAUGACAUCUAUUUUGCAGGUUAGGAUAUUUUGAGAGACGUAUGUUUUGUACUCAGCUUUCGAUUAUAAAAAGUUUUGCUUCAUCUUUGUUCAUGGAUUCAGGUCAGUGGUCAAACAAGAUUAUUUUCUUGUGAUUUUUUUUUCUUCUCUAUUUUUUGAUUCUCCGUUUUCUUUUAUCUGAUUUUUAGUCUUUGUUGUUACGAGAUACUUACCUCCCAAAUGUCUCACCUUGAAGCUGUGAAUGCCACUAUAUAGUUAGUACAUAUAGACGAAUAUAUAAGCAACGAGUUGAUUUAGGUAAAUAAUUAUUUAGCCACCACUCCAUCCUUCUUCUUUUCACUUAAUUGGAAUUGCCUUUUAUACUCAAAUUUUGGCAUGUUACAUACUAAAUGUUGAAAACUGAUGUGGAUAAAAUUAAAUUGUCUUAGAACUUCGAAGUAGAAAUUUUUCUUCACAGUGUGGGCCAUUAUUUCAUAAAUUGGAAGAUAAAUUAUGUUUGGCAGUAUGUUUAGGAUAUGAAAUCAAGUCUGCAGGAAAACUUAAUUUAUGUAUGCUUCUAACGGAUGAUUCCAAACUUAAUUUAUGUAUGCUUCUAACGGAUGAUUCCUUACGUGAUGCAGGAUGAGGACUUUCCUAAUUGAGGGUUUCAUGUGCCACACUCAUAAUGCUGCAUGGCACACUCUACACAACAUUAUUUGUGGGAGUGCUAACAAGAUGGAGAAUUAUCUAGACAUUGUCAAGAAUCAGCUAAAGUGCAAUGUAACUAUAUUUCACGGCCGAAAAGAUGAGCUCCUCCCUGUUGAUUGUAGCUAUGCUGUCGGGUCGAAGAUCCCUAGGGCUCGUGUUAAGAUCUAUGAUGAGAAGGACCAUAUCACGGUUGUCGUUGGCCAAGAAAGGGUUUUCGCAAGAGAGCUUGAAGAGAUAUGGAAAAAUGCUAUGCAUUAAAUAAGGAGGAGGAAGAAAGAAUUUAAACCUAAAUGAAAUAACUUCCCUCUCAAUGCACAGCUCAAAGAAAUGUGAUGCAAACAAGUGAUGCAUGUUUGAGCAAAUAUAUAUAUAUCUUUUGUUUCUCUCUUUCGUUCUUUUUUAAAAAAAUUUCUUUCUAAAGUACUUAUGUUUUACCACUAUAUGUGGUUCUAUAUGGUACCCCUUAUUCAAGUGUGAAAUAUGUAAGAUAGAAAUAUUAUGGGGAAAGAUAUAGAUUUCUCUACUUUUCAUAUAUUCUUCUUAUGAACUAUGUAGUAUUGUUAGUUAAUAACUUCAUUAUUAAAUCAUCAAUCUUACUACAUCGAGAGGGCAACAAAUUAUAUAUCACUCCCCGAGGCUGUUUUGUAAAAUAUUUUCUUUGAAAACGAGUGAAAAACAUGCUUUUUCUGAACUAAAAAACUGCCCUGAACAAGCACUGAUUCGCCAUACGAACAAAAUCUUCCCUAUCCAAAUGGAUAGAGUUUUUUCUGUACGCAUGACAUAUAUAGAGACAUAAAGUACAACAUCCAACCAUCAAACACAAUAGUAGCAACAACAACGACAAUAGAGAGAUAACAACAUACUAAUAAAUGAUCGACUAUUAUGAUGAAUAAAUGACUACUGCAGCCUCCAAUCUUCACAUACAACAAGUCACCUCCUACAACCAAAAUCAAAUAACAAUAUAUACAGGCCAGAAGCAAGAAUUAAUAAUACUGAAAAGUGAAGAAAUACAGAUACUAAAACCGACUACAAGGAAGCCACCCAAACUACUAAGAAGAACAAAUCUACAAAUGCUAAAUAUACAAUAACUAAAUAAUUAGGAGUUUGAAACAAAAGGUAUAAUUACAACUCAAAGUUACUGCCAGAGGGACUCAUCUAUCUAAUAGUACCUCAUGCACAGGCGGAUAUGUCACCUCUAGUGUCACCUGUGGAAACUAGGGAAUGAAAAACAUGUACACAUAUUUUUCAGUGCGUACUGCAAGCCGUCGAAGGCAAGCUGUACUCACUAGUAAAUAAGAGAGAGAGAGCGAUAAGGUAAAUACGAUAGGUAUAAACAGGUAUAAUUGAUAUAGUAAAAGUAAAACAAGAAAGAAAUCAUGCGACUAAAUAUUUGAAAUAAUAGCACUAUUGUAAAAAGAUAAGCAGAUGUAUAUAUGCAUCAAGCAAAUGAAUACUUCAAUACUCAGUCCCAAUCCAAACAAAUAUUGUCAUGUUGGUCUAAAGACCUUAGGCAAUGCCACACCUAUGCUUAGUCACUAGGCAUAUAAUCCUUCACGCCCUAGGGUUCGGCUCAUGUCACGCCCCGGGGUCCCUUUUCAGUUUAAAACAAAGCGGAAAAGCGUCUGAAAUUUUUUUUUUUUUUGAAAACCUGACCCCAGAGUAUGCCAGAUCCGCCACAAAUACAGGGAAUCCACUGUUCACACGGACAGAGUCUCCCCUGUAUUUGCACGGCGUCGCACAAGUACAAGAAGUCACCCAAGCACAACCACAACAAAUGAACAUACAAAUAACCAACCGUUAUAUAUAUUCAUACGCCAUUCACCACAGAUUCACAUGUAUGCAUAAAUCCACACCUAUCAGUUAAAAUAUUUCCAACCACAGAAACAGGUUUUGAAAUACUAAGAUGCAAAAUCCACAGAAAGCUUUUUGAAAACUGUUUCCUACACGGAAACCUUUAUUCUUUAAAAAUGCUACCACGAGGGGUAGAAAAUAUUUUACUUUACAAAAUCCAGAAAUCCGUUUAUUACAUUCACGAAAAUCCAUAUUUUCAAAUGUAAUAAAAAAUACUGAACCAUAUAACUAUCUAAGCUAUAACAACUGAAAUAAUAAGGGUAAUAACUAUACCGAAAUAACCUGGGUCGGAAGCUCUAUCGACCGCUACACACGUACCUCACGUCUCGUCCCACUACUCAUCGCCCGCGAUACCUGAAAAAUGGUGGGGGAGGUGAGAACAUGUAAACAUGUCUCCCCUCCCAGUGGGUACCGCAAGCCGAAGAAGGCGAGGAGUACUCACCGGAUCAGGAAGAACUAUACAACAACAUGGGUCAGUGGAAAUAAACAAGGUAAUGAGCAGAUAUACAAUAGCGAUAAACUGAAAGGAAGUAAGAACUAUACUGAAUAAACGGCUACCGCUACUGUAACUGGAACAGAAAGCAUACAUGAAUAUCUACUAUAGUAGCAAGACAACUAUAAAGUAAGAUCUGUAAGUAUGCAUGCAACGACUGCUACUAUAAACAUAUGCGUCAAUGGGACAAUCAGUCCAAAAGUACCCAAUCUGAAACCAAUGCUCUCUUGGUCAGCACCGCAGACCUCAAGCCAAUGCCCUGGAGGUCCGCACCGCAACACCUCCCGACAGUACCACUGCCGCUCUAACAUGCAUAUAACCCCUCUAGGGCUCACGGGUUGUCACCAUUCAACCACUUUUCCGGAAAAGAACACUCCUUGCGGUGGAUCAGACCGCCAGUGUUCGUGAAAUGCGACGAGUAUCGGGCGAUCAAUGCAAUAUGGUCAAUGAUCAACCGUCGGCAACCAGCCGACAAUCCUGCCCCCCAGGGCCUAUCGACCGCAUAGGUCAUCAACUGUAAAGAAGCACAAGAACCGACCACUCAGGUCAACUAGGAUGGGACAACAUCGACAUCCUCUCAAACAUAUGCAAAUACUGACUAAUCAAGUCAACUGGGAUGGAACAACUCAACAUCCUACCCACAGUAUGUAGAUACUGAUCAAUGAGUCAACUACUGUAUAUAUGCAAGAAUCGGUCAACAAGUCAUCUGAGUAUAUGAUCUAGAACUACCGUCGGCCACUAGUCGACAAUCCUACCCCUCAGGGUACACCGACCUCAAAGGUCAUCAAACAACAAGAGUCAAGGAACAAACCGACUAUAUACAGAUAUAAGAUACAAGAACGAAUCAACUAGGUCACCGAUUUCACAUAAAAUCACGAAACCGCUCUACUCUAAACAUGAUACAGGAUAUGCAGAAUAGCUAAGUAGAGCAACAAAGAAAUAUGGUAUAACUACUCUACUCCUACUCAUGAUAUAAAGAGAACAACCGAGUAGAGUGUAACUGAACAACAUGGUGCUAGGCUCAACACUAUAUAUCAAGAUAUAUAUAUGCUAGAUAAUAACGAAAGAGCAAAGGUAAGAAACCAUCACCGAGCGUGCACCACUGUACCGACGUCGGAUCGAAGUACCCACCUGUACAACUGUCGCGCCUGUCUCCUGACUGCAAAAGAACGUCAACAGGACCUAUGGAGGGUCCACUGGGUUAGUGUCUAACCCACAACUAAGAAAUACUACAUCGUAAUCCCGCUAACAAACCCACGGAGAUCAGUUUCCCAAAACCGACUACCGUAACUCGCCGGAAGUCCCAAAAAUCGCACCGGGACUCCGUCGGGACCCACGAACUGUCCCGAAAUGUUCCAACUCAGGAUACGAGUCACCCGCUGACACAAAACACACCAAUUUGGAUGUCUUGGCAGAAAACACAAGUUAACACAACUACACAAUUAUCGCCGGAUAAUUGUACGAACUCGGGUUCCCGAAAGUGUCAAAUUCGACACCGGAACCCACCGUCGCUCACUCGUCAUUUCUGAACUCUCGAAAUGACGCAAGUGGCCAGAAAACAAGGCUCGGCGACUACACAAUAGCUCACGAAGCACCGUCGGAAUAAUUCCGAACCGAACCCGCGUUCUAUCGGCGGAUUUCGCCGAAAAACGCAUCGAAAAUCACUUUUCGAUUUUCGCAAGGGCUUGGGGCCUUGGACGAUCAGUCCAGAGGUUAUCCUUAGCCCAAACGUGCUGCCAACAGCAUCUACAUCGAAGCAAAAGUCCUAAAAGCCCAUACCGAUACAUGAAAUCGCAUCAUUUCAUGUGAUUUCUAGGCUUUUCUGGACCGUGCACGCAAACCAGAGGUCGAUUAAUCCGACCGUCGCACUCGCUGACAGGUUUCAUCAUGUCGGAGGCCGUGCUCACCUUUCGGAGCACUGCCGACCACUGCGGUGCGCGCACGAGCGACACGAAAUCUGUGAAACAGUGCGCACAGCGCGAAGGUCGCGACUAACUUGCUAACCAGGGCAUCUUUGCCGCUGUCGGAGGUGAGCACGAUGUUCAGCACGAACCCUAGAUCAUCGUGCUCACUUCUCGAGGUGUCGGGGAGUCAUCGGAUCACCAGAAAGGUGGCCGGAAAGCUUAAAUUGCAAUGCUGGAACUCAAAAACAGCAUACCGGAGCAGUGGGAGCUAGGGUUGGUCGCCGGCGGCCGGGAGGCGGGCACUCUGGCCGGGGAUGGGAGCAGCCGGUCCGAGAGGUCCGGGGAGGGUGCUGGCCGGCGGCGGGCGGCAACCGGUGGCGCGGCGGAGGAGAUCGACUCCGCCCAUUCCCUCUCGGGUUCGUGCUUCCCGGCGGCGCGGCGGCGGCCGGAGGAGGUCGGGGCGGCUACGGUGCGGCGCCGGAGGCCGAGGGGAAAGUGGUGUACCCCCCGGUGGGCGGCGGCGGCACUUGGAUGUCGAGCGGGCCCGACCUCGGCCCGCACAGGUCUGGGUAGCUGCAGGAGAUCUCAGCGGCGGCCGGCGGCGCGCGGGGACGGCGGGGGACGCGCGCGCCGGGUUGUCGGAGGUCGCCGGGGCCGACUGGAGGGCGGCACGGCCGAAGUAAGGCGAGGACGCAGAGUUCGAGCUGGCUCGGUCUGGGUUGACCCGAGUUGGCCGCAGGGAGCGGGGGUGGAUCCGGUGGCGCUCGGGGGUGGUCGGGGCCGACGAGGGAGGACGACGGAGAUGGACCUCGGCCAGAGGAUGAUGCUCCAAGGGUGAAAGAAGCUUCCUUCGCAGCUUCGGCGAAGUCGGAGGAGAGGGUGGCCGAGAGAGCAAGAGAAGAGGUCGGGGUGGCUUUUCCGGCGGCCGGGGCAGCUCGCCGGCGGCUGGGGCGUGCGCGCGGGUUGGGCAGGGAGAAGGUGGGGCGGCUAGGGCUCGGUUCGGCUGAGGAGAAAGCCAAAAGCUAGGGUUUCCUCACGAAACCCUAGUGCAACUACUAUUUACAUAUGUACAAUUGCAAGAUAGUCCUCCCAGGGAUAAUAUUCUCAGUCAAGUCCCUCACAGCAUGUGUAUUUUACACAUACGCACCUCCAUGUCCGAUCUCAAGCAAUUCGGCACAUAAAAUAUUAGAUCUUUUCGCGAUUUAACCGUUUUGCCAAUUUGACCUCUUAGCGAUAACUUUGCAAUUACCGGAGAUCCGUCCGUCGGAUUUUCGAUCCGACUGUGCCAUCGCGUUCAGUACAACGGGGGCAUCGAAACUACGAUUUCGUUUCAUCCAAUUUGGUCACGGAUUCGCGACGGAACCCAUCUGCUCUCUAAUUAAUCCAUAUAUCGUACGUAUACCAAUGUGUAAACCCAUUAAACCAACUUUCGUAUUAGAAAUUGACUUCCCUACCACUAGUAGGGACCCGAAACAUUCUUCACCCUACUCCAGGUCACAAGCACGGGGCACGAGAAGCUUUAGAAUGCACAGAAAAGCAAAGAGCGGAAACCCUCUUUUCGGUAAAACUCCUUUUUCUCGAAAAUCGUGCAUCAGAUCUGAAAUCCGUCAGUGCCAUUGGUUCCAGAACAGCUGAACCGAUCGAAACGAGCUAUUGGAUCGCUAUGAACGGAGUCCGAUAAGCGCCGAAAGCCAACUCUACUCCGUGGCUUCACCGAAAAACUGGAGUUACUAUUCACUUAAGUGAAAACUAAUAAUCACGUAACUUCUCCGUUCUAGCUCAUUUUCUCCUGAAACUUGACGAGUGCUUAUGUAAUUAAAUUACACACAUAAAUAUCGUCAACAGAGAGUUUAGUUGCACUGUAAAAAUCUCAAUCCUUACAGCUCAACGUGGGUUUGCCAAUAGAUCUGCCGCAUACACAAGAAGCCUUGUGUAUACGAAGCGAUAGUAGUACUUGUAAAGUAUAAAAGAACAACUAUAAGCAAGUAAUAGGAUUGUAAAAAACUGCUAAAACUAAAACAUGAUCCACUGUACAUACAUAAGAUCUAGGGAGUACAAUAAAGAAAUCCAAAAGUACAAACAUCAUCUCUCGCAAUUGUAAAAUAAUAUAUAUAUAUAUAUAUACGUAUAAUAUAUAUAUAGAACGUUCGGCUACUAUGCUUAUCGUAGCACGAGCGCUCCGUGCUACCAAGUUGUUUUCGAUGAUGCGGCUUUCUGAUCGACGAUCGGCUCCGUUAGACUUGAUCGAACACUAUUGAAAGUAUUUGAAACUAAAUUUCAAAUUUUUUCGACAUCAUUUGACUAGUGAUCAAAAGAUCUCAAAAUUGACAAUUUUAAUGGCCGAUGUGGGUGUGUUUGUGAGUUAACGGUGUAAAAAUAAUCCAAAUGCGAUGAAAAAUUUAUAUAAAAAUUCUUUUCACUAUUUAGAGUAAGAUCAGUAUAUCUUUUUUGAAUUAAUCUUUUUAUAUCAUUUUUCUAUGAGAUUUUUAUUUUCAGCCGUUCAAUUUUAGACCUACUUGUUUGAUAGGUAAAUAAUAUUCCGAAAACACACUUAUGAACACUUAUUUCUAAAUACUUUCCCACAUAGUAUAGAUUCAAGCUCAACCGGAGCCGAUCGGUCGACUUCUGGAAGUAGCAUCAUCGAAAACAACUUGGCAGCACGGAGCGCUCCGUACUAUCGAUAGUAUAGUAGCCUAGCUCAUAUAUAUAUAUAUAUAUGUAUGUAUGUAUAUAUGUAUAGCAUAGUACUAAUAUAAUAAUAUAGAUAUAUCUAUAUAUAUAUAUGUAUACAUAUAUACAUACAUAUAAUAUAGAUAUAUGUAUAUAUAUUAUAUAUGUAUUAUAUAUAUAUAUACAUAUAUAUAUUACUAUAUAGAUAUAUUAUAUAUGUAUAUAGAUAUAUUACAUAUAUGUAUAUAGAUAUAUCACAUAGAUAUAUAUAGAUAUAUAUAUAUAUAUACUAUAUAUAUAUAUAUACUGUAUAUAUAUAUAUAGUAUGUUAUAUGAUUAUAUCUAUAUCUAGAUUGUAGGAUAUACAUAUAUAUAUAUAUAUAUAUAGUAUAUACACAAUAUAACAUAUAUAUAUAUAUAUUACAUAUAACAUAUAUAUGUAUAUCUACAUACAUAUAUACUAUAUGUAUAUCUACAUAUAUAUAUAAUAGUAUAUAUAUUAUUGUAUAUCUAACAAUAUAGAUAUAUAUGUAUAUAUAUAUAUAUAUUAUAUAUAUAUAUACUGUAUGUAUAUAGUAUAUACUAUAGAAAUUUAAAUAUUCUGUAUAUUAUAUAUAUAUACAGGAUAUACAUAUAUAUAUAUAUAUGUAUGUAAUAUAUAGUAAUAUAUAGUAUAUCUAUAUAUAUAUAGGGUAGUUAUACCAGAUAUAUAUAACCUACCUAUAAUCAUGUAUAUAUAUAGGUAAUACAUAGGUAGGUUAAUACAUAUAUAAUAUAGUAGAAGGUGGUAUACAAUAUAUUAGGGGGGGGGUAGGUUAUAUAACCUACCUAUAUAUAUAUAUAUAUAUAUUAGUUUAGUAUUAAUAUUUAUAUAUAUAUAAUAUAUAUAUACUAUAUAUAUUUAUAUAAUUAUAUAUUAUAACCUACAAUCUAUGAUAUAUAUAUAACCUCCUAUAUAUGGUUAUAUAUAUAUAUAAUAUGUAUAUAAUAAUAUACCUAAUCUAUAUAUAUAUAUAACCGAGUUGGGCUGGGGUGCUUUCGGAAAGAAGCACGGAGCGCUUCCGUGCUUCCACUUUGUUUUCCGAUGUUCGGACUUUCGAAUCGACGAUCGGCUCCGUUAGAGUUGAUCUACGAGCUAUUUAAAGUACCAAGAAUUAAAUUUUGCGAAUUUUUCGAUAUCAUUUGCCUUAAGUGAUCCGAAGGGGCUUCAAAAUCAAUAAUUUUAACGGCCGUGGUGAGCCAGUUUGCAAGUUUAACGGUAUAGAAAUAUCCCAAAUCCACGGAAAAUUUUGAUAGAAUUCUUUAUUACCAUAUAAAACAAGAUCAAUACUUUUGUGAUCUAAAUUUUAAUGGUCGAUAUCAUCAUAUUUUGGUGAGAUUUUUAUUUUCAGCCGUUAUUUGAGCCACUUCGAUCACUAGGGCAAAUGAUAUCGAAAAAUCGCAAAAUUUAUUUUCUAGAUACUUCAAAUACCUAGAUCAAGUCAUAAACGGAGCCGAUCGUCGAUUUGAAAGUCCCAACAUCGGAAAACAAAGUGGAAGCACGAGCGCUCCGUGGCUUCUGAAAGCACCCCCAGACGCUACUCAUAUUAACUUACCUAUAUAUGUAUAUAGUAUAUAGGUAGGUUAUAUUAUAAUAUAUAUACAUAUAUAGGUAGGUUAGUAUAGUAUAUACUAUAUAGGAGUUAUAUAUUAUAUAUAUAGUAGGUAGGUUAUACAUAUAUAUAUAGUUAGGUAGGUUAUAUUAUAUAUAAUAUAAGAUAUAUAUAUAGGUAGUUAGGUAGAUGUAUAUAUAGUAUAUAUAUGAACUAUAUAUAUAUAACUAUAUUAUAUAUAUAUAGGUUAAGUUAUGUAUAUAUAUAUUAUAUAUAUAUUAUAUAUAUAUAUAUAUAUAUAUAGUAUAUAUAUAGUUAGUAGUAUAUAUGUAUAUAUAUAUAGGGUAGGUAGAUGUAUGUAUAUAGGUAGGUUAUAUAUAUAGUAUAUAUAUAUAUAUAUAUAUAUAUAUAUAUAUAUAUAUAUAUAUAGAUAUAUAUAUAUAUACAUAUAUUAUAAUAUAUAUAUGUAUAUACAUAGUAUAUAUAUAUCUAGUAUAUAUAUAUAAUAUAUAUAUAUAUAUAUAUAUAUAUAUAGUAUAUACUAUAAUAUAUAUAUACAUAUAAUAUAAUAUAUCUAUAUUAUAUAUAGUAUAUAUAAUAGUAGGUAGGUUAUAUACCUGAUAUAUUUAUAACCAACAUAUAUAUUAUAGGUUGUUAUACAUAUAUAUAUAUAGUCAUAACCUACUAUAUAUAGUAGUUUAUAUACUAUAUAGGUAGAUUAUACAUAUAUAUAUAUAGGGGUAGUUAUAUAUAUAUAUAGAGAGUAGUUAUACAGAGUAUAUAGGUAGGUUAUAACCUACCUAUAUAUGUAUAUAUUAUUAUAACCGUACAUCGUAUGUAUAUUAUAACCCACCUAUAUAUGUUAUAUAUAUAUAUGUAUAUUGUAGGUAACUACGUAUAUAUAUAUAUAGCUAUAUAUAUAUAUAUAGUAUAUAUAUAUUAAGUAUACAUAUAGUAUAUAUAUAUAUAACUACAGUCGUAUAAUUAUAUAACCUACCGUAUAGUAUGUAUAGUAUAUAUAGGUAAUACAGAUAAGUAUAUAUAUAUAUAUAUAUAUAUAUAGUAUAUUAGUAUAUAUAUAUAUAUAGGAUUAUAUAGUAGUAUAUAUAUAUAUAAUACGUAUAUAUAGUUAUAUAUAUCUGUAUAACCUACCUAUAUAUAUAUAUGAUAUAUAUAUAUAUAAAUAUAGAUAUACUAUAUAUGUAUAUAGAUAUAUCUAUAUAUAGCAUAUAUAGAUAUAUCUUAUAUAUAUAUACAUAUAUACAUAUGAUAUAUAAUAUAUAUAUACAGUAUAUAUAUAUAUAGUAUAUAUAUAUAUAUAUAAUCUUAUAUGUAUAUAUGUAUAUAUAUAUAGAUAUAGUCUAUAUAUGUACUAUAGUAUAUAUAUGGAGUCGGUACUAUACUAUCGGUAGCACGGAGCGCUCCGUGCUACCAAGUUGUUUUGAUGAUGCGGCUUCCAAAUCAACGAUCGGCUCCGUUAGACGUUGAUCUACACUAUUGAAAGUAUUUGGAAACUAAAUUUCAAGGUUUUUUUUACAUCAUUGACUAGUGAUCAAAAGAUCUCAAAAUUUGACAAUUUUAAUGGGCCUAUGUGGUGUUUGUGAGUUUAACGGCUGUAAAACAAUCCAAAUGCGGAUGAAAAUUUUAUAGAAUUCUUUUCACUAUAUUAGAGAAAGAUCAGCAUAUCUGAUCUUGGAAUUUAAAUCUUUAUCAUCCAUUUUUUAUGGAGCAUUUUUAUUUCAUGCCGUUCAAUUUGUGAGGGCUACUUGUGUUGGUAGGUUAAAUGGUAUUGAAAAAUUAUAAAAUUUAGUUUUCUAAAUACUUUUUUAAAUGAGUGUAGAUCAAGUCUAACGGAGCCCGGAUCGUCGAUUUGGAACCGCAUCAUCGAAAACAACUGGUAGCACGAGCCGCUCCGUUGCUACCGAUAGUAUAGUCAGCCUAGCUUAUAUAUAGUAUAUAUAGGUAUAUAUAUAGUAUAAGUAUAGUAAGUAUAUAUAUAUAUACAUAUAUAUGUAUAUAUAAUAUACAUAUUUAUGUUAUAUAAUAUACAUAUAGUAUGUUAUAUAAUCUAUAUAUGAUACUAUAUGUAGUAUAUUUUGUAUACAUAUAUAUAUGUUAUAUAUGUAUAUACAUAUAAUAUAAUAUAUAUAUGUAUAUUAUAUGUAUAUAUAAUAGUAUAUAUGUAUAUGUAUAUGUAUAUAUAUAUAUAUAUUAUGUAUAGUAUAUAUAUGUAGUAUGUAUAUGUAUAUGGUAUAGCUUAUAUAUAUUAUAUAUAUAGUAUUAUAGUAUAUAUGUAUAUAGAUGGGGUAUACAUUAUAUAUAAUGUAUAUAUAUCAUGAUAUGGUAUGGUACUCCGUGCUGUAUAGUAUAUAUAUAUAUGUAUGGUAUAUAGUAGUAAAUAUAUGUAUGUAUAAUAUAUAUGUAUGUAUAUAUAUAUAUAUGUAUAUAAUAUAUUAUGUAUACAUAACAUAUAUAUAUAGUGGUUAGUACGAGUGUUUGAUUAUUAAGAGUAGAUAGUGUAGAGGUACAUAUGAUUGAUAAUUGUAUAAGAGGGGAUACAGGAUAUAUAUAGUAUGUAUAGUGAUAUAAUAUUNNNNNNNNNNNNNNNNNNNNNNNNNNNNNNNNNNNNNNNNNNNNNNNNNNNNNNNNNNNNNNNNNNNNNNNNNNNNNNNNNNNNNNNNNNNNNNNNNNNNUUAUUUAUAGACUUUAGAAUCAAUCGGAGUCGAAUUAGAAAGUUUUCACGGUUUUACACUGUGUACUGGUACACUUUAAGCUGUUACCGGUUACACGAUGACGGAACGAAAAACCUGACGAAACAGUGAAACCGGUUACAUCCUUGAUGGUCGUACUGGUACACAUUUUGUACCGGUACACUUCUGAUGCUGUACCGGUACACUUUGCAAAUUUCCGCCGUUUCGGGUUUUGCAAAGUCCCAAUGCACUUUCUAAUUCGUUAGACAUUGAUAACAUGAUUCUAAUGUCUACAACUAAGUAUGAAUCACCAUAACAUGAAUUUAUACUUUACCUGAGCAUCGUGAUUCAUAUCGUGAGUUAUUUUCCAACUUUUUCAAAAUCCUGAUUUCUUCGAUCUUCGACGAUAUGCACUGGUUCUUCAAGACUCCGACUCACUUCACGAAACUUGCCAAUACACAAGACUUAACAACCUUAGGCCGGUUGGACUAUAGGAAAUAGGCUCGUGAGAGACGAGGUCUAUUUGACUUGUGAGCGAAAGUAUCAUGAUUGGGUAUCUUGAUAACUCUAUAAAGUUGGAGUUGAUCGAAGUGUAUGACUUCUAACUUCGCGGAGGGUUACGUUGGCGGCCGACAACGUAACAUCGGGAGUUAGUGGUGAAGAACACUUCCUUACUUUCGCAUGAUUUGGGUAUUAUCUUUUGAGCGGGGGUUCGAUAGCGUGGGUUUACUAACUUGCGCUUUUAUGAUGUUGUAGUGACGAUGCCGAUUACACGCUCUCAAUCUACCAGAGCGGAUAAUGCGGCAAACUUGGAGGAGGUCGAGACCUCCGCUACCUCCGGAUCCGGUGAGGUCCGUGAGUUGAGGGGCCAGCUUGCGGCCCUCACUGAUAUGGUGGCACAGCAGACAGAGGCAGCGCGCCGGCAGGAGGCGCGGAUGAAGCGCCUGGAGGACCUUCUUCUGCAACAGGCGGCAGCUUCCAGGGAAACUCAGGCCCCUACACCGCCAGCACCAGUCGUGGACGUCACGCCGAGAGCGCCAUCCCCCGCGCCCAGUUCUUCGUGAGCAGCGCCCAUGGCCGCGCCUCAGGAGGAGGCUAUCGCGGCACCACCUGUGCAGAGGCCCCCAGUUGGAGCAGCUUUCCCUACCUUGGUCGAGGGAGUGGAGCGGGACCGACUCAUGGAGCGCCUCAACGAGUUCAGGAGGUGCAGUCCCCGAAUCUUCGACGGCGAGAAGGUCGACCACUGGAUCGUAGAGAAGUGGUUGAUGCAUAUGGAGAAGCUCUUUCGCGACACCUUCGUGGAGGAGAGGGAUCGGGUUUGGCUCGCCACACACCACCUGGACGGCGAGGCCUAUCGCUGGUGGUUGGAUCUCCAGGAGCACCCCAGCACUGAUUUGGCAGCUAUUACUUGGAAGAGGUUCAAGGAGCUUCUUUUGGCGCAUUACUUCCCGACUAGCGUCAAGAGGAAGAUGGAGCAGGAUUUGCGCAACUUGCGCCAGGGAGACAGGACAGUAGCCGAGUACGAGCGGGAGUUUUCUCGGCUUUUACAUUGCGUGCCUUUCGUCGUGCGGGACGACGAGGACAAGGCCCGCAUCUUCGAGCGAGGGUUGCGACCGUCGAUCUUCCGGUUUGUGCAAUCCUCUAACCUCCAAACCUACCAGGAGGUGGUGGAUCGCGCGCUCAUCGUGGAGAGCGGCACGGCAGAUGUCCAAGAGCGGCGAGAGGCUAUGGACAAGGGUAAGGCCAAGAGGCCUGCGGCUGAGGGUGCGAGCCAGACGCACUCUAGGAGGCCGCCGAAGCAUCCUAGGAGCCAGCAGCGUGGGCGUGGCUCGGCGACUCACCAUGGAGGUUCUGACCGACGCCGACCUCCCCAGUGCGUGAUCUGUGGUGGCCCCCACAUUCCACCGCAGUGCCCGCAGCGAGGAGGGAGGUGUUUCCAGUGUGGCCAGGAGGGCCACUUUCGGACCGAGUGCCCGAGGGGUUCGUCACCGGCACCGUCAUCUGCAUCGGCACCGGCUCUACCAGCCGCCAGCCACGGGACUCCAUCAGCGCAGUACCAGCUCGGGCGGCCACCCGCCCAGCGCCAGAGCGAGGGUUCUCGACAGGCCCCGAGUGGGCGUAUGUAUGCCGCUCAGACCGAGGAGGCGGCAGCAGCCGAGGAUGUGGUCGCAGGUAUCAUUUUUACUUGAUGCAUUAGAGUUCGUGCAUUAUUUGAUACCGGUGCAUCGCAUUCAUUCAUAGAUCGGCUGUUUGCCGAGUUGCAUGGCAUCCCUAUGUUUUCUUUGUUGCAUCCGGGACGUGUAGUUGUCCCUGACCACUCUUUGGAUAUUAGAGAGUAUUGCCCCAGUUGCCCUAUUCGGGUAGGAGAUUGGAUUAUGUCCGUGGACUUGCUAGCCUUGCGCAAGCUGGGGGAGUUUGAUGUGGUCUUAGGCAUGGAUUGGUUGACCAAGUUUUAUGCCACGAUAGAUUGCAAGAAUCGCACGGUUACUUUUAGAGAACCGGGGCAAGUUGAGGUGAUAUUUAGAGGAUGCCAGAGUUCGCUUUUUGCGAUGACGAUCAGCUCGUCUCGAGCUAGGCAACUGAUCAGCAGAGGUUGUGUAGCCUACUUGGCUAGUGUUGUGUUGAGGGGCGAGGGUGAUACCCCGAGGAUUGAGGAUAUUCCGGUGGUACGGGAGUUUUGUGACGUGUUUCCAGCUGAGCUACGGGGCAUGCCACCCGAUAGGGAGAUUGAGUUUGUGGUAGAUCUCAUCCCUGGGACUACUCCAAUCUCGAAAGCGCCCUAUAGGAUGUCACCGGCGGAGCUGAAGGAGCUGAGGGCACAGCUGCAGGAUCUUCUGGAUAAAAGCUUCAUUCGACCGAGCGUCUCGCCUUGGGAAGCACCAGUUUUGUUCGUCAAGAAAAAAGACGGAUCACUUCGCCUAUGCGUGGACUAUCGCGAACUUAAUAAAGUCACGAUUAAGAAUAAGUAUCCGUUGCCGAGGAUCGACGACUUGUUUGAUCAGCUUCAGGGAUCGUGUGUGUAUUCCAAGAUCGAUUUGCAGUCGGGAUACCACCAGUUAAAGAUCAAACCCGAGGAUGUAUCGAAGACGGCUUUUAGAACCCGGUAUGGACAUUAUGAGUUCACUGUUAUGCCGUUCGGGCUUACUAAUGCCCCCGCAGCUUUUAUGGAUCUAAUGAAUCGUGUUUUUAAGCCUUAUCUAGACAGGUUCGUCGUGGUGUUCAUAGACGAUAUUUUGGUUUAUUCCCGAAGUGAUACAGAUCACGAGGAGCAUUUGAGGCUUGUACUUCAAGUACUUCGGGAAAAGGAGCUCUAUGCCAAGCUAAAAAAGUGUGAAUUUUGGCUUCGAGAGGUAGCUUUUCUUGGACAUUUGAUUUCAGGAUAGCUGUGGAUCCUAAGAAGAUUGAAGCAAUCAAGGAUUGGCCGAGACCGACGAGCGUCACGGAGAUACAGAGCUUCCUUGGAUUGGCCGGGUACUACCGGAGAUUUGUUGAGGGGUUCGCCAAGCUGUCUACUCCCCUCACGAGGCUCUUAGGAGAGACCGGUCUCCCAGGGACCGGUCCCUCAGGUGAGGACCGGUUCCCGAACGCGAAAAGUCCCCAGACUGCAGGGAGAGCUCUCGGGGACCGGUCCCUUGUCGGGGAGACCGGUCCCUCUGGGCGAAAACAGCCCAGUGAUAGCAGGUUGAGAGAUGAAAAGUUGAGGGGCUAAAGUAGAUUUUGUUACAAUAGAGGGGCAUAUUAGCCCACUCCCCCUCUCAGCCUCUCAUUUCUCUCUCUCCCUCACUCUCAUUUCUCUCUCGCUCUUUCUCUCUCUAAAAAGGAAAGGAGAAAAAGAAGAACAAGAAGGAGAGGAAGGAAAAGAAGAAGAAGAUAAGGAAGGAGAAGAAGAAGGAGAUCAAGAGGAAGGCUUUGAGCACCUCCAUCUCCCUCUCCUCUUCUCUUUGGUGUAGCUCGUGAGGUAAGCUACUAAACCCUAGCUUCUAGAACUUAGGGUUUUGGGUUUUUAUGCUUUGGAGUGGGUCAAAUGGACCCUAGGCAAGCUUCUAAGUAGAUCAAUCCCUUGAUUCUAGGGUUUUAUCGGUGGGUUGCUAUAUGUGCAACCUAGGGCUCCAAAUGGGGCAUUUUGUAAAGUAUGAGAUUGAUCUCAUUUGAGGCCUUGUAAACCCCAUCGAUAGGUGCCCAAACGCGGGGGCGAAGUCGAUUUCGCGAUUCGUCAAGCGGGCUUAGAGCAAUCGGCGGAUUACGGUCGUUUCGGCGCUAUCUUGGAUUAGGGAAGGCUAAAGCCUUUUCGUAAAGCUCGCCGAGGAGCGUUCUUGAGGCCUCUACGUUGAUAAAAGGUGGGGGGUGUCAUCCCGAAGCUUUCGAACUCCUUUCUAUGUCUUAGAUUGCAUUUAAUCUCAUCUCUUCAUGUUGCAUUGUAGGAUUGCAUAGUAGCUCCAUUCCUUAUGCUUUCUAAAUGAUAACCUAGUGUACUUGGAACGCUUGGUAACUUAGAUAGGUGAGGAUUGGGUCGGAACGUGGAUCCUAUGAUGUAAAAGAAAAGAGGUGAACCCGAUGGGGGUAUUGAUGACAUAGAAGGUAGUGUUAGUGUUAAAGAACACAUGAGUGGCAUCCAAAUGUUAAAUGAUGACGAGUGGCAUUAAUGUAGUGUAUAUGACACUAGAGGUUUGAGAACCUAGGGAUAGGUGGAUCCCUUAGAAAAUGCCUUGUGAACAAUGAAUUUAGAAAACUAAAUAGCAUUGCAUGAAUGUCGGGAACCGAUGAUUCCGCGAUAGUCGUUGACCCUAGUGUAGGGCGUCCUCACUUGGAGAGGAUUCGAUUGGGUUAUUGACUCUAGUUGUAGAGCCUCCUCACUUGGAGAGGAUUGGAUUGGGUGUUGACCCUAGUUACAGUGUAUCCUCACUUGGAGAGGAUAGAUCUAGCUCACAGUCUGCGUUUAGGAUGGUAUAGCCAUCCAAUCCCCACAUGGAGGGGAUUGUCGUCGAGUACUCCGGAGUGUCGCGCGACUAGGACCACUUGGAGGUCCGGACCACAUGGAGGUCCGCAGACGGUCCCGGGCUUGGGUGCACUUGGAGCUCCCUCCCCACUUUGGGAUUGGAAGAUGAGUUAUGGGUGAGCCCUAGGGCCUCGCCACAGAUUGGGUAAAUGAAAGGUUAAAGGUUUAAUAAAUGUCAUUGAACAUAGCUAUUCGAACAUGGAUCGAAUUUGGUAGCAUGGUAGCAAACCUUUAUUAUAUGAUGCAUGCAUUCAUAUUCAUGAUUAUGGGCAUAGUAGCAUAGUUUUCCUACUACUGCAUUUACAGCUUUCAGAUACAUAUCUAUCUAUCUAUCUAUCUGUUGUUACUUGUGCCCACUUGGACCUAGUGGGGAGAUCGGCAGAGUCGGCGGCCGAGCCCACUGGGAACUAUGGAAGAUAGUUCUCACCCCACUCUAUUUUCAGUAGUAGGUACAGGGUUAUCGAGAGAGGACCACGGCAAGGGCAUCGCGCCCGAUCAGUGAGACCGUGGUAGUAUAGUAGCUUUCCUUUUGCAGUAGCACACCUAUGUAUUGCGAGAGAUUCAUGUAGGUGAGGCUGGAGAGUUAUGUAUUUUGAGGAUCAAAUGUAUUCAUUUUGGAAAAUGAUGUAAAUGUAAAGAAUGCAACUAUUGUAAUAGUUAGUAAAGUACUCUCUUUAUUUCACUCGUAUAUCUUGUGGAUUACUUGCUCUUCUUGUUGUUGGCACUGUUUGUGCCCUCGUUGAAUAUGUAUGUUUAGAAUUUAAAGCCCUGGGUAAAUUCUUGUGCACAUUCAUGUUAUUGAGCCUUGGGCGGACAGGAGAGGUGCUGUCCGUUCGGCGGACCGUCGCCACGGCCGAAUCGUGCCAAAUUGGUAGUGGUUUCGGGGCGGGGCGUGACAGCCAGCCUCUCGCCAACUUCACUCCAAUGAAGUGGCGAUCUACACUUCCGUCCAUAAAGUGCCUCGAAGGGUGCCAUCUUGAUGCUUGCUUGAUAACUAUUGUUAUAAGCAAACUCCGCCAUCGGUAGAUGCUGCGACCAUCCUCCCUGGAAGUCAAUCACACAUGCUCGGAGCAUAUCCUCUAAAGUACGAAUGGUGCGCUCCGACUGUACGUCACUCUGAGGGUGGAAAACAGUGCUGAAAUCCAAUCGGGUGCCCAAGGCGUCCUGUAGACUCCUCCAAAAGUGAGACACAAACCGAGUGUCUCGGUCCGAUACUAUCGAUAUAGGCACUCCAUGAAGUCGCACAAUCUCAUCAAGGUACACUUGUGCGAGCUUCUCUCCGGUCCAAGUAGUAUGAAUAGGUAUGAAGUGUGCCGACUUCGUCAACCUAUCCACGAUCACCCAUAUAGCCUCAUGCCCGGCCUGAGAGCGGGGCAAUCCAGUCACGAAAUCCAUGGUGAUCUUCUCCCACUUCCACACGGGAAUAGGCAAACUCUGAAGUUUUUCCGCGGGUAAUCGAUGCUCAGCCUUUACUUGUUGGCAAGUUAGACAACGAGCUACAAACUCGCCAACAUCCUUUUUCAUCCCGGGCCACCAAUAGAAUAACUUUAAGUCCUUGUACAUCUUGGUGCCAUCCGGAUGUACAGCAUACGGUGCUCGGUGUGCUUCAUGAAGAAUGUCCUCUUUGAUUUCCGCAUCCGCCGGUACACAUAACCAUCCGCGAAAACACAUCAAUCCUUGGUCAUCCACAAGGAAAUCGCCGGUGCAACCAUUAACCAUUUUAUCUCUAAUCUUUUGCAACUCCGUAUCGGAAGCUUGCUUCUCUUUAAUCCUAUCCACAAGUGUAGGUUGCACCACCAAAGUCAUCAACCUUAAAGACGUGUCUGGAGUCACUACCUCCAACUCCAACCGCUUCAUAUGCUCGAUCAACUGCGGUUGAGCCACAACAUGCAUCGCUAAGUUUUCUGUCGAUUUCCUACUUAGCGCAUCCGCCACCACGUUAGCCUUGCCCGGGUGGUAUAAAAUUGUCAGGUCGUAAUCCUUGAGCAGUUCCAACUAUCUGUGCUGUCUCAAGCUCAACUCCUUCUGAGUGAACAAGUACUUCAAGCUCUUGUGAUCCGUGUACACUUCACACCGCUCGCCAUAAAGAUAGUGGCGCUAUAACUUCAAUGCGAAGACUACGGCCGCCAACUCCAAAUCAUGCGUCGGGUAGUUCUUUUCAUAUUCCUUUAGUUGGCGCGAAGCAUACGCGAUCACUUUGCCAUCCUGCAUCAACACACAACCCAAUCCAUUAAGUGAAGCAUCACUAUAAACCACAUACCCUGCUCCAGCCAUCGGCAGGGUUAGGAUCGGGGCGGUCGUCAAUCUUUGCUUCGAUUCUUGGAAGCUUCUCUCGCAUGCAUCAUUCCAAAUGAACUUGACUCCUUUAUGCGUGAGACCGGUUCCCGAAAGGGGAACCUUCAGGACUUAGCCAAAUUUAGGCUUCCUCUCGCGGGUGUCGCGCACGGGGACCGGUCCCCUCAGCCAGGGACCGGUCGCAUCGGCCUUGCCCCGCGACCCUCAGCUACGGGGACCGGUCCUUCCCUCUAGGGACCGGUCCCCGAGAGCAAAAAUCUGCUGAGUCCAGAUUUUAUCUAUUUGCUCUCGCGGACUCAACUCCAAAGCACUUUUUGUGUUUUGGGCAUUCUUAACUCCCACAAAGGGUAUUCUCUCGACAGUGAGUCGAUCCUGGACAAAGUACAAUCCUCGUAUUUCGAGAAUUCACUUCCUUACACUGGCAUUAGGCUCUGACGUGCUCCAGGAAGCUGAGGACAAGAUUCGUAUUGCUCGGGAGCGACUUUUGACGGCACAGAGUAGACAUAGGAGCUACGCCGACCGACGACGGUGAGACUUGGAGAUCCAAGUUGGAGACCAUGUUUUCUUAAAGGUCUCGCCGACUAGAGGGAUCAGGAGAUUCAGGAUUCGGGGAAAGUUGAGCUCCCGUUUCAUUGGACCGUAUGAGAUUUUGGAACGUGUAGGUCCGGUAGCGUAUCGACUUGCUCUACCACCGAACCUAUCGGGCGUACACAACGUCUUCCAUGUAUCGGUCCUUCGGAAGUACAUCUUCGACCCGACUCAUGUGUUGGAUGCUACACCUGUGGAGUUGCGGGACGACUUGAGCUUCGAGGAGCAACCAGUGAAGAUCUUGGCUCGCGAGGUUAAGAAACUACGGAAUCGGGACAUUCCGUAUGUAAUGGUCCUUUGGAGCAACCACGAGGAUCGGGAGGCCACGUGGGAGCUAGAGAGCGCGCUGCAGGAGCGCUAUCCCCAUCUCUUACAGAUGGAGUCUUGAGGUAUGUAGUUUGAUUUCGAGUUUCGCGGACGAAACCCCUUUUUAGGAGGGGUGAAUGUAACACACUGGACCUUUGCAAAUUGCGAGGUUCAAGUGUUUGAUCUGUGUUCCGAGCUUUGCCAGAUAUUCUGGAAGGUCGUUGACAGUGUUUUGACCUAUGGCUCGCAUCCCAAGAAUUGAGGUUUAAAGCUUGUACCAAAAUCCAAAAAGAUGGAUUGUUGGUCCUGCUCUCGGGUCAGCCUCAGCCAGGCUGUGUACCGGUACAGCCUUGAUGGUUGUACUGGUACAGGAUUUGUACCGAUACACCUUGAUGAUUGUACCGGUACACUUCGGGUUUUCUACCAACCCGAGGCUCGGGUUGGGCUGUUUCAUAGGAAGUGUACCGGUACACUUUCCCGUGUACCGGUACACUUUCCCGUGUACCGGUACACAAUGCAGACUGGGCUGUUUUCGAGGAGGGGUGUAUUUGCAAUUAUUGCAACCUCUUUAAAUACCACCCCAGCCCCUUUAGCUGCUCUUUUGAGCCCUAGACCUGUGGAGAAAAGGUGAGAACUCUUCCCCUUUGGAUUCUUCUCCAUUUUUGGUGGAUUUUAGUUGGUUUUGAUCUCUCCUUUCUUCUCCUCCUUGUUUUUUGUUGGGUUUCCUCCAUUGUUGAGACUUGGAGCUUGAAGAAGAGCUUGUUUGAGAAGAGAUCUCCAACCCUACUUGGUUUGGAGCUUGGUUUGGGGCAUCUUGUGAGGUUUGUAGCAUGUAUUUCUCUUUUCAUACAUGUUUUAGUGGAUUUGGAUCUUGUAACCCUAGAUUUUGAGAUUUAGGGUUAGAACUAGGAACUUUUGAUUUGAGGCUUCUAGAACCAAAUUGAUUGGUUUAGAAUCAUGGUUUAGGUUGGCUUUGAAGGAUUCUUACUCCCUUUUGGAAAUCAAGAGAGAUUUUCACCAUUUUCGGUGAGUUUUUAGCCCUUUCUUUGAGUUGCUUAAUGUUUGAACUCAUGAAUUGUCGUUUCGAUGUUACUCCCCUAGCCUAUCUCUUAGGGUGCUAGGAGUGAUUAUCGAAGCUUCGUUAGCGUUUCGGACGCCCGCGCGGAGCUUUUGGUGGGUUCGGCUUCAUGUGAAUAGGGGAAAAUUCCUCCUAAGGGGUUAAUAUGUGUUGUAUUAUCAUUUUGCAUGCAUUUUCAUACUAGAUAGGAUUUAUGUGAAUUUUGAAUACUUAAAAUGCAUGUGUUGCGUAUCAUGAAAAUCCUUCUCUACAUAGUAGAGCAUUAUGUGUAGUGUACAUGAAUGUUUAAAGUAUUCUCUUUUUCAAGUUGGAAAAUAUGUUGCAUGUGAGGAAGAUGGUUGAAAUAUGUAUUCAUGAAUAUUAAACUCAUGUUUGAAUAUAGUGAACUAGAAUGCCAUAAAGGGGCACUUGACUUAGCAAAUUGUGAAAUUGCAACAUAGAGACAUAGUGAUAGGCCAUCGAGACAUAUGCUAUAUUUCAUGUUUUAGACAUGACGACAUAGUGAUAGGCCAUUGAGAUAUUUUCCACAUUCCAUGUUUUAGACAUGAUGACUUGGUAUUUGAGACGGACUUUUACGCUUGCUUGCCAUUGUGCUCAUUCACACAUGCUUGUAAGGGUCGCUCCCUACAAGCCGGCACUCCGGAGAUAGCCAUCGCGACAUAUGCUCGCUCGUGCGGGAUUGGGCGCCGAAAUGGAAUGCCGUGGGGGAAGCUCAUUCCUAGAGUGGGGAUGUUGACUACCACGGGGCCAUUAGGCACGGCGCAGGCCAGACAGCCUACGGAUGGGUCUUACAUGAUUGGAACUUAGUGACAGAACAUGCCAUUUGGACUUUGACCAGAAUAGUAAACAAUGACAUUUACUAUUUAGCUUGUGGACAUUAUGUUAGUGAUGCUCGUUUAUAUUCUGUUACAGUAGCUUUAUUACUUAUGCAAUUCAUGCUAAGUAGAGAUAUCAUGUUGUAGUAAGUUACAUGUUUACUUACAUAUCGAUUCUAUUGCUUUUAUUGUUACUUACCUGUUUAGCUCUUUUGGGCCUAGUGGUGCUUUCACUGAAGUCAGUAAUUGCCACUGGGAACUAUUAUUUAAUAGUUCUCACGCCCCCGUUUCUAUGGUUUUAUUUCAGAGCCCUCUACACCGGUGGAGGCACGGGACCGCGGCAAGGGGAUCGCUUAGCUAGCUAGCGAGGAGCGUUUCUUUUGCAUUUUGGUAGUUCGCUCUCCUUUUGUUGUAGUUGAGAGAGAGAGAGUUAUGUUAGUACCUUGUAUAGAGAGACCACCUAUGUAUCUGGUUUAGCAUUUGUACUUUGGAUGUUUAUUGUACUACUUUCUAUUUUUUCUUAGUGGAUUUAGCUCUAUAUUCAUUUCGGUUAUUGUAGCAUCUAGACAUACUUGCUCUGAUACUGCUAGAUGUUUUCUUUAUCUUGCUUUAUUUAUCGUUUUAUUUUAGACGCCUUAUAUGUUUUAGACGUAUGCCGGGUCUGGGCACGUGCCGGGCGGGCUUUCGCUGGGUCCCGGGGCGUGACAACGGAACUCAUAGCAAGUAUGAUCCAUUCUUAACUCUAAGGAUAUAUAGUUCAAUCAUUGUCUUUACACUAACUCUAGUGUUCUUUACAUCACUUUAUUUUGCUAACUCUAGCAAUCAUCGUUCUUUAACUUUACUCGUUCUUUAUGCCAAACUUUGCAUUAACUUUAACCAUUAUCAUUGUUCUUUUCAUCACAUUGAUUCUUUGAUGCCACACACUAACUUUAGUGUCGACUAUAUACUUUCGAAUGCCACUCGAUCUAUGCUCAUUGUGUCUCGUUGUUCUUUUGCCUCACUUGGGUGCUCACAUUUUAUCUCAUGCAUACAUAUAGGGUUAAACAUUCAUAGGGGUUCUCAACCAUCUCAUUAGGCAAAUUGUACUCACAACAUGCAACAUUACAUUAUUCUCAUUACAUAUACCCUACUAUGCUUGCAACAAUGUAUAUAACAUAUACUCAAUUGAAUGACACACUAGGCAUAGAAGGAAGUUCAACGAGUUUGGAUAGCACCACCCACCUCGUAGGUUCUCAAAGGUGCUCCGACGAUUUUCUUGGGAUUUUUAGACACCCGGUUCGCUACCUGCGAGUUAACGAAGCCAAAUUAGGCUUAUUUGGCCGUAACUUUACAUCGGGUUUUCGUAACGUUAAUCCGAGCACACCAACGCGUCGGAAAUACCCCCAAUUAGGUUUCUAGAGGGUCAAUUGCACUUUAGAACCCUCGCAAGCAAAAGCCCCAAUUUUGGUGCCCUAGCUCAUAACAUACAUCAAACCUAGGGUUUGAUCUCAUUGGGAAGCAAAAGAAGCUUCAUUCUACGCUAAAGACUCCACAAAAACCAUCUUUAGUUCAAUCCAAACCCUAGUUUGGAUUCUACCAUGAGAGGGGUUGAAGCUCUCCUUCAAGCUUCACCUUCCACACCAUUCCAUGGUUUUGAUCUCAAAAUGAAGCAAAAGAUAGCUUCAAACACUCUAUAGGUUCUAUUAAAACCAUUUCUAGGUCCAUCCAAACCCUACUUUGAGCUUUACCACUAUUGGGGUUCAAAGCUUACCUUGUAAGCUUUCCUUUUCCAAGCUAGGGAAGGAGAGGAGGGGUCUUCUUCUCUUCCUUGCCUUCUUCUUCACCUUCUUCCUCUUCUUUUCCUUUCUUCUUCUUGUCUUCUUCUUCUCCUUCUUGUCUUCUAGAGAGAGAAAGAGAGAUGAGAGGGGGAGUGUGAGGGAGAGAAUGAGAUGAAAAGCCCUCAAAGCCCCCCACUUAACCAUUGGGUUGCACAAAUGCAAAUAGGCCCCUCAACUUUCACUUUAUUGAACUGCUUGAACUGGGCAGUUUUCGGGUUCGGGGACCGGUCUCCCAACUUGGGACCGGUCCCAGAGAGCUCUCCCGCAGCUCAGUGAGGGCCUUCGCACGAGGCAACCGGUCUCUCCCACAGAGACCGGUCUCUCGGGGACCGGUCUCUCCCCGCAGGGACCGGUUCCCGAGAGCUGGUUUUCUGGGACUUAGCCGAUUUGCAGCCUUUCUCAUUUCUCACGCGUUCGGGGACCGAUCUCUACCACCAGGGACCGGUCCCCGAGAGCUCAAAAACUGUAGUUUGCAGAUUUUUGAUUCUUUAGCUCUCGAAAACCUCCCACAACGCAUUUUUGAUCAUUUUAACACCUUCGGACUUUCCGAAGUGUACCACCCUCGCACUUUGGUCAAUUUGACUAAAGUUCGAUAUUUAUUUUUCAAAUUUUCGGUAUAUUACAUUCUCCACCCUUAAAAUAAUUUCGUCCGCGAAAUUACGCAUACCUUAACUCGUCGAUUCAAAUAGAUGUGGAUACUCUCUCCGCAUGAUCUCCUCGAGCUCCUAAGUGGCUUCUCGCGCCGCAUGGUUGCUCCAUUGGACCUUCACAUAUGGAAUUCUGCGACUCCGCAGCUUCCUUUCUUCUCGAUCGAGGAUGCACACCGGGUACUCCUCGUAAGACAUAUCUUCACGUAGCUCCACGGGCUCGUACUCCAAUAUAUGUGUCGAGUUUCGAAUAUACUUUCGGAGAUUUGACACAUGAAAAAUAUUGUGAACUCCUGCGAGUCUCGAUGGUAGUGCGAGCUUGUAUGCUACCGCACCCACACGCUCCAAUAUCUCAAACGGUCCGACAUAACAGGGACUUAGCUUCUCGUGGACCCCAAACCGCUUUACUCCUCGCAUCGGCGAUACUCUCAAAAAUACGCGGUCUCCAACCGCGAACUCUAAAUCUUUUCUUCUCUUGUCGGCAUAACUCUUUUGCCGAGAUUGUGCCGCCGCUAACCGUUGACGGGCAAGGCGAACUGUAAUGCAUUGGAAAAUUGACCUUGAGCUAAUUGUAAUCAAGUUGAUCACAAUGAUGUCAAAAUAGAAAUUAAGUGUUAAUGAACUUAAUUAGUAGAUUGAGAACAACAAUUGACUUAUUUUGGAACUGUGUAAGUGGGCUCGAAGUGAAUCGGAAGUGCCAAGUGUCACGCCCCGCCCCGAAACCACUACCAAUUUGGCACGGUUCGGUCGCGGCGACAGACCGCCGAACGGACAGCACCUCCCCUGUCCACCCAAGGCUCAACAACAGGAAUGUGUACAAGGAUUUACCCAGGACUUUAAAUUCUAAACAUACACAUUCAACGAGGGCACAAACAGUGCCAACAACGAGAAGAGCAAGUAAUCCACAAGAUAUAGUAUGUGAAAUAAAGAGAGUACUUUACUAACUAUUACAAUAGUUACAUUCUUUACAUUUACAUCAUUCUCCAAAAUGAAUACAUUUGAUCCUCAAAAUACAUAGCUCUCCAACCUCACCAUCAUGAAUCUCUCUCAAUACAUAGGUGUGCUAAUGCAAAAAGGGAAGCUACUAUACUACCACGGUCUCACUGAUCGGGCGCGAUGCCCUUGCCGCGGUCCUCUCUCGGCAACCCUGUACCUACCACUGGAAAUGGGAUGGGGUGAGAACUAUAUUCCAUAGAUUCCCAGUGGUCGGCCGCCGACUCUGCUGAUUCUCCCACUAGUGUCAAGUUGGGCAUCAGAGCAACAAACAGGUAGAUAGAUAGAUAGAUAUCUGAAAGUUUGUAAUAUGCAAGUUAGUAGCGAAAACUAUGCUUACAUAUGCCCAUAAUCAUGUAAUGUGGAUGCACUGCAUCUAAUAAAUAAGUUUUUACCAGGGCUAACAGAUGUCAUAUCCAUGUUCGAAUAGCUUAGUGUUCAAUGACAUUUAUUAACAACCUUAACUCUUUAUUUACCCAAUCUGUGGCGAGGCCUUAGGGCUGGCCAAUUACUCAGUCUUCAAAUCCCAAAGUGUGGGAAGUGGAGCUCCAAGUGACACCAGCCCGGGACCGUCUGGGGACUCAUUGGUCCGGACCUCCAAGUGGUCCUAGUUCGCGGUGACACUCGCGGACACUCGACGACAAUCCCUCCUAUGUGGGGAAUUGGAUGGCUAUACACCCUAACGCGACUGUGAGCCUAAUCUAUCCUCGAGUGAGGGAUACACUUGACAACUAGGUCAACACCAAGUCGCAGAUCUCUCAAGUAAUGGAGGCUCUACAACAGCUAGCGCUCACAUAAUCCAACUCGAAUCCUCUCCAAGUGAGGAAGCACUCUAUAACUAGAGUCAACAUCUCUCGCGGGAUCAUUUGUUCCCGACAUCCAUGCAAUGCUAUUUAGUUUUCUAAAUUCAUUGUUCACAAGGCAUUUUCUAAGGGAUCCACCUAUCCCUAGGUCCAUCGACCUCUAGUGUCAUUUACACUACAUUAAUGCCACUCGUCAUCAUUUAACAUUUGGAUGCCACUCGUGUGUUCUUUAACACUAAACACUACUUUCUAUGUCAUCAAUACCCCCAUCGGGUUCACCUCUUUUCUUUUACAUCAUAGGAUCCACGUUCCGACCCAAUCCUCACCUAUCUAAGUUACCAAGCGUUCCAAGUACACUAGGUUAUCAUUUAGAAAGCAUAAGGAAUGGAGCUACUAUGCAAUCCUACAAUGCAACAUGAAGAGAUGAGAUCAAAUGCAAUCUAAGACAUAGAAAGGAGUUCGAAAGCUUCGGGAUGACACCCCCCACCUUUUACCAACGUAGAGGUUUUAGAAGCGCUCCUCGACGAGCUUUACGAAAAGGCUUUUGCCUUCCCUAAUCCAAGAUAGCGCCGAAACGACCGUAAUUCGCCGAUUGUUCUAAGUCCGCUCGACGAAUCGCGAAAUCGACUUCGCCCCCGCGUUUGGGCACCUAUCGAUGAGGUUUACAAGGCCUCAAAUGAGAUCAAUCUCAUACUUUACAAAAUGCCCCCAUUUGGAGCCCUAGGUUUGCACAUAUAGCAAACCACCAAUAAAAUCCUAGAUUCUUGGGAUUGAUCUACUUAGAAGCAUGCUUGGGGUCCAUUUGACCCAUUCCAAAGCAUAAAAACCCAAAGCCCUAAGUUUACAAAGUAGGGUUUAGUAGCUUACCUCAAGAGCUACACCAAUGGGAAGAGGAGAGGGAGAUGGAGGUGCUCCAAGCCUUCCUCUUGAUCUCCUUCUUUUUCUCCUUCCUUAUCUUCUUCCUCUUUUCCUUCCUCUCCUUCUUGUUCUCCUUCUCCUUCUUUCCUUUCUAGAGAGAGAGGGAGAGAAAUAGAGAGAUGAGAGUGAGAGAGAGGAAUGAGAGAGUGUGAGGGAGAGAGAGGGCCCAGCCCACUCUAAUAAAGGCCAUUUUGCAUUUAGACCCCUCAACUUUUAACCCCUUGCGCAGCCCUCGCUGGGCAGUUUUCGUGCAGAGGGACCGGUCUCCCCGACUUGGGACCGGUCCCCGAGAGCUUCCCUCGGGCGCACGCGUUCGGGUACCGGUCUCUCCCCGGGAGACCGGUCCUCGGGAGACAGGUCCUCGCCUGAGAGACCGGUCCCCGAGAGCUCAAUUUUCAGGACUUAGCCAAAUCUCGGCAUUUCUCGCUGGAACCACGUUCGGGAACCGGUCCCUCACUGCCAGGGACCGGUUGCACCAUGCAACCCCGCACGCCCAGCCGAUGGGACCGGUCUCUCACCUCCAGAGACCGGUCCCCGAGAGCAACUUCAGCCCAAUAAUGCUGUUUGCAUCGUUAGCUCUCGUGGACUCAACUCCAAAGCACUUUUUGUGUUUUGGACAUUUUUAACUUCCCCAGAGGGUAUUCUCUCAACAAAUAGUCGAUCCUGGACGAAGUAUAACUCUCGAAUUUCGAGAAUUCACUUCCUUACAUUCUCCCCUCCUUAAAAGGAGUUUCGUCCUCGAAACGAACAAAUUCUUUAACUUUUAAUUUAAACUUAUACCUCACUCCUCAAACAGAUGAGGAUGGUGCUUUCUCAUCAGAUCCUCGAGUUCCCAGGUGGCCUCGCGAUCAUCAUGAUUGCUCCACCUGACCUUUACAUAGGGAAUUUCUCGAUUCCUCAACUUUCGCACCUCUCGGGCGAUAAUUCCUACCGGAAACUCUUCAUAGCUCAAGUCUCCUUGAAGUUCCGGCGGUUCAUAUAGCAUCGCAUGCUCCGGGUCGUGAAUAUACUUGCGGAGAUUGGAGACAUGGAACACAUUGUGCACAUCCGCAAGUUUCGGCGGUAAAGCAAGCCGAUACGCCACCGUACCAACUCGCUCCAAUAUCUCAUAUGGCCCAAUGUACCGGGGACUCAGUUUUCCCCGUACUCCAAACCGCUUCACACCACGCAUUGGUGAAACCUUCAGAAAUACGCGGUAACCCACCGCGAACUCUAUAUCUCGUCGGCGCCUAUCUGCAUAGCUUUGCUACCUCGACUGCGCCGUGAGCAAUCUCUUGCGAGCAAGGCGGACUUUCUCCUCCGCUUCUCGCAACACAUCAGGGCCGAACUCUGCCCGUUCACCUACAUCGCUCCAAUGUAUAGGAGACCGACACGUCCGCCCAUAAAGAGCUUCGAACGGUGCCAUCUCUAUACUCGCAUGAUAACUGUUAUUGUAGGCGAACUCGGCCAUAGGUAGGUGAUCACACCAACUUCCCUUAUAGUCGAUGACACACGCUCGCAACAUAUCCUCCAGAGUUUGAAUGGUUCUCUCUGUUUGCCCAUCGGUUUGAGGAUGAAAUGCGGUACUAAAAUCGAGCCGUGUGCCAAGGGCUUCUUGCAGGCUUUUCCAAAAGUGUGAAGUGAACCGGGGGUCACGAUCCGACACGAUCGAUUUCGGCACCCCAUGCAGUCUCACUAUCUCGUCAAGAUAUACCCGCGCUAACUUGUCACCCGACCACGUGGUGUGGAUCGGCAAGAAGUGAGCCGACUUCGUCAAUCGGUCCACAAUUACCCAAAUUGCAUCGUGGCCGCCCGUUGAGCGAGGCAAGCUGACCACGAAGUCCAUCGAUAUAUCUUCCCAUUUCCAAACGGGGAUUGGUAGGCUUUGAAGCUUUCCCGCUGGAAAUCUACGCUCUGCCUUCACUUGCUGGCAUGUUAAGCACUUCGCCACAAAGCGUCCAACAUCACCCUUCAUUCCCGGCCACCAAUAGUGCAUUUUUAGUCCUUGAUACAUCUUGGUGCCGCCCGGGUGAUCAGCAUACGGAGAUCUGUGUGCUUCUUGUAGAAUCAACUCGCGAAGCUCUCCAUCCUUCGGCACACACCAUCGGUUUCUAAACCGAAGCGCACCAUCGGCGUUUAUACUAAAAUCGCCGCCUCGACCAUCCUCGAUGUUUCGCCGCACCUUCUGGAGUUCUGGGUCCGCAGGUUGCAGAUCUUUAAUCCUCUCCAACAAGGUCGGUUGGACAACGAGUGCCAUCAACUGGGCUGGAAUCUCGGGAGGAACCACUUCAAGGUCCAAUCGCUUCAUAUCCAGCCACAGGGGUGUUUGCUGGGUAACAUCAAAAGCGAGAUUCUUCGCCGACUUUCUACUCAGCGCAUCCGCAACCACAUUUGCCUUCCCGGGGUGGUAGAGGAUAUCGACAUCAUAAUCCUUUAACAACUCCAACCACCGCCGCUGACGCAUAUUGAGCUCCUUCUGAGUAAACAAGUACCUUAAGCUCUUGUGGUCGGUAUAAAUCUCACAAUGGGCACCAUAUAAGUAGUGCCUCCACAGCUUCAGGGCGAAAAUUACCGCCGCCAGCUCCAAGUCGUGGAUGGGGUAAUUCUUCUCAUAGCUCUUCAGCUGACGGGAUGCAUAAGCAAUCACCUUCCUGUUUUGCAUCAAUACACACCCCAACCCAAGAUAGGAAGCAUCACUGUAGACUACGAAGUCUUCGCCUUCCACCGGUAGAGCGAGCACCGGAGUUGAAGUCAAUCUUUGCUUCAACUCUUUGAAACUUCGGUCGCACUCCUCGCUCCAAACAAACUUGGUGCCUUUCUGGGUCAGGCGGGUAAGUGGAAUUACUAUCUUGGAGAAGCCUUCCACAAACCGCCUAUAAUAGCCCGCCAAGCCCACGAAGCUUCGAACCUCCGUGACGUUCGUCGGGCGCGGCCAAUCCUUGAUUGCCUCAACUUUCCUCGGGUCUACUGAAACUCCACCCGCGGAAAUCACAUGCCCUAAGAAGGCGACUUCGCGAAGCCAGAAGUCACACUUCUUUAGCUUAGCAUAUAGCUUCUCCUCCCGAAGGACUUGAAGCAGUUUCCUCAAAUGUUCGGCAUGUUCCUCGUCACUUCGAGAAUAGACCAAUAUGUCGUCUAUAAAGACCACGACAAAUUGGUCCAGAUACUCUCUGAAGACACGGUUCAUCAAAUCCAUAAACGCCGCUGGAGCAUUCGUGAGUCCAAAUGGCAUAACCGUGAACUCGUAGUGUCCAUACCGCGUACGAAACGCGGUCCUUUGCACAUCCUCCGGUUUGAUCUUCAAUUGAUGGUAGCCGGAUUACAAGUCUAUUUUCGAGUACACACACGACCCUUGCAACUGAUCGAACAGGUCAUCGAUUCAGGGUAGUGGGUACUUGUUCUUGAUCGUGACUCUAUUCAAUUCUCGAUAAUCCACGCAGAGCCUAAACGAUCCAUCCUUCUUCCUCACGAAUAACACCGGGGCUCCCCACGGUGAUACACUCGGCCGGAUAAAUUGCUUGUCAAGGAGGUCUUGUAGUUGACUCCUCAACUCCCUUAGUUCCGCCGGCGCCAUUCGGUACGGAGCCUUCGAGAUCGGCGCGGUACCGGGAACCAAGUCUAUGACGAACUCGAUCUCCCGAUCCGGUGGUAUCCCCAGCAACUCUGCGGGAAACACAUCCGGGAACUCCCGCACUACCGAGAUCUCCUCCAACAUUGGAGUGACUCGUUCCACCUCUACAACGGUCGCCAAGAACGCUGCACAACCGUUGCUCACCAACUUUCUUGCUCUCGUCGCCGACACCGUCGCGACGAAACACGUGCUCUGGCAAGCUCGAUAGGUGAAUUCUUUCUGUCCUGGCCCACGAAACGUGAUCACCCUGCUCUUGCAGUCAAUCGUGGCGUGGUAUUUCGAGAGCCAGUCCAUACCCAGAAUAACAUCAUAAGCCUCAAGCUUCUGGAGUCCUAGUGUCCGAAUAGGCAUUAUCCAUUCGCCUAUUUGUACCGGACACGAGGCGCACUCUGUGUAGGUAUUGAAUGUCGAUCCAGGGCCCUCCACUCGCCACUUGUCACUCGCUUCUAUAUGUAUGCCAUGCAUGCGUGCGAAUGAUCUACUUAUGAAUGAAUGCGUGGCUCCUGUAUCAAAUAGAGCCCUGGAGCGAACUCCGUUAAUCAAAACCAUACCUGCCACAAGGCGAUGCUCCUCCGCCUCCGCAGGUUCCUCGGCCUGAACCUGAGCUGCAAAUACCCGUCCGCUCGGGGCCGAUCGCGCCAUCUCAGGUUGACGCGGUGUCAUCGCGCGUCCUGUCGACGCGGCCGUCGGUGGAGCUCCUCCAUAAUAUGCCGGAAUCGCCGGCGCCGAUGCAAUCGAUGGGGCAGGUGAGGCUCCUCCUCCCGGGCAGUCCCGAAUGAAGUGCCCCGGUUGCCCACACUUGUAGCACUUGCCCCGGCCUUGUUCACAGCGCGAAACUGGGUGGUCUCCGCAGCAUACAAUGCAUCGCCGCGCUCCACCGUUUUUCUGUUGAGCGCGCGGGUACUUCGGGGGUCUCUUAUAACGUGCUUGACCACCCGAACUACCGCCGCCUUGGCGUUUCUUGCCCUUAUCCUUGGACUCCGCCAAAAGCUCACGCUUCUCCCGCACGUGGGCAUCUCCGUGCUCCGCCCAUAGGGCUCGAUCAAAGACCUCAGCAAAGGUCGUGAGCUUGAGUAUUUGCACGGCCUUGUAGAUUCCCGGCCGAAGUCCUCGCAAGAACCACUCGGCCCGGUCCCGGUCAUCCUUUACAACAUCCGGGACACAAUCUAUGAUGUGGGAGAAUUCCUGUUCAUACUCCGCCACUGGGCGGUCCCCUUGCUCUAGCUUGCCGAACUUCUCCUUGAGCUUCCGCUUCAAUGUAUCGGGGAAGUAGUUGGCGAACAUCUCCCGCUUGAAUUCCUCCCACAGCAUCGGCGGAAGGCCGGGAAGCCGAUCCCACUUGACGCGCUUCCACCAAACCUUUGCCGCCCUUUCCAAGCAAUGGGUGGCGAGAUACACCUUGUCCCUCUCCAAGGUACGCAAGUCGUCGAAGAGGGUUUCCAUCGAGUCGAUCCAAGACUCGACCAUUGCCGGUUCCACCUUCUCACCCUCAAAGGUCGGCGGAUGGAACUUGUUGAACUUGAUAAGAGCCGCUAGCGCACGCUCUCCUUCCACGUCUUCGGCCGUCACGUCGGGUGUAGUCGAUCCCGACGCCGCCGGUGGCACGAUCGCCGGCGGGGGACGCGCCGCCACCGGGACCGCCGCUAUGCCCUCACCCUCAGCUGGCUCAGGUACACGAGCCGAGGGCGCGGGCACAUCGCGUCCGUCCGUCGCCGUUGCGGCCGCUGCCGCUGCCUGCCGCUCCAAGAGCUCCUGGAGCCGCUCGAAUCGGUUCUCCUGGCGCUGCACCACAUCGGUCAGCGCGGACACUUGCGCUUGCAACCGAUCCAUCACGCUCGGUUCUCCCUGCUCGGGCACCUCAGGAGUCGGUGCCGGAGUAGAUCUACGUGUGUAGCGUCUUGGAGACAUUAGUCCCUGAAACGCAAAUACUCGGUUAAUCAUCUUAACCCGUUAACCUCGUCGCAAUUACGACACAUGACAACUUAAUGGCAAAAUCGGGCGGAAGCAUACAAGUGUACUCGUUCUAGGCUCUUGGCAUCAUGUCGUCGGCCGCCGACACAACCACCUCAAGAUAAGAACUUAUACCACUUGAAUUCGUCUCUAAUCACAACUAGAGACCUAUACCCACUUCGACCCAAUCGAAUUGACUUCCGCCAUCGUUAUAGGUUCACGUUCCGCUCACGCACCUAUAACCUUAGGGCUCACCAACCUAGGGUCUCCUAGGUCAUCCUAGACUUUCUCUCUUUACUUGCUCUCAUUGCUCUGAUACCACAAAAGACUGUCACGCCCCGCCCCGAAGCCACUACCAAUUUGUCACGGUUCGGUCGCGGCGACAGACCGCCGAACGGACAGCACCUCCCCUAUCCGCCCAAGGCUCAACAACAGGAAUGUGUACAAGAAUUUACCCAGGACUUUAAAUUCUAAACAUACACAUUCAACGAGGGCACAAACAGUGCCAACAACGAGAAGAGCAAGUAAUCCACAAGAUAUACGAGUGAAAUAAAGAGAGUACUUNNNNNNNNNNNNNNNNNNNNNNNNNCGAAGGCUUAAGGAGCGGAUUUGCCGCAAUGUGCAAUUAGGCGCUCCAAAAGUGGAUUUUGAUACAUAAGAGGGUUUUCUUCUCAGAUUGACCCUUCUCUAACCUAAUUGUGGUCUAUGCAACGCUACGGUGCGCUCGUUCGUCGAUCCGACGGUGUUACGCCGAAUAUUUGAGGAUCGAAGCGUUAAGCGGUACGAUGCCGCAGCUCGCCAGGCGAAAGCUUGCCAAAUCUGGAAAUGGAAUCGUAGCUGUGGUGUUUUGGGGAAUAAAUCCCAGAAUAGACGUAUGCGCGGAUGAGUAUUUUGGCAGUCGCGCGUGGUUGGGUGCGAGGCCGUGCGCGGCAUGCGCCGCCAGGCGCCGAUGCCGAGUGACGCACGAGCAAGUCGAACGCUAUAGAAAGGUGGUGAGUGUCCAUCCCGAAGCCAUCGGCUCCCUUUUGUCUUAAGUUUAUAUGAUUCAGCUAUGCAUUAAUUGACAUCUUGGCAUUGUGGGUAUAAAUGAGGUGUGGUUCUAUACCUUGCAUGUUCCUUGGUAAAUAAUAUUUGGCUAGUAUUUAUAUCUAGCAUGCUUAGGUUUAUAUCAUGUGAUGUGAACCCUAUAAUCGAGAGAUAAGUGUGAUGGGAAUUUAGUAAUGUAUUGACUAUUGCCAUUGGAAAUUGUAAAGAACGAGUGAAUCUAGUUUGAUAGUCAAACAAAGAACGAGUGACAUAUGUGGCAGUCAAGUGUAUAUAAACCUAGGACUAUAUGAUGAUUAAUAACCUAGAGGAAUCAGGGUAUUCUCGAGAUGAGGAUUGGAUCAUGCUCGCGGUCUGUUAAAUCUUGAUGAUGGAACCCACACAAGUAUGCCGCUCCGGCAUGUUGGUCCGCAGGAUGCCAAUGGCAGCGCCAGAAACGGUACCUGGUCCCCGAUAGUGUGAAGUGUAAUUCUCUACCUAUUCGAGAAUGGCUAGUGAGCUGUGGCGAGCCUUCGGUAAGCCAUUGAGAUUAAUAACAAGUAAGUAUGAGUUAAUGAAACGAGGUGAAUAGGUUCACUUGGACAUGAUAACAGGUUAGUGCUUACCUAUUUCAUUGUACAUGCAGUUGGCAUAUAUUAUGAGUGGGCAUAGGUAAGAGUAGUGUUUACUCGCUGUCAUUAUCGCCGUCCUUAUCUAUCUACUAUCGAUUAUCUAACUUCCGAUUGGACCUAGUGGGGAGAACGCGGAGUCGCCGGCGACGAAACCCACUGGAAACUAAGGAAGUUAGUUUCUCACCGCCCAUUUUACUACAGGGCCGAGCGCGAGUUCACACGGCGAGAUCGGGCGUAAGCCCGCCUUAGUGCCCUAGUUUGCAUUAGGCUACUUCCCUAUUUCUGCAUUAGAGUCACCUUUAUGCUUUGGAGAGUAGACGAUGUAUGGAUGUGAGAUAUUCUGCGAGAAGUAAGCAAUGUUCUAUAUUUGGAAGAUGAAGCUUUUAUUAUGUUUUGGAGGUUCAAUUGUAAUCAUUGUAUUAUAAGAAGCGUUGAAUGAAUGUAAUAGAUUAGAUGCGUCUCUCUUUAUCAAUUACUUGUGAGUGUUCUAUACUUGUAUCUUGCUCUUGGUGCGUGUGCACUGAUUGUGCUCUCGUUCUACAUUAUGAUGUGUAUGUAUUCAAGGUGUUUUUCCUGGUGGGACUUGUUGUAUCACUAUCUUGUUGUUAGCCUUGGGCGGACCAGGGAGUGCUGUCCGUCCGGCGUCUUUGAGCGCCGCCGCCCGAACCACAUUGGGUCAGCUGCGACGCGGGCGUGAACACCUAGUUUCAGUGUAUCCUCACUCGUCGGAGAGAUAGAUCUAGCUCACAGUCUGCGUUUAGGGUGUAUAGCCAUCCAUCCCACAAUAAAGGGGAUUUGCUCGUCGAGUUACUCCGGAGGUCUGCGGCGACUGGACCACUUGGAGGUCACGGACCACAAUGGAGUCGGCAGACGGUCCGCCGGCUUGGAGUUGCACUUGGAGCUCCUCCCAACUUUGGAUUGAAAGCUGUCAGCCCCGCAGACGCUACCAUUGGUCCGUCCGUGCGCGUCGAACAGACGCCGGACGGACACAGCACCUCCCUGUCCGCCCAAGGCUAAACACAGGAUCAUGUAAAACUAGUUCCCUAGGAAAUCAAACUUGCAAUACAUACAAUGAUCAAACAUAGCGAGGGCACAACCAGUGCCGAACUUCAAGAGCCAAAGAUCACAAGUAUAUAACAAGUGAAUAAAAGAAAGAGAUAUUAACUAUCUAUACAUUCACAUUUGACAUUCAACAUUUCAUCCAUUCAACCUUUAAUACAACUUUGAUUAUAUUUAAGCCCUCCAAAACUGAAUACAUAGAUGCAUCUACAUGGAAUAAUGCUACGCUAUCCAAAAUUAAUAUGUCAUUAUAACCAUGCACAACGAGGGUGACUCUUUACAUAGGAAAGCUCUACUAGCUAGCUAGGGCGGCUACAUGCCCUACCUCGAUACCUGCCUCGGUCGCUCACGUGUGUACUUACCUUCCAAAAACACACGGGGUUGAAAUAAUAGUAAAUAUAGUUCCCAGUGGCUUCGCCGCGCACUCCGCCGAUUUCCACUAGGGGGUCAAGUUGUGCACAGAUAGAGUAGACUAGAGAUACAUUGGAAAUUAAAACUGCUACCUAUAUCUUACUAUGCCAAUUCAAAUGCAAGGAAUGCAUGCGAAUAUCAUUUAUCAUGCUACGUAUGCUUUAAUAAUGUAAUGAAACAAAUACGACACAUAUGCAUUCCACUAACAUUACUAUGUCGUAAUCGUGGUAUAAGUCAAAUCUGCUUAUCAAUUCAUGUCAUUUACCCAAUCCACUAAGGUACCCCGCCUUUCUCAAAUCACAUAAGGUCGAAGGAUACCCCGCCCUUGUUUUCACCGUCAACAACUCUAAACACAUAGGUAAGGAGCACUACCCCGCCUCGUACCCGACUCCAAGAUCUCAAGUCCUAUAGAUGAAGAGCUACCCGGGGUCCGCCCAACCAUGACUCAAAUGCCUAAGGCGCAAGAGCUACCCGCUCUUCGCCGACUCUAACUCAAACUACAUAGUCAAGAGCUCCGCUCGUAGAUAAAGAGCUACCCGCUCGUAGUAAAGAGCUACCCCGCUCAUAGGUAAGGAGCACCCCGUCAUCAGGUAAAGAGUUACCGCACGUCAAAGUAAACGAGCUACCCCGCCUCAAAUCUAACAGGUGAAGAGCUACCCGCCCUUCCACCUGCACUCAUUCUCAGUCCAUAUGGGUAUGGGCAGCGACCUCCGCUCGUAAUCCCCACCCGAUGAGCUACCCCGCUCAUGAGCUAACCCCCUCGGUGACAAUCUUCAAGUUCCACAACACUAGGUUGUAAUGCUCAACCUAUGUUUAACAACAUUAUAUAAUGCCACUCGAUCUAUCCUAUGCUGUUCGCGACACUAGGUUUACGAUGCCACAUUGCCUCAUAAUUAACAAUAGGUUAACAUUCAAUUUCAUCUAGCAUAUAUGUUCUAUAGAAAGCCAACAUGCAUCAUAAUUGCUAAUAUGCCAUUUAUCACAGCAUGCAAUCCUUUCAUAAUGCACUACUGCAAUACAAUCUCCCAUCACACUAUGUCACAUGUCACGAGUUCAUUAACAAGCCAAGUUUCUUUAUUCCUUAUCUACAUAGAUUCAUGUCUCAACUUAAUCAUCAUGCAUUCUACGAGUUUUAAGUGUCAAGUCUAUAAUACUACACAACUAGACAUGCGAAUGCAAGAAAAUUAGAAAUUAUAACUAUCUAUAUCUAUAACUCAUAAGAACCACUAUUAUAUAAAUCAUGAUCAACUAUUUUACUCGGACAUAGAAGGAAGCGCCAUUGCUGUCGGAUAGACACCCCCACCUUUUAACAACAUUCCGAUUGCCGCUCUCACUCGCAAUCGCGUCCACGCGGCGGCACGCCGCUCGCCUCGACCGCUAUCCGCUGCGCGCCACCAAACGACCUCCGAUCACGCGAUGCCGAAAUUAUAGGUCUUCGCUUUCUCGCUAACGGUGCUCAAAUCCCGUUCCACGAUUUUAUGGAAGCGCCUCGACUCCCCAAGGUCAUAUGAACUCGACGCAACACUUGAUCAGCCGGACGUCGCAUCCGCUCGACAAUCGACGAACGCCUCGCUUCCUACGCGUUCGAGACGAAACAAUUAGGUAGUUCUGUGACCACUCAAAAUAGAUCAAACUCCAACUACUUACAAAAACCCACAUUUUUAACCCAUACGGUUUGCGGCAAUUAGUAAAAAUCCACCAUUAGUGGCUUUGAAUUUUAAGCUUUGAAUCAUCUAUUAAGCAUCAAAAGGUCCACUAAAUCCAUUUAUUACAGGAUUAAAACCUAGCUCUAGCUAACUCUACCAUUAAAGCCCUCAUUUUGGACCAUAUAUCUGCAACUACAUGGAAAAAUCCCCAUUAAGCUUUGGAUUCAAGUAUUAAUCAUGAGACUACCUGCUAGCAUUCCAUCUAAAUCAUUCUUAGAGAUGAAACCAACCUAAGAAAAUCACCAUUAGAGCUUAAGCCUACCUUCUGCAAAGCUUACUCCCAAACCCAAGAACAAGAUGAAGAAUGGUGAAGUCCACCUCUUGACCUUCUCUCCUUCUUCUUUCUCCCUUCUUAUCUCUUCUCCCUUCUGUUCUAUUUCGUUUAGAGAGAUUUGAGAGAGGGAGAGAGUAAUGUGAGGGAGUGAGGGAAAUGAGAAAAGAAGAGAGAAUAGACAUGCUCUCUUAAUCCCCUCUUGCAUAUUGUACAUUUCAAUAAGCCCCUCUAAUCUUCUCCAACCUGCAACAGCCCAAACUGGGUGUUUUCUGCUCGGGCACUGGACCCCCUGGUGAUGAGACCCGUCCCCGACGACCAGAAUUCAGGCAUUUUCAGACUUAGCAAAUUUUUCAGCCUUUUUCGUUUCGGGUGCCGUCUUUCGCUCGUUUUUUGCUCGUUUGACCUCCGAUUCUUUUCAAUCGAAACCGGAGACUCUCCAAACAUGUUUUCGAGCAUGUUUCCAUUCAUACUCGUUCAUCUCCGCUAAUGCCGGAUUUAGUUCAUGGUUCACGACAUUAGCCUUUCGGAUCCCGUUCCGCGCUACGCCGCCAGCGCGAAUCGCCCGAUUCACUCCGAACUUCACCAACUUCACGGAAACCCUUCAAAUGGCUCUCCAACCAAAUUUAACACGCAAUAUUCAUAAUUUUAGAAGUCCGGACCUUACAGAAAGAUGGGUUCAUGGGCGAGCCCUAAGGCCUCGCCACAGAUUGGGUGAUGAAAGUUAAAGGUUAAUGAAUGUCAUUGAACAUAGCCUAUUCUCGAACAUGUGAUCGAAUUAGUUAGCGAUGGUACAAACCUUAUUAUAUAUGCAUGCUAUCACUAUUCGAAUGAUUAUGGAUGGUAGCUAUAGUUUUCCUACUACCGCAUUAACAGCUUUUCAUGAAUAUUAUCUAUCUAUCUCCUGUUGUUGCUGUGCCCAUUGGACCUAUGUGGGAGCUCGCAGAGUCGGGCCGAGCCACUGGGAACUGAUGGAAGAUAUUCUCACCCACUUUAUUCCGUGGUAGGUACCGGUUGCCGAGAGAAGGACCGCGCAAGGGCAUCGCGCCCCGAUCAGUUGACCGUGCGUAAUAAAAUAGAUAGCUUUCCUUUUUGCAUUAGCACACUCUCAUGUUUGAGAGAGAUUUCAGGUAGGUGAGAUUGGAGCUAAUGUAUUUUGAGGAUCAAUGUAUUUCAUUUUGGAAAAUGAUGUAAAUGUAAAGAAUGUAAACUAUUAUAAUAGUUAGUUUAGAAAGCAUAAGGAAUGGAGCUACUAUGCAAUCCUACAAUGCAACAUGAAGAGAUGAGAUCAAAUGCAAUCUAAGACAUAGAAAGGAGUUCGAAAGCUUCGGGAUGACACCCCCCACCUUUUACCAACGUAGAGGUUUUAGAAGCGCUCCUCGACGAGCUUUACGAAAAGGCUUUUGCCUUCCCUAAUCCAAGAUAGCGCCGAAACGACCGUAAUUCGCCGAUUGUUCUAAGUCCGCUCGACGAAUCGCGAAAUCGACUUCGCCCCCGCGUUUGGGCACCUAUCGAUGAGGUUUACAAGGCCUCAAAUGAGAUCAAUCUCAUACUUUACAAAAUGCCCCCAUUUGGAGCCCUAGGUUUGCACAUAUAGCAAACCACCAAUAAAAUCCUAGAUUCUUGGGAUUGAUCUACUUAGAAGCAUGCUUGGGGUCCAUUUGACCCAUUCCAAAGCAUAAAACCCAAAAACCCUAAGUUUACAAAGCUAGGGUUUAGUAGCUUACCUCAAGAGCUACACCAAUGGGAAGAGGAGAGGGAGAUGGAGGUGCUCAAAGCCUUCCUCUUGAUCUCCUUCUUCUUCUCCUUCCUUGUCUUCCUCUUCUUUUCCUUCCUCUCCUUCUUGUUCUCCUUCUCCUUCUUUCCUUUCUAGAGAGAGAGGGAGAGAAAUAGAGAGAUGAGAGUGAGAGAGAGGAAUGAGAGAGUGUGAGGGAGAGAGAGGGCCCAGCCCACUCUAAUAAAGGCCAUUUUGCAUUUAGACCCCUCAACUUUUAACCCCUUGCGCAGCCCUCGCUGGGCAGUUUUCGUGCGGAGGGACCGGUCUCCCCGACUUGGGACCGGUCCCCGAGAGCGUCCCUCGGGCGCACGCGUUCGAGUACCGGUCUCUCCCCGGGAGACCGGUCCUCGGGAGACAGGUCCUCGCCUGAGAGACCGGUCCCCGAGAGCUCAAUUUUCAGGACUUAGCCAAAUCUCGGCAUUUCUCGCUGGAACCACGUUCGGGAACCGGUCCCUCACUGCCAGGGACCGGUUGCACCAUGCAACCCCGCACGCCCAGCCGAUGGGACCGGUCUCUCACCUCCAGAGACCGGUCCCCGAGAGCAACUUCAGCCCAAUAAUGCUGUUUGCAUCGUUAGCUCUCGUGGACUCAACUCCAAAGCACUUUUUGUGUUUUGGACAUUUUUAACUUCCCCAGAGGGUAUUCUCUCGACAAAUAGUCGAUCCUGGACGAAUGAUAACUCUCGAAUUUCGAGAAUUCACUUCCUUACACUUGUUCACCCAAAAGGAGUUGAAUAUGCGGCAACGGCGGUGGUUAGAGUUACUAAAAGACUACGAUGUCACUAUACUAUACCACCCCGGUAAAGCCAAUGUCGUAGCCGAUGCGUUGAGUAGAAAAUCGGCGGAUAACCUAGCGACGGCAAUUACGCCUCAACCGCUAUUGCACAAGGAAAUGCAACGUCUUGGGUUGGAAGUGGUAGCGCCGGGAGUGCCGGCUACACUUGCCGCAUUAGUUGUGCAACCGACCCUACUCGAGAGAAUCAAAGAGUCACAAGCUUCGGAUCCGUAUCUCCAAAAGGUUCGAGGUGAAGUUGAGAAAGGUAGUGCCGAAGAUUUUGGCAUUGGAGCUGAUGGCGCACUUCGAUUCCGAAAUUGAUGGUGUGUACCAAAAGAGGAUGAGUUACGAAGGGCAAUCAUGCAAGAAGCACACCAAUCCCCUUAUAGUAUACACCCCGGCGGCACCUAAAUGUACAAGGACUUAAAAGAGCAUUAUUGGUGGCCGGGCAUGAAAAGAGAUAUUGGGGAAUUCGUGGCGCAAUGUCUAACGUGCCAACAAGUGAAAGCCGAGCGCCGAUUCCCGGCAGGAAAGCUACAAAGUUUAUCUAUACCCGUUUGGAAAUGGGAAGACAUAGCGAUGGACUUUGUUACUGGUUUGCCUCGAUCACAAGGCGGACAUGAUGCGAUAUGGGUGAUAGUGGACCGAUUGACAAAGUCGGCACAUUUCUUGCCGAUACAUACUACGUGGUCGGGAGACAAGUUAGCUCAAGUCUAUCUCGAUGAGGUUGUGAGGCUUCAUGGGGUGCCGGUAUCAAUUGUAUCGGAUCGAGACCCCAGAUUCACAUCCCAUUUUUGGAAGCGUUUGCAAGACGCGCUAGGCACACGGCUCAACUUUAGCACGGCGUUUCAUCCUCAAAGUGAUGGACAGUCGGAGCGAACGAUACAAAUCCUUGAGGACUUGCUUCGAGCGUGUGUGCUAGAUUAUAGAGGAGGAUGGCAUGAUUUCUUGCCUAUGGCGGAGUUCGCCUAUAAUAACAGCUAUCAAGAAAGUAUCGCUAUGGCGCCGUUUGAGGCACUAUAUGGACGUAAGUGUCGUUCUCCUAUCCAUUGGAGCGACGUGGGCGAGAGAGCGGCUCUUAGCCCAGAUGUAGUGCGGGAGGCGGAAGAGAAAGUUCGUCUUGCCCGUCAACGGUUGGCGACGGCGCAAUCUCGGCAAAAGAGUUAUGCCGACAAGCGAAGAAAGGAUUUAGAGUUCGCGGUUGGAGACCGUGUAUUUUUGAGAGUGUCGCCAAUGCGAGGAGUCAAACGAUUUGGGGUCCGCGGGAAGCUAAGUCCCCGGUAUGUCGGACCGUUUGAGGUAUUGGAGCGUGUAGGUGCGGUAGCGUACAAGUUCGCCCUACCACCGAAACUCGCGGGAGUUCACAACAUGUUUCAUGUGUCCAAUCUCCGAAAGUAUAUUCGCAACUCGACACAUGUAUUAGAGUACGAGCCCGUAGAGUUACGCGAAGAUAUGUCUUAUGAGGAGUACCCGGUGUGCAUCCUCGAUCGAGAAGAAAGAAAGCUGCGGAGUCGCAGAAUUCCAUAUGUGAAAGUCCAGUGGAGCAACCAUGCGGCGAGAGAAGCCACUUGGGAGCUCGAGGAGACCAUGCGGCGAGAGUAUCCGCAUCUAUUUGAGUCGACGAGUUAAGGUAUGCGUAAUUUCGCGGAGGAAAUUAUUUUAAGGGGUGGAGAAUGUAAUAUACCGAAAAUUCGAAAAUAAAAUAUCGAACUUUAGUCAAAUUGACCAAAGUGCGAGGAUGGUACACUUCGGAAAGUCCGAAGGUGUUAAAAUAAUUAAAAGUGAGUUAUGGGAGGUUUUCGAGAGCUUGGGAAUCAAAUUCUGCAAAACUGCAGAUUUUGAGCUCUCGGGGACCGGUCCCUGGUGGGAGAGACCGGUCCCCGAACGCGUAUGAAGUGAGACAGCCGAAAAAUCGGCAAAGUCCUGAGAAAGUAGCUCUCGGGAACCGGUCCCUGCCUGAGAGACCGGUCCCCGAGAGACCGGUCCCCCAAGGAGAGACCGGAUGCAUCGCGCGCAGCAGCCCUGCGCUGCGCUGGGACAACCUUCGAGAACCGGUCCCUGAAGGAGAGACCGGUCCCUGCCUGCGCGAACUGCCCAGUUCGGGCAGUGUAUUAAAGUGAAAGUUGAGGGGUUUAGUUGCAAUUUGGCAACCCAAUAGCUAUGUUAUGGGGCCUAAUGAGAUAUUUCUCUCAUUUCCUCACCCUCUCACACUCUUUUCUCUCCCUCUCUCUCUCUAGAAGACAAAGGAGAGGAAGAAGACAAGGAAAAAGAAGAAGAAGAAAGUGAAGAAACUCCCUCUCCCUCAUCUCUAGCUUGGAAAAGGAGAGCUUACAAGGUAAGCUUUGAACCCUAAUCAUGGUAGAACCUAAUCUAGGGUUUGGAUUAAGCUUAAAAUGGGUUUUAUGGAAUCAUUUGAGUCUUUUGAAGCUUUCUUUUGCUUCUUUAGAGAUCAAGACUAUGGCAUGAGUGUGUUGGGUGAAGCUUGAGGUGAGCUUGACCCCUCUCAUGGUGAAAUCCAAACUAGGGUUUGGAGUGAGCUAAGAAUGGUUUAGAUGGACUAUUUAGAGUAUAAUGAAGCUAAUUUUGCUUCUCAAUGAGAUCAAACCCUAGGUUUGAUAUAUGUAUUGGAGCUAGGGCACCAAAUUGGGGCUUUUGCUCAUAGAGAUUUAUAAGUGCAAUUGACCCUCUAGAAACCUAAUUGGGGGUAUUUCCGAUGCGUUGGUGCGCUCGGAAAAGCAUUUCGAAAAGUGUACGUAAAGUUAUG